UUUUUUUUUUUUUUUUUUUUUUUUUUUUUGCUCCUUCUUACUUUCAAAAACACUAGCAUAUAAACCCACCUCUGUGUAAAAAUAAUUUUUAUUUUUAUUUUAAAAUGGGAAGAAAAAAAGGAGAAAAAGCGAAUGUAGAUUUAGAGAGAAGGUUUUUUUUUUAUAAUUUUUUUUAAAUUAGAGGACGUUAGGAUCACUCUUGGGUGGAGCUUUGAAUAAAAUUGUAAAAUUUACUUUACUGCUCAUGAUUUUGUUUUAUAGUAGAAGACAAAAUUGUCUUUUUACUCUCUUUUAGUUGACAAGAGAAUUUUUUUUUAAUGUAGUUUAGAUUAUAGGCCGAAUAAGACAUAAUUAGAUCAUUUUCAAAGGUAAUACCAAAUCCUAUUGAAACGUCAUGUAAAAAAGUUUGCAAAUAAUAAUAAGUUAUAAUCGAUAUGUCAUUUUUACGUGAGUUAACAUAUAAUUGACGUAAUUAAAUUUUAAAAAUACAAAAAAUAGUCAAGUGAGCUUAGUUUGACUAGCAUGAAGCAAGUGGAGAUGUGAAAAAUUGCGGUACCUUUUUUCGUUCUGUUUUGUUUUGCUUUGAGAGCCCUCCAAAGCUGACCAAGUUUCGAUAGUUAGGUUAGGUAUCAAUAUUGGUUUUCAACAAAAAAUAGAAAAAUUGAAGGGUAUAUUCGUUGCAGCAGAAUUUAGAGAGGGAAAUGCACCUUUUAUUUAUCAUCUUCCCCCACUAGUAAAUCGAUGGUACAGAUGUACUCAAGUCUAAACAUUUACGAGAUAGGUGGUGAUUCUUAUUUAGGAUGUUGAUGCAUAAUACUGGAUCGAUUUUGGACCAACUUAGAUUCGGCAUUGAAUCGCACAAACGCAUAAGAAUAAAAAGAUUUUUCAUGGUUCAUCCCAAGUUGAGGUUACGUUAACAUUGGUGUAUGUACGUAUCCACAAUGUAAAUAUGAGUUACAUUGUACAAGAGGUUGUUGUCAAGACUUGAACAACCAAACAAAAGCAUUAGGGGAUGAAGGCACAAGGAAGAAGAGUGGCUUUGUAACCCAUGGUAGUGACGCGUUACAAAUACCAUUGUACUAUGCACUUGAAUUCAAGAUUCGGAAUCUAGUCUGUGUGACAAGUUUUCUUUUCAAACAUAGGCUAGGUUACAAGUCCAAUUUAAUUGGACAUAACCCAUCUCAUCCGAGCCACCAAACGAGAGUGUUUUCACUGGAAAUUAGCCCACAUCUUGGUAAAAUUGAUUGCCCAUAAUGAUUUACCCUCACGAAUGGAGCAGAUAGCAUACCAUACUUUUACGUUAAGCAUGUCGUGUCAAAUGUAGCAUCUCCAGAUUCCUCAUAUAUCGUUGUACUUGUUUGCGCCUAAGUACAUUUCUUAAUCGACUUUCUUCAUUAAAUCAAGGGUUUUUAUCACAAAUGGUCCCUGAAAUUGACCCUCACCAUCAAGAUGGUCUAUGAACUUGAAAAUCAAUCAAUGCAGUCUCUGAAAAUAGGUGUCGCAAAUCAAUGUGAUUUUUUUGUCACAAUUCUGUUAAAAAUUAUGUUAAGUGUUAAUGUGCCACAUAAAUGGGCCCCACAAGAUUUACGAAUUUUUAUCACAAGAUGGUCUCUGAAAUUGACCCACAUCAUCCAGAUGGUCUCUGAAAUUGACCCACAUCAUCAAGAUGGUCCCUGAAAUUGAAAAUUGAUCAAUAUAGUUCUUGAAAAUAGAUGUCGCAAAUUAAUAUAAUCAUUCUGCCACAAUUUUGUAAAAAAAUUUGUUAUAUGCUGAUGUGAGUUUAAUAAUUAAUUAAAAAAGUAGUCUAAGUACCUUUUUGCACAAUGGAAUUUUUUUUUCUUAUAGUAGGGCCUACUACAAAGAGACCUAAAUUCUCAAAGACACAAGACCUAACCAAGGUCUAAGAGGGGGUCUCGAAAUAUUUUUCAACCAACAAUAGAUGCACCUUGGUUAUAACCUCAUUAUGUCAAGGUAGACUUCAUUGUUCUUUGUAUCACCAGACCACCAGGGAAGCGCUGAACAAACUCUCGAAGAUUAAGGUUGUGAGGAUGUUGAUCACCUAAAUGUUAAAUGGUGAUGUCCCAGAAAUUGUUGCCAAUCGGCCAAGGUUUCACCAAAGGUGAUCUCAAUCCAAGUUCAAUUCGGUGAAAGGUGUCGAAGUGUGUAAAGAUGGGUGUUGAGAUUUUUCUUUGAGAGAUAGAGAGCGAAUGAGGUAGAGAAAUGUGGAAUGAGAUCGGAGGUGAUUGCAGGACUAGGUGAUGUUAAGGGUCAAUUUCAAGGACCAUAUGUGAUAAAAACUCUUAAAUCAAUAACAUAGUAGAAAAUUGAAAUUUGAGCCUGCAUUUAAAAAAAGAAGGUUUGUGAUCAAUUCAGAGACUUCCUACCUAUAAUCGGAAUUGUCCAUUUUAUAAAACACUUGACAAAAAUUAUUUCUGCUAAAAAUUAAUAAAUACCAAUGUCGUUUAAUCAGUCUACUAUUAGUAAAUAGAUAGAUAAGUUAUAAUACAUGUAUCUAUUUUUUCGUAUCUUUUUAUAUAGUUUAAUAAACAAACGAUCUUAGAUUUUCUAGAAUUUGUACAAUUAUAUCUAUCCGUCGAAUGAUGAUAAUAAUAAAUGCACAUCUUUCUUCUUGUUUUAUUUCAUUGGAUCUCAUCGAUUCUAGUCAAACACAAAGUUGAGGGUUUUUCUUGCCAACCGAACCUUUAAAAAUUUCAAGUACUCAAGGGUCCCAACUUGUGUUGCAUCCGAAACAAACAGAAUGGCGGUUUCACUCUCAAGAACUCCUCAACCCUGUGUUGGACAAAUCUCAAUCAUGAACAAGUUUCACACCAUCUCAUCCAAAACCCUCCGCAGUUUCAAUCCCCUUUUCAAGCCCUCCACUCAAACCCUCUUCCUCAGCUCCCAAAAACCCAAAACCAAUCGCCAAUAUCCUCCUCGCAACACAAUCCGAUGCCUUUUCACCGGCAUCGUCGAGGAAAUGGGCCGAGUCAAGCAACUGGGCACGGCCCAAAACGGCGGUUUCGACAUGAAAAUCGGCGCCAAAACCGUUCUGGAGGGCGUUCACCUCGGGGAUAGCAUUGCCGUCAACGGAACGUGCCUGACCGUGACUGAAUUCGAUACCCAGUUGUCGGAUUUCACAGUCGGGCUGUCCCCCGAGACGCUUAGGAAGACGUCUCUGAUCGAGCUCGAAUCGGGAUCACUUGUGAAUUUGGAGCGGGCGGUGCAGCCCACGAGCCGAAUGGGCGGGCACUUUGUGCAGGGUCAUGUGGAUGGCACAGGGGAGAUAGUGUCCGUGGAGCCCGAGGGCGAUUCGCUGUGGAUCAAGGUAAAGGCAUCGAAGGAGGUGUUGAAGUAUGUGGUGCCGAAAGGGUUUAUAGCAGUAGAUGGAACUAGUUUGACGGUGGUGGAUGUGUUUGAUAAAGAAGAGUGCUUUAAUUUCAUGUUGGUUGCUUACACUCAGCAGAAGGUGGUGAUUCCGUUGAAGAAGGUCGGGUCGAAGGUUAAUUUGGAGGUUGACAUACUCGGGAAGUAUGUCGAAAGACUUCUCAGUAGUGGGUUUGUUGAGUCAAUCAAAUCUUCAUGACUCAUGAGGUACUACUUAGUUAUAGUUUGUUUACUGCAAUCCUGAUUUGGUUUCGUGUAUUAUUACAUUUUGUAAUGCAUACUUGUUCUUGUUUUCUUUCUCUUUCAAUAAAAAUUGAAAAGGUUAUUUGCGUAAGAGAUUCAGAUUUUAAGUGGUUCGGAUUGAUUUUUAGUGGGAAAGAAUAUUGCAGUUGUAAGUUACGAAAUGUGUAAUAUGUAGGAUGAUCUUUAGCGUAAACAUUCCUACAUUUAUCGCAACAGGCGAACAAGAUUACCCUUGAGGUCAAUGAAGAUAAUUCAAGUGUUGGAACUGGUGUUUGAAAACAACAUACUGGAUGGUGCAUCUUUAACAGAUCAGAAGCCACUUGAUACAGUUUUGAAAUGUGGAGUUCACUAUGUUGAAAUUUUUCUUGCUGAAGCUCUGAUGGCAAUUUGUUCUUUCUUUCUGCCAAUUUGGUCAAUGGUUUCAUGUGCGACAUCUACAACAAUUAUAUGAGCUUGGGAGAAAGAAAAAAAGAAUGCAGCAACUAAUUAGCUAAUAAUAAAAUCAAUCAAUUAGCUUCUUGUGCUUAACUCCUUUAGUGGUAUCAAGUGUUUUACUGUUUCUGCUCAUUUUCUUUUCAAGGUCAUCGCCUGUGUGGGUUGUACACGCUUGUGAUUGGGAUAGUUACUGAACCAACUGGUGGCUGUAGGAAUGCUGUUCGGAAUUUUGGCCAUUUUUAGCUUCUGUUUUUUUUUUAUUGGAAGCGUUUUUAGGUAGUGUUGCACUUUGAAUAGCUGUUAUAUCUCGAUUUUAAAACUUUGUUGUAUCAUUGUUAGAGAUGUAUUCUAUUGAUUACUCUAUAUACUAAUUGGAUUAUGAUAGUUUUAUUAAGUAAUAAAAGUUUUGUUGUAUCAUUUUUAGGGCUUUAUUGUACACAGACACAUGCAUGCCUUCACACGCACAUAGAUUUUCAUUCCUUCGUGUUUGCAGCACCAAGGGCAAAACUGUAAGCCUCUGAUGCUCCUCAAGUGUCUUUGGGCAUCAAAUUGCACAGUAGAAAAAACAUGCUGCAGUAGUCUGAUGAUGAUCUCUCUCGUACUCUGUCCAGUAGGGCAUCUGAUACAAAUUAUGUUAGUCUUGUAGCUCCCCGUUGUUGUAUAGCAGGCUGGUUUGGAAUUUUUCUGUCUCAAGCUUUUACUCAAAACCAGUUUUUGAUAUAUCAUAUACCCUCAAAACUCUCAUCUUCCUUUUUUAGAAACGCAAGUAUAUUAUUCUCUUAGUCUCUCUUUACAGUGAUUAGCGAGAGAAAUUAUUACGUGGUGUUCUGGACUACAGAAAGUAGGUGGUUCCACCCAAUUAAAAUAUCACAUGUGUUUGUUUGAAGCUCAGUGGGAGAAGGUCGCCUCUCUGUUGAAGGUAAAGGGUUGAGGUAAGUUUCUUUUCGCCCUCGUGUGUUGAUUUCUUCUACCAGUAGUUCUAUUCUCCUUCCUCCCUGAGUACUGAGGUCUGUAUCUCGUUCUGCUUUUCCUGCAAAUUGAGCACCCGACUCUUGUUCGUAGUGCUUCAUGACCAAUUUUAGGCCCUUUUUUUUUCAAACGAAAAACUUUCUGCUCGUAACAUCCUCCAAUUCUCUCCUGUCUUGGUCAUAAUUUUAGGAACAGCAAUGGUAUUUGUUCCCAGGGGAGUGACUGGCUCUUUAUUGUGUUGUAAUGGGCCGACCUGCUGUGGAAAUUUUUGCAAAAACUACAUUUGUCAACAAAGUCUUAUCGGACUUGAUUUCGAGAGAGUCUGAAUAGCAGAUCUCGAUAUGAAAUAGCUCGAACCAAGAAUCACCAUUGUUAGUGAUGGCCUGAUGGGGAACUGUCGUCAUCGCUAACUUUUCUCAUGGUAGAGAGCAGACGCAGCUUGCUCAACAUCAAGUUGCCAAGUUGGAGGUGGAGGGGACUCAGUUUUCAUGGGGAUAUCAUUCUACUUCACUUUAGUCCACUUGCACAAUUUGCCAAACCAACCACUCCAUUUCUCCCCAUCUCAGCCGAAAGUGAGAACCGGUUCUCCUCUUUGUGAGCGUGGACGGAUGAGUAAUGUGCGUGCCAUAUGAACAUUUGGUACAGUUGUACAGUAUUUGGUUGACUUGGGCAAAUGAGUUUGACUCCAAAUUUAGUGGAUAUGGUGAUCUGAUCUCUCUAGUGUCCAUGUCGGCAAGACUUUAAUUUCUUUUUGUUAUCCGUCCACCGACGACUUUAAAUUUGAUUAUCUGCUCCAUAUUUAAAUAAAAAUAACAAAUACAUAAUUUGUCAAACUUUUUGUUGUAAAUUUUUUUAUCAACAUUCUUUCUUUUCCCUUCAAAAAAUGAACCAUCUGGUGAUUUCGUCAAGAUAAUCCACCAUUUUGGGAGCCAAAAAGACUCAGAGAGACAUUUCAGCCUUAUUUUAGCCAACAUCGUGUGAUUCACAAGUAAAAAAUUUAUGUGCGGCCAUAACACCUUACAAUCUACUCAUGUUACAACACAUUUUAUAUACCUUAAACAACAUUAAACUCAACUAUACGUGCAACGGGGGUUCUUAUUAUUAUUAUUAUUAUUUUUUGGGUGUGCAAGAAACUUUGAUACGGUUGCUUAACUACGUAGCUUUCACACAAAAUGAAGAUUGAUGUAGUGGUGAGUGACACAAAUUACAAAGCAUAUCAUACUUUUGUGAUAGGUACCAAAACGAGGUUGGGGUCAGCCGUUUCACGACAAUGACAAUGAAGUGUGGUAAUAAAAGCGAUUGUUGGGGCUAAAUUAGUAAUUGGAGCCGCAUCUUCCAAAUUGUCAACCCACUCCGCCACCUCCACACAUCCCAUUCCAAACCCAAAGAUAGAGGCCUAUAAUUUACUCGUGAAAAAAGUGGCGCUUGCGUGGCACAAUCUGGGCCGUUCACGUGGCCUGGCACAAUUGAGUGCGACUAGAAAAGAUCGGCCUAUGAGGGCUAACUUCGUCUCGAGAACAUCAACAUCGACGUGCCGCUAAAAUACCCAAAGAUUGAAUGACGCAUUUACCAACUUGCCCCUCCAUUAUUCUUGCCUUUCUGGAACGACUUUCCCCACUCUUACAAGACUAACCCUAUCCUAUCUUUUCUUUUGGGGUUUCCUUCAUUCUUUUUCCCCUUUAAAGUUGAUAAAAUAAUAGAAAACAACACACACAAUAUUACAUCCUUGAUUAACUCUUGUUUUUGUCUCAAAUAUCGGAUUAUAUUUGGUAUUUAUAAAUGGAUAAGAAUAAAAAUAAAAACAUAUUUAUCAUAAUUAGUCGUAAGACCUUAUAGUUAACACAUAAAAUUAAACAUUUAAGUCAAUUAGGAGAUAAUCCUAAUCCGUUCCCACCAGAAGGACACCUAACUUAUUUACAUGUGCAUAUUCACUUUUGUCAACUCUCGACAGGUAAAAGGUCAUGAUCUUAAUCUAUUAAGCUUGAUUUUUCUCCAUUAACUAAAUUUGAUUUGAACAAUUACACCUUACAUUUGAGACUAACACGUUAAAAAGUCUUGAGUUGUGGAAACAUUUACAUCCAAAACUGAUGAUAUUCCAACGAUAAGAAUCUCCCUAACGAGUGGAAAUAUUUACAUUUAAAACUGACGAUAUUCCAACGAUAAGAACAUCCCUAACGAGUGGUCAGGUGCAGGUGCAAGUUGGGGUACAGUUGAAGUUGAAGAUGUACACAACCCAAGUGGUGCAGGUGGAGCCCCUUUUUGCUUUCUUCCUCGGACCUCAGCGCCAUGACAUUACACAUCGAAAAUGAUACCCACGGGAGGGUAUUUUAGACAAUUGCGAACAUCUGAGAAAGAAAAGUGAAGAGGGCAAAAUAGGAAUUCCAGGCCCAAGUUGGGGUGUAGUUGCCGCGUAAAGGUUCGAAGUUAACAACGACCAGCAGCGGCAGUUGUAUAUAUGUGCCUGCCGUCAAAGCCCUUCCAACUGCCCACUCAACUUUCUCUCAUUCAUUUUCCCACCAUACAAACAGUCAGUCUCCCAACUUCCAGGCUCUCCAUAUCCAAUCAAUCUUCCAACUAGCUAGCUACCUAAUACUCGUCUCUUCCAGUCAUGAACAAGCCAGGCUUUUUAGCGGCCUCUGUCGCCGCCGCUUCUGCCACUGCUCUCUCCGUCUCCGCCACUCCUUCUUCUUCUUCUUCAAGCUUUGUGUCUGAUUCAACCAUGCGAUUUUCUCACCAGGUAAUUAAAUAAUCUUAAUUUGAAUUCAUGGGUUCUUUUUGUCUUUUCGUUUUCCAUGCUUUGUAGUUAGUAUUCAGCUUUAGAUGCUCUGCUUCUAUUUGCCCUGUUCUGUUUGGCUGCUGAGAAAAAAAAAAUGGAAAAGGACUGAAAUCUGGGAUUUUGACCCUUCAACUCAUAUUUUAUCACUUACUAGUUAACCUUAACCAAACAAGUACUAGAGAAACAAAAUAUACGCUGGUUGUUAAUUUCUAAUUUUAUUCUUGAAUUUCUGCUAUAUUGUGUCUACUAGAAAUGUUAGGACUCUCAAAGAAAUUCUUCAUAUACAUUAACGUUAAACUGUAAGAUUGCAGAAAGUUCAUGAACAACUACACUUUUCAAAGUUCCUUUAGCAUUUCUCGUGUCUACAGCUUGAUAUUCUUACUUCAAUAAAAAUAUUUGGACACAUUUAUCGACACGGUUUCUAAUAGGGAGGACUCUAUCAUUGUUUGUCGAUUCCACUUGUCUUAGGAACUGUUUGUUAAUUUUGUGUGUUUAAAUAAUAUUAUUUGACGUGUUUAUAUAAAAUUGUAAUUAAGCAGGGAGAAUUCUAUUGAUUUUGUAGGAGACUGGGUGUAAGAGAAAUCAAGCAAAAUCAUCGGCUUCGACCGAGAAAUUUGCGCCCAAGUUCGAUGGGUUGAGAUUUAUUGAAACACUGGUUACUGCUCAUAGAUAAGAUUAGGCGGCCUCUAUUUUCUACCUGUUGUAAUCUAAAUAUUUUUGUUUCCUUUGAUGAUUUGAUCCAUCUUCCAUCUCGAGGAAACAACUUCAGGAUUGGAUUUCGAAUCUUUUGGUAAUGAGAUGAAGUUAGUACUAAAGGCUACUUACAUGGUACAUGAAAAAUAUUGCGUUGCAUGCCAAUAAUACGUUAGAUGAAAAUAAAUUUAUAUUGUAUUAUUGACAUAAAACGUUAAGAUGACAAUAAGUCUAUGCCAAGUAAAUCCUCUUAGAAUUAAAGGAAUUGUAACUGUACAUACUAGGGCUGCCCUUAUGUAUUUACGUGGAAAUUAAUAUAAUACUUUUUACUUUGUUUUUCUAGUCCUAGUCAAUAAUUCCAAAGUCAUUUUUCCACUUGAUUUUUUAAUACAAAGAUAUCUUUACACUAAAAGUGAGAGGAAUAAAAUUAUUACCGAAUUCGCUAUUUACAUAAUUAAAUUUAAAAUCUCUCACUUAAAAAAAAAAAAUUUAACUUGUAGUACCAAGUGUCAUUGAUUAACUAAUGAUUUGAUGUCAAAGGAUAUGUGGUAUAGCUAUUUUGAUUUUUAAUGAAAUGAUGUGGCAGAAGAUAGUGUAUGUAUUUAUUGGUUGUAUUCUUUCCCAUUCUAUUUGGAUUUAGACACAAACUGUGGGCAAAACAUUAUUUAUAUUUUUAGAGUAAACUGUCGAUUUGCCCUCUAAACUUUCACCUAGCUUUCGAUUUCCCCCUUGAACUCUUCGAUUGGAAAAUUAAGGACUCAAACUAAUUUUUUUAGCCAAUUUGCCUCCUACCGUUAAUUUUUCAAACAUUCCAUCCAUAUUUCUGUUAAGUGAGACCAUGUGCACAACAUGUGAGGGUAGUUUAGUCAUUUCACUCUUAAAAAUGAUUAAAAAACUGAAAAUAAAUUUAAAAAAAAGCUUAAAAUAAUAUAAUUAAAUUUAAAUUCGUUGUUUACAUAAUUAAAUUUAAAAUCUAUAACUUAAAACAACAACAACAAAGCUUUUUCCCACUGAGUGGGAUCGGCUAUAUGAAUCCUAGAACACCAUUGCGCUCGGUUCUGUGUCAUGUCCUCCGUUAGAUCCAGGUACUCUAAGUCUUUUCUUAGAGUCUUUUCCAAAGUUUUCUUAGGUCUUCCCAUACCCCUUCGGCACUAAACCUCUGUCCUGUAGUCGUAUCUUUUAACCGGAGCGUCAGUAAGCCUUCUUUGCACAUGUCCAAAUCACCGUAACCGAUUUUCUUUCAUAUUUCCUUCAAUUUUGGCUACUCCUACUUUACCUCGAAUAUCCUCAUUCCUAAUCUCUCACUUGAAAAAAAAAAAUUUAAAAAAAAAACUUUUUAACUUGUAGUACUAAGUGUCACUAAUUAACUAAUGAUUUGAUGUCAAAGGAUAUGUGGUAUAGCUAUUUUGAUUUUUAAUGAAAUGAUGUGGCAGAAGAUAGUGUAUGUAUUUAUUGGUUGUAUUCAUUCCCAUUCUAUUUGGAUUAAGACGCAAACUGUGGGCAAAACAUUAUCUAUAUUUUUAUCCCCAUUGAACAUGACUCAUAUGUCACCAUUUCCAGUGCCAGAAAGUGCGUCGACCACCAUCAUUGUGCCCGAAGUAUUUAUCCAUUCGUCGGAAAAUUUCAAGUCAUUGUUCAACAGCGACGUAAAAAAAAUAUUAUGCAACUUUUUCAUCUUCAAUUUUGUAUUGUUGUGUGAGUGAUCAUAUGUUCUUUUCGGUACCGUUUGGUACGUGGAACGGGACGGAACGGAGUGGAACAAGGCAUUUCGUCCCACGUUUGGUGUGCUUAAAACAGAUGGAACACGCUGUUCCACGGGACGAGUUUUAGGUGAAUUUUCGUUCCGCCUUAUCAUCUAGAACGACUUGUUCCACAUCCGUAGAACACAAAAUUAUAACCUCUCUGUCUCUUUCUUCUUCCUCCUUGUUUCCAUCCAAGGGCAUAUUUGCUCCCUCUUCGUUCCACCUCGUCCUGUCCCGUCCCAUUCCGUUUCGUCUCGUCCAUCUGCAUACCAAACGAUACCUUACAUAUAUACACAGUAAAAUUAGAGAACUUUUGAGGAAUUUGAUCAUACAUGUUUAUAGCGUGAGUUUACAAUUACUUAAUAUGUUUUUUUAUUAAGUUCACUGUUGUACAGUGACACUAAAACAGAAAAAUUUGACCGGCUAGUUGUCGGAAAAUUUCGUCAACCGGUCUAAAAGAAAAGUUGGUCGGUCAAAAAACGUGGUAGGAUUAAUUAGUGUCGAUCAUGUAAAUUAUUUUGAAUUACAGUAAGUAUAGGAUUGUUUUAGUUGACUUUUGCAUUAGUACCUAAACUAAAAAACAUAGUAGUUUAGCUAAAAGUUUUUUUAACCCAUAGUCCAAAGCGACUAUCAAACUGUAACUGAGGAAGUUGUUUUCAUAUGACAUAUAUAUAUAUAUAUAUAUAUAUAUGCAAUAAUAACACUCUCUUAAUAUAUGGACCUCAUAUAUUCAAAAUAUGGAUGGGAUGCAUCGUACCAACAAGUGGUGUCAUCAAUUUCAUGUGUUUUAGUAUGAAUGAACGAUAUCAAAUUAUAUUUUAAAGAUAUAUAAUUAAUAAAUAGGAUAAUGUAUGUGUUCCUCUAUGGAGAACUUACUUGUCCCCUAUAUAUGAUUAACAUCUCUUCACCGUACAAACAUGAUAACAUCCAUAUGGUAGCUAUAUGUAAAAAAUAUCCAUUCAUUACGAAGGUUCUCUACCUUAGUAAGGAUAGGUGGUGCAGGUUAUCGUACGACCAGUUUUCGUCAGGUACUAUUUAUGUUUAAUUUUAAAUAAAAAAAUUCAAAUGAUUUAUGAACACACGACGUACGAUGAACGGCUAGGAUGUGAGGAUCCUUAGGAUCCCCACAAAGAGGAUUCGGAGAGGAUCCUCAUCCAAUCAAAAUCGUUCAUUGUCUUUAUUAUCAUCUAAAGAUUAUAUCUGCAAAAACUCAUUCAAUUUAAAGAUCCUUUAGCCAUUAAUAUAUAUCAAACAUAUAAAUGAUCCAUCAUAAAAAAAAUAAAAAAAAAAUAAAAAAAGCUAAUUGAUACCAAAAUCACCAAUUUCACACAAAAUGAGCUAAUUGCAAAGUACACCAUUAAAAUUUGGCAUCACUUUCAUAAAAAAGAACACAGCAUUAUUCAACUACUUGUAUUUUGAAUGAUCAAUUUAGCGUGAGGUCAUGCCACAAUUAGGUAUUUGACUAGGCAUGCACCGUCCCAUCCGCUUUGCAUUAUAUUUUUAGUAUUAAAAAAUAUUUUUGCUCAACUUUUUUUCUUUUUUAAUUAUUGAAUUGAACUGAUCAAAGAAAAAUUAAUAAACAAGCUUUAUCAAGCAUGUUCUUAUUUUAGGAAAAUGCAAAGAUUUUCUCUUACUUACAUACCAUUAAUUCAACCCUCUUAUUGAGUCCUUAACACAUACCAGAAAAGGAGAAGAUAAAAGCCGUAAGUUUCUAUACCGGCGAUUUAUAUUGUCUCAUUUUAACAAGAUCAUCCUUGUAAAAAAAAAUAUGGAUAAAUGCAAAUUAGAUGUUUAAAUAAAAACUCUUGAGCAACUAGUGUGUGAUCAAAAUGAUGUGCUAAAACGGGCAUAUUGCAUUAUUUGGAAGCAAUUUCAUUGACUAAUUAAUACAGAAGGAAAGUAUAUUAUUGGUUACUACCAAGCACCAAAAUAUGUCACCUUUUGGAAGCGAAGUAUAAAACACUUGAAGUAUUGGAGCUAAAGUUUGACGUAGAUAACCAAUUUUAGCUUUUUGUUGAGGAAUUUAGCCCUCACAAAAAUAUUCCAAGCGCAAUGAUGUGCAGUCACCCAAAAAGGAUGAUGAAAAAUUGCACUCGAUUUCUUCCACAAAUAUUUCAUUCGUUUUUCUUUUGUUCUUCUUUUGGUAAGAUAUUAUUUCGAUUUCUUGGCAUACUUUUAUUGACUGCAGAUUACACCUUAGGGGGAUUUUGUUUGAUCGGAUUAGAACUGGGUUCAACUAUUUAAUAUAUUAGUUUCUAUUUUUUUGAACAAACGAUAUUAUCUAUAGGUUUAGCUUUACAAUGGGCUAACAAUAAUGUGGUUUAAAUUCGUCUUUAGCGAGAAUUGAACCUAAGAUUGCUUACUUAUAAAUGAAGAGAAAUACCACUAGACCAUAAUACUAAGUGACAUUUAACAAAGUCUUUGAGUCUUGGACUAAGAUUAGGUUCAUUAAUAACAUGUUGAGUUGGGAUUAUCCUUCCCUAUCUUGGACAAUCUGAUGUAUUAAACGUGCCCUUAAAAGUAUAAUCGUUUGAGGAACUCAAUUAACAAAAUGACUUUUUAGUUUCCACUUUGAUGGUUGAGUGAGUUAUCAUUUUCUGUUGACUUCAACAAUUUUGGGUUGACCCGUCGAAGUAACACCCUUACUCUCGACCUGGAAUGCAAGAAUGCACAAUCUCUCGACAUGAAUUGUCUGCACUGAUACCAUGAAAAAAAAUUAUGGGAACUUGACGAGGCUGAGAACAUUAUAUAUUGUAGUCAAGGUUUUACAUUCAUUAUGUGAAAUAUAAUCUCAGGAUCUGAGUUCCGUUUGGUACACAUGAUUAGAUUGGAAUGAAGAACUCUCAAAUUUUAACUCAUACUGAAGGUGGAAGUGAGUGGUUUUUCAUUUGGAGGGGACUAGAAGAUGAUUAGCUAUGAAGAAAUCCAAUCAUAUGUACCAAACGAGCCCUUAAUGUGAUCUCUCGUGGAUUAAUGGAAGUUAGAUUUAAACUUGAGGUGUAAUUUGGGUUUUCCAUGUACAAUGGCAAUUAUGCAUCCUAUAGGAAGCAAAAGAGCUUGUUUCAUACCAGACUUAGUGAUAAACUGCCAAGUAUAUAACAAAAUUAUACUAUUGGGGCAGUUUUAUAAUUAGAGAUAAACGUUCAAAGCAUACAAAUUGGUGGGGAAAAAUAAUUGAAUGGUUACAAGUCAGGUAGGGUUCUUUUCACACUUGACACCAGCUCAGAACCUAUGGAAGGAUGGUAAUACAACCAAGGCAGCAGUUAGUGCUAGCAUGAUGGAGUGAGUAGCUGAAAUGUGACCUCUGCUGCUCUUCUGAUCAGAUUUCGGUGCCUCAGCGGGACAUGCGAGACCUUCUUUCCCUUCGCGGCAUUGAGACGCAAACAGACCGGGAGGGUACUUCCCGUAGAUGUUUAUGUAGCUGAACAUGGUUGAAGCACAAUCAUUUUUCAAGUCAUUGAUUUCUUCUGUAAAAGGACAAGCAAAAUCCUUCAAAGCAUCACAGCAGCUCUUUGCUGGGUAGUUUGGUCCUUUGCACUUGCUUGUAAUGAUUGUGUAGUUCUGAUUCUCAAAGUUCACAGGACAAUCUGCAGAUAGCCCAACAGAAUACAAAAUAAAGAAUGAUGACCGCAACUUAUAGAAUGCCGAUGAGACAUAGCAUGGAUUUUAUAGUAGUACUAAUCCUCAUGCGUUGUUAGGUUUACGAAGGAUUGUAGUUAUGUUUUUAGUGAACCAAGGUUUAAAAAUACUGAAAAUUGUCAAAUUUAAAAAGGAGAUAAAAAAUGCUUGAUGAAAUUAUUACGUGAAUAGUCAGAAAAAUUACUAGAGAGUUGGCAACUAGUUUGCAUUAGAUAUAUCUGUCGUCGCGUAAUGUUUAACGUACCAUGGUUUAAGACCUUCUCCUGACAUAAAAUUAGGAAUGGGAAAUGAUCAAUGAAUAAAAGACUUGAAAAAUGCCUCACUAGCAAUUUGGUAAGAGCUAGUUUUCAUACUCAAACGCCGAUAAUCAAUGAUUUCAGUGAGAUUUCCAAGUUUGCUAAGACUCCGAUACUAAAAGGAAGAGAGAGAUUCUUAUCCAAGAUUCCAAAUAGAACAGAUAACAGGACAGUUAAAAUUCAGUGAGAUUUAGAUAAUGCAACAAUGAAGCCAGUGCCAGUCUAUUUGUUCUAAUUGUAUUUUGUCCCGAUGAAUUCUCGUGUGUAUUUUGGUUAUUAACUAGUUAGCUUGACGCGGAGACAAAUAAUAUCAUGAAUACAUACAAAAUUGAAUGUUUCUUGGUUAUGUAAUGUUUGUUGAACACAAAAGCAUAGUUAUUUAUGCUUUAUGUUCCAACCCUAUCUUCUGCAAUAUAGACAACCACAUUUCCUUAACCUAUAUAUUCAACUAAAAUUAUGCAUGAGGUGACAAGAACUAAAGAGAAUUAGAACAUCCAACUCAAAACCAAUACGCAAUCAGUUACAUUGGUUUCUCCGACGUUGGAUAAUACUCUUGACAAGACAGACGAAAAAUAUCAGCAAAUUCAUCAACAGUCGUAUACAAACGCAUUUUUAGCACAUGGAAUUGAUGGGCACGACGAACAAAUUAAUUAUUUGAAAACUAAAGAAGAUAUGAUAACAUAAAAUAGGUAAUUAAAAGGAGAAAUUAAGUGUAAUUACUUACUUUUUUUGGCCUGAAGAAGGGCACGUCCUCCGGUGGAUGAUCCACCUGACUCGAAGAUAUCAUCUGCAACAUUUAUACAAAAAUAAUUAGAUGAAAUUGAAUUGAAUAAGUAGAAAGGAAAUGAAAGAAGAAAAAUAAGAAAUGAAAGGGGAAUUACAAGAGAGGAAGGUGGUGGAGGAGGCAAAACCCAAUACAAGGAACAAGAAGAAGAAAAAGGGAUGAAAUGAAAACGCCAUUGUAAUAAUAACUUCAGAGACCGAAGUACCAAUGACCUAUGUCAAGUCGUCGUAGUCGAUCUCUGCCUUUGGCGCCUCUCAGUCUCAGGUCUCAGCCCCACUUUUCCCCUUUCUUUUUUGGUUGAUGGUUUUGGUUCCCUCUCUCUUUCUCUCUCUAGGUCUGUAUGUUUGUUUAAGGGAAGAGAGAGAGAGAGAAAAUUGGAGGGAGGAGAGAAAAAUGCUGCAUGAAAUUUGGGGAGGGUAAAAGUGGCAACAUACACCACUUCUGUGGGUUGUUAUCAUUGUUGUGGCAUGCCUUGUCUAUUAAGGCUAUCUUCAACUAGGCCGGCCAAAGGGUUAUAGAUUUAAACAUAGUUAUUUUGACACCAAAUUCAUUUCCAAUGGAGGGUUGGCAAAAAAAAUUUGGGCCAAAAUCCAACCAAAUGGCCAACGGGCUGGUCAAAGAUAACCAGCCAGUCAGCCCAAAAAGUUGGGCCCAGCUGUGCUGUCAGCUGAGGUCAUGUAGCCCUUUUUUUAAAAGACAAAAUUUUAAAAAAAAUUAAUCUCUAUUUUUUUCUUAUAAUACCUAAGCCAUUUCUACACCCCUUCUCACAUCUUUUUCACCCUUCAAUACUAUCUUACUUCAUUUUAAUGUUUAAAUUGUUAACAUGCAAGCAAAAUUAAAAUAUUUAACAACCUAAAACUUAAAACAACAUUUAGCAACAAGUGACACUCAAAAUAUAUUCGGAAAUCUUAUUUUAAUAUGGUAGUUUAAUUCAAUUAACUAAUACAAUUAAAGAACAAACUUAAAAUAAUAAAUUAUUGAGGGGGCUAAAAAAGUAGCCCCAUACGAUUGGAGAUGAUAUAUAAAUAUGAUAUGACAUUGUUCAUUAAAAAAAAUUCUUACAGGGUUAUAAUUUAGACAAAAGUUAAAUAUAACUCAUUCGAUUAGAGAUGACAUAAGUUCCUUGAGCUGACUUGUGGCUCAAUAUCUUGAUAUUCCUUUUAUUCUAAUAGGCUCUAUUGGCCUAUCUACCUCGUUUAGGCCCAACAACAAUUAUAUAAUAUUUUAAUGGGUCUAAAAGGACCUUGUAUUAACAGAUGACACUAAGGUGUUUUUGGCUUAGGUUUUUCUCUUUUUUUUUUUCCGAAGGACAAAAUUGAUUUCAUUUAGCAUAUGAGAGAAAACACAAGGAGUAUAAUCCUCUUGUUAAUGAUGUAAACAUUCCUCAGAGAAUCUAAUGAAAUUUUUAUUGUUUAACAGAUAGAAAACCGGUAUUAAUGCGAGUCAAACUUAAAACCUUUCAUUAUAAUUAAAAAAGAAUAAGAAUACCAUUAAACUAUAUAAUUUUAGUUAGUAAAUCCUUUAGAAAUCUAUCAAAAAAAUCAAAUUGAAUGCACUCAUUUGAAGGAUGUCAAGUUUUGCUGUUGGGCCGCUCAAGUAUAAAACAGUAUUCUCCCUUUCCUUCCCUCCAUCAUAUCAUCCAACCCUUUCCGAUGUCGAUCCACACAUUUCUCUCUUCAAUGUCGACCAUAACUGAAUCAAUCGCUAUAUAUUCUUCGGCUCCAACUUCAUAUUGCCGGACGCCGGUGGUGUCACGGUGGGUGCGUUGCCGGAAUUCAUGUGCUUGAGGGCUGACCGCCUCACAAAAAAUCGCUCGCUUCCUCCAAUUUUCCAAAAGCCCGGCGUAAUCCAUCAGCUACCGCCAUUGUUUCCCAAGCUUAGGACACCACUGUCGAUGGUAAGCGUCCCCCUCCCCCCGCGCGCGCAUUUAAGUUUCCUAUUAAAAUGUUGAAUCUUUUAGUCGUGUUAUUUUGGUUUGAUGGUGUGUUAUGGUGUUUUGGAAGUAAUGUAGCCCAAUAAAAACAACAAAGAAAAUUGAAAGGGGUUUUAGGGAUUGAUAUUAGCUGUAUGCGCUGUCGUUUUGCUUGAUUGGCUGCAUCUUUGCUCCAUUGUCCAUUCCUAAGCGCUGCUAAAUCGACCUUUGACAAUUUUGUGUCAUUAUUUCUAUGAAUAGUUCAAUUAAGUGGCCCCUAUAAAACAAACAAAUUAUGGGCUGAUUGUCUGUACCUAAACAAAAAUGUCACCCCCAUUUCAUAAGCUGUAACAAUCUUCAGUAUUAUCACCCUUGUUUCGGACCAUAAAGUGGAGCAAGUCGUGAUCAAAUGAAAUAUCCGAUUGUAAGUGUUAUUAUCUGAAGUUGAUUGUGUUUGAAGAAUUUUCCUGCUUAAUUGUAUCAAUAAUAAUACAAAAUUAUGUAUCGUGCUUUUGGUACGAGAGUGUUCUCUUAUUAUGUUUGAUAUUAUUGUGCAAGUUUCAUAAUUCCUAUCUUUUGACAGAUUAUGAAUGAUAAGCUAUCUUCAACCCUUGCCAACUUAGGAAGCAAACAGAUUUUGAAUCCUGAUGUAUUGUCCCAGUCCUUUUUGCCAAAAUUAGUAAAUCUAGAUAGAGGUGUUUCUAUGCAUUGGCAUUCCUUAAUCAACGAUAAGUUAAUAUAUAUAUACACACACACACACACACACACACACACACAUACAUACAUACAUAUAUAUGUAUGUAUGUAUGUAUGUAUGUAUGUAUGUAUGUAUGUAUGUAUGCAUGUAUGCAUCUAUUAUCCAUAUAUCCUUCUGUCUGUAGAGAAUGCAGAAACAGAUAAGAAAGGUGCAUGUAACCAUACAUAUUUUUUAUGUACCAUGCAACCCCCAAACAUUCCCCGAACCAGAAAACGUCUAUUUCCAUCCUCUGAGAUUCGUCUCUUUCCUAAGUUGUAAUGGAAAUAGCGAUAACUCUGUUGUAGGACUUCCUCAAUGGCUGAGGCAAGGAUAACUUGGGCAAGUUGAUGCUCAAAGACCAAUUCAAGUCCAACAUUUGGGUCAGGCAGGCUGUGGGCCAAUCCAACUUACCUUCCUUAGGUUUGUGUCAAAUAAGAGUUGCGAAGGCUGGAAAUGUGGGCAGGCUGGACUAACCACUUUUAUACAAAGUGGAUGCUCUCAUUGUCCAUGAGAAAAUAUGGGUUUGUUGGUAGAAAACCCUGUGGAACUUAUGUCUCCCACUUCGCUAAAUGUAAGUAUUCUUUAUCAUUAAAUUGUCAUGUUUUGGGAUUCCAUUUCAAUGCUACGAGCAUUGAAUGGUCUGGAUUCAUGGGACCAUAAUAAAAGCAAUAACCCAAACCAAUCCAGGCCAUCAAAUGCUCGUAGCAUUUAAUGCUACAUAGCAUGGAAAAUUUUCCCAUGUUUUGAUGAAGAUGUGCAUGCACAUUUUCUCACUAAGAUGACCAUGUUAAGAUGAAGAUGGUGUUUGAGAUCAUUUAGGAUCUUAAAGAGAUUAAUCCCAUUAACUAUCCAAGAGAGUCUGUAAUAGGGAUGGUCGUUCAUGCAGGUUGGAUUAGGAACAAGCAAACCAUUAGAUUUUGGGGAACCUUAGUCAUUGAGAGUUUGAAGUAUAUUGUCUGCUUCUUAGAACUGCCAAUAAAUGAAAGUAUCGGUAGAGAAACUGGCCCUAAAAUACAUACUAGUAAGUUCAAACCCACACAUAGACAAAUGAUUAUGCUUCCAUUUGGCAAUUCAGAUCUUUCCUUGAUGGUUGGUUUAAAGGAAGCAUUACAUGUAAACUUUUGACGUUCAAAUCUGUGUAUCCUGUCAAAUAUACCCUGAAGUUAUGACUUCUUAGUUUCAUCAACCAACUGGCUUAGUACUUGUGAUGCAUGUGUUUAAUGAUAUUUUAAAAAAGUUAGCAUAUAUUAUGGUAAAUUCCUAUUUGAUAAGAUAAAUGUGUACCAUUUACAUGCUGGAAAUUAAAAAAAAAAAAAUUUCAGUAAAUUUUUACAUAAAAAAUUUAUUGUGCAAUUGUGCAUACAUUGAUUUAGUAUACAUAUAUUUUGUAUACAUUGCUUUUGCAGUUUUUGGAAGGCAUUGUAUGCAAUCGAUUGCUCAAUUUAUCAACUUUCCAGUGGGUGUUUCUAGAUGAAAAUUUCUUAUAAGUUGUGUUGUCUUUGUCCUACUUAAUCGGAAGCUUCUUUUGUCAAACGUAUUUCCUCUUUUAAAAUCUAUAGCCUCCAAUCAAUUCCCACAAUGCAACCUGACAAAAAUAUUUUCUACCACUGUGCCAAAUUCAAUAAUUAGCAUGUCAUCUGGCCCUUAUGGUGGUGAAAAGUCAUACUUGUAGGGUUUAAAGGAAAGAAGAUGCGGUCGGAAUUUAAUCUCUCCUGAUUAUUAUAUAUGAGUUUGAAGUCAUUUGAUCAAGUAUUCAAAUAUAUGAUGAGUUGUUCUCCAUCAAAUUUUAUCUCAUCAUUUUUAAACAUCUCACAUCUAUUACGUCACAGUACCACUAAAUUCGGAAUUGAAUUUACCUUUGAAGUUUUCAGCAUCACCUGAUCCAUCGUAGAAAGUCAGAGAUCUCAAAUUAAUUUUUACAGGUCUUUAGACUUCAGAUGAAGUGUAUCAAUGUGAGGUUUGUCACACGUGAUUUGAUUAAAAUUGCAAAUUUUUACACUAAAAUGGUGAAUAAUGAAAGAAAGGGUCUCAAAUUUAUUCAUACGUGAUUGCAAAUGAUAUUUUGUUCUUAUUUGAUAUAGUGACAUGUGGAAAAAAACUAAUACAUGUCCUUACAUCAUUGGCAUGGGACGCCAUGUGGCGGUGAACCUGUGCCGUGCAAGUCCUUCUCCCAAACAUGGCAUUCGGAGUGCCCCAACUAUCAUGAUUUUCAUCGUCGGUGAGAGAAAGGACACGAUAAUUGGUGCUGCGCCUAAAAUCACAUUAACUAGCACCAUAGAGAAAUUUUUGUAGAGCUGGAUACGGAAACCCUUUGCAAGAUUUCUGUUUGUAGUAUUCUUUUCCUGUUGUUUUUCUUGUGAUGGUUACUACUUGAUUAGUUUGUCAAAUUCAGAAGCUUAUUUUAUCGCCUUUUUUGUUGAUUAUAUUAUGUGUGUUGAUCAUCUGUGUUAGUAUGCAUCUCAAACUUCUCCAAUAAUGUAGCCUCGCAGAAAAAUUCUUACCCCACUAAAGUAGUAGAGAUUUUAGAUGGUCAACUUCUGCAACUCUGAAAAUCUUCCACAUAGGACCCUACUCUGACCCGGGUACUGCCUUUAUAAGUUGCUUUUUUCAUAUUUUCUACAAAUCUAGAACUUUUUGAACUUGACUUUUCUUUUGAAUCUAGAAGCUAAAACUGAACAGAGACCGUUGAGUCAUUGCUUAUACUGACGUUGAUGUCUUUGAUCCGAAGACCAAGACUGUUUCUCUUGUAUAUAUAGAUUCAAUCAAACUGAGGACUUGAUUCCUAUUGGCAGCUGAAUUAUAAAGAGGAAAUGGGGUGGAAGUUACUAGUUGGUUUAUUCUCAAAUAUAAGAAACAGAAAAGAAUGUCUAUAUGAAUAUGGAAACAACACCAACAUAUUGCUCUCUGUUCUUUAAUUUCAUUUCCAUCAGCUAUUUUGAGAACUAUUUAUCCUAUUGCAGUCAUUUUGUCGUUCAUUUGAAAGUCUAUAAAACUACAAAUAUUAAUGUCAUUUAAAUGAACUAAAAUCAGGAGUGUUUUCUAUGUAUCCCUAACAUAGUGUGCCCGAUUCUAAUAGAAACACGAGGAACCCUUUUAAUUUUUCUAUUAGAGUUGGAGAGGUUGUGUCUGGCACACCAAGCACGUUUUGCUAAAUAGAUUGUGCACAAAACUAGAUCGUUCCUUUUAUCAAAUAGUAGCAUGUAUGGUUUAAGAAAGGAACAUGCAUUAUUACUUUGUUUUUUCUUUUAUUUGUAUUCAAUCGAUUUUCUAAUCUAAUAUAUACUAUGGGAAGGGGGAUUCGAACUUGGGUGUAGAGGGGGAAGCAUAUUGUCGUAGCCAACUGUGACUACGGCCAAGUCUUCUAUUACUUUGUUUGCUUUGAGUAUGCUGAAAGUAGUCAAAUGAGUCGUAUGUAAAGUUAUUAAGGUGCACCUUUGUGUGAUGUUUUAGGGAAUUCUGCCAUGGAUUUUACCAGUGGAUUGCUAUCAUAACUGAGAAGCCAUAAGCUGCCUCCUUUUGCUGGAAAGAAGAGGACGUUGUGAAUAAAUCACCGGUAAUAACAAGUUAUUCAAUUUAUUUUUUCUUUCUCCUCUGGUAAUGGGGAGGCAUCUCACAUAUUUGAAAUUUGUUUGGGCAUACAUCACAAUCGCAGCCAAUCAGCCUUAUCUUGAAAGAAUUAUAUAGAGAUAAUAAUAAUAAUAAAAGUAAAUCUAACAACGUGGAGACGGCAUUGAUGUGCCGGAAUGAAUUAAUCAAUUAAUAAUCUGUCCUUUAUUUGAAUUUUUCUGAAUACGUGCAACUUAAAUUGUUGAAUGGGAAACCUUGUGACAUCUUACCAAGUCCAAUGUCAGAUGACUAAAAUGACAUGUGACCUCUAAUGAUUCUCUAAUUUUCCAUUCUGUAUUUGAUCAUUUGAUUUUGUUGAUUAGUGUAUUUAGCCCAUAUUACUGUAAGAAAAGAACCGCUUGGAUGUCUUGUCUUUUGAUUCUACAUAAACUCUAAACAAAAUAUUAGUGUUGCUGAAGCUCAACUCUAGAUAUUGGAAACAUUCACAUAUCAUCAGCAUGCAGGUCAACUCCCAAUGCCACACUAGUUUAAUUGGUGGUUUGUGUUUACAAACCGAGAAAAACUUGUGUAGGGGCAGCCGGUUCACGUAUACUGCCCGACUGCAAAUUAAAAAACUUUGUGUAGGGGGGCAUCAGACCGUGUGAGAGUCUCACGAAGCACACAAUCACUGUAUUUUGGUAAUCCCAUCCGACCUCACUAGUCUCACCCCCUUAAGAGCCGUCCAAUUGCGGCAGCCCUACUGAAUAUUUUCUCGUAAAAUCCGGUCCAGAUUGAUUACAUUACAUGCAUUUGUAAGUAGCCACUUGGAUGACACAAAACUAGAGGGUAGGUUAUAUUUCUUGGAAAAGAUUAGCACUGCUUCCUACUGUUUGAAGCUGCAUCCACUUGUGUAUUAGAAAAACAAAAGUGACACGAGGCCAGCUAACUCGCUAGUAGCGCCUUAUCUGUUUUUUGAUAUAUACAUAUACAAUAUGUUGUUUGGGGGAAUCAUCGACAAGCCAUGCAAAACCCAAAACCCAAUGCAAAAUUAGUUUAACUUCUAGUUGUGAAGUUGUUGAUUGGUCUAUUCGAUUAACCAUUUAGAAAGACCAAUGCUAGGUUACCAACUUUUACGCCUAUAUAACAAGCCAACGUAUUUUUUGAUAUUAUCAUGCAUAUUCACAGUACAAUAACGUCCAUAACAGGUUAAAUCGUUCGACAUGAUUAUCCGGGAUGCAGUGAGUUUGAGAAGGAAGGUCCUAACCAUUAGAGCAAUCCACUGCUUGCGAUACAAACAGAUAGUUGCGUGCAAAAGUUCUUAUAUUCCGAACGAAAAGAUAGAGACAAUGUCGUUAACCAACGUUGGAAUGAAAGGGAAUGAAUGAUUUUGCAAAUCAAGUGACGCUCCCAAUCCUAUAAUAAUCACAUGAUUAUCCAUAAUUAAUUGACUUAUAAAUUUAUAAUUCGAUUCAAAUAAAUUCAUAUACGCUAUUACGACCCUGGAACUUGGAUUGGAGAUGUGGCACUUCGUUUUCACCACGCAAUGAGCUUAUCAGGUCUCACCAAUAUAAUUUUUUUUUUAAAUUACAUCAUGCUUAUCAUAAUCUAAUUUAAUUUAAUUUAUUCAUUUUCCUUGUUCUAGAAUCUAGAAGAGUAGCUUUCCUCUUAUCUAAACAAGAAAGGUGUCUCUUGUCCAACGAGAUUGAGAGAUAUUGUACAUGUUUUAAUUACUCUCCACCAAAUCCAAAAACUAAAAUUUAAACAUUUGUUGAAAUUAACUUUUCAAAAUAAAACAUAAAACAAAAAGCCACAAGGAUGGACUCCCAAAAUGGGAAAUAGGAGGGGCCGGUAACGGGACGGGCCGAUGGCUACAUUCAUUGUUGUUUUUCCUCUCUUUGUUUACACAACCGACGCUUUUUUUUUUUUUUUUUGAAGAGUACUACUUGGCGGCAAAAUUUUAAAAUAAUAAGUUCUUAAAUUGAUUAAAAGCUAUAAAUUUCAUCCUUCCUAUAAGAUUCGGAGCUAUUAUUUUCAAUUUUUCAUCAACUUAAGUCAUGUGACUUGCAUGUAAUACAUUUUAGAGGCAGAUUGACAGUUUUAAUGAAUGUAAAAAUUUAAUUUUAACUCAAGUAUUAAUUCAAUAAGCAAAUCAGCAGUUUACGCAAGAUUGUCACAGUCAUGAGUUUGAGAGUUUCUUGACAAAAUAGAAACAGAAUGUCACAUUCCAGACCAGCUUCGCCGUAGAACGAUAUUGUUUGAUUUGGGCCCCGACCACACCCUCACGAUUUUGUUUAUGGAAACUCAGACAAGAACUUCCUAGUAGGUCACCCAUCCUGGGCCCAAACUCGUUUAACUUUGGAGUUCCUAUAGAAUCUGAAGCCAAUGAGUUCCCAAAAUGUCUUGUGCUAUAGGGAGGGGAGCAUGUACAUAUAAGACACAUCACCCCCUCUUCGUUGGUUGAUGUGGGAUCUUACAAUCCACCCCCCUUAGAGGUCCGACGUCCUUGCCAACACAUCCAUAUCAAACACGAUAUUGUCCGCUAUGGGCUUACCAUUUAUGCACGGUUUUGUUUUUGGAAACUCAGAUGAGAACUUCCCAGUGGGUCACCCAUCCUAAGAUUGCUCUCACUCGAACUCGCUUAACUUUGAAGUUCCGAUGGAAUCCAAAGUCAGUGAGUUCCCAAAAUACCUUGUGCUUUAAGGAGAUGAGCAUGUACAUAUAAGGCACAUCACCCCCUCUCUGUUGGUUGAUAUGUGAUCUUACAAUCCACCCCACUUAAGGGGAACCCGGCGUCCUUGCCGACACAUUUGUACCCAACGGCAGAGUGGCUUCGCCGUAGCAAUUGUAAGAUUCAACAUCGACCAACGGAAAGGGGGAGAUCUGCCUUAUAUGUACAUGCUCCCCUCCUUAUAGCACGAAGCUUUUUGGGAACUCACUGGCUUCGGAUUCCAUCGAAACUCCGAAGUUAAGCGAGUUCGGGCAAGAGCAAUCCUAGGGUGGGUGAGCCACUGGGAAGUUCUCGUCUGAGUUCCCAGAAACAAAACCAUGCGGGAAUGGUAAGCCUAGAGUGAACAAUAUCUUGUUACGGCGGAGCCGGGACCGAGAUGUGACAGAAUGGUGGCGGGCCCCGGCCACACCCUUAUGGUUUUGUUUCUAGGAACUCAUACGAGAACUUCCCAGAAGGUCAUCCAUCCUGGAAAUGCUCUCACCUGAACUUGCUUAACUUCGGAGUUCCAAUGAAAUCCGAAGCCAGUGAGUCCCCAAAAUGUCUCGUGCUAUUGGAAAGGAAGCAUGUACAUAUAAAGCACAUCACCCCCUCUCCAUUGGUUGAUGUGGGAUGUUACACAGAAAGUUUGGAAAAUUUUGAUUGAAGGUAGUAUAAACUUUCUCUCUCAUAUAUGACCAUUCCCCCCCCCCCCCCCCAAACAAAAAAAAAAUUUAGAUAAAACCUACCUAAGAUUACUUUUUCAUUAUAACUGGGUGCUUUUAUGAAUAUAAUUUUAGUCCCUAAAUUAAAAACUCAUUAUUACAUCAUAUUAAAUACCCCAACCACUUUUAUUAUUUUCAAAUUUUCUUUCUAGAAUUCUAAAUUUAAUCACCAAUUAGGCCUUAACAUAUGAAUUUUUAUUUCCACAAAUCAAAUUUAGCAAUUUAAAAUGGAAGAUUUUUUAAAACAUUUUGCUAAUGAGAAUUAACCUGUAUAUAAAAAUUUGUACAGACAAUCAUCAAACCAAACAAAUGAACUAUAUGAGAGACACAAUAAACAAUUUACACUAUAAAGGUACCUGAAUUUAUGUAGGUACACAUUUAUACAUAGGUUCAUAUGUAUAGGCACACAAAAUGUAUAUAUAGGUGCAUAUAUCGAUGCAUGAAUAUAUAGGUACACAAAUUAUACAUGUGUGUUAUAUAUAUAUAUAUAUAUAUAUAUAUAUAUAUAUAUAUAUAUAUAUAUGUGCAUAUAAACACAUACAUAUCGUCCAGGGGAGUGAUCCUUAAAUGUAUAUUCUCAUCCCUACCUAGCACGAGGCCUUCUAAGAACUCACUGGCUUCGGGUUCCGUAGGAACCCCGAAGUUAAGCGAGAUUGCAGCGAGAGCAUUCCCAGGAUGGGUGACCCAUUGGGAAGUUACUCGUGAGUUCUCGGAAACAAAACCGUGAAUGCGUGGUUGGGACCCAAAGCGGACAAUAUUGUGCUACGGUGGAGUCGAGCCCGGGAUGUGGUGGGGGCCCGGGCCAAGAUGAGGCAUUUUGAGAGCUCACUUGCUUCGAGUUCCAUGGGAACUCCGAAGUUAAGCGAGUUUGUGCGAGAGCUAUCCCAUGAUGGGUGACUCACUGGGAAGUUCUCAUGUGAGUUCCUAAAAACAAAACUGUGAGGGCGUGGUCGGGUCCCAAAGCAGACAAUAUCGUGCUACGGUAGUGGAAUGGGCCCGGGAAGUGGUCUGCCCCGGGCCAGGAUGUGACACAUAUGUAUUGUUACCACUUUAGAAAUUUUUUUACGAGUGUUGAAUACACAUUAAGUAAAAAUCUUCUAUUUAUAAAACUCAAAAUAAAACAAAACAAAAGUUAAUAAAGGAUCAAAAACAGUAUUUAAUAUUACACCCAACUUUAGUGAAAAAUUAAUCUUAUUUAGGGAUUAUAAUCUAGUUUCCUAAAAAAAAUGGGAGUUUGUUGCGUUUAAUAAUGGAGUAUGGCAGAAAGGGUUCUAGAAGCAAUAUUAACUAAUAACUACCGGCCGGUGAUGAGUACAUUAGUUUAUUCCUUUACAUAAUUAUAUAAAUAAUCAGCACGUUAAAGAAUAAUAAAACAAUUCCUCAGAGUCAGCCUCAGAGUGCAAGGGAGAGGGAGGAGGAGAGGAUACUCAGACCCAGCUCAGUCGGCGGCAUAAUUUGGGGCGGGAGUGGUGGGCCACUGCGACCUCCUCUCCCUCGUCCCUACCUUGUGUAAAUCCCCAUAUAGUAUAGGUACAGAGAAUAUGUCCCCAUUCUCAUACAUGAUCGAGUUGCUUGAAAUCAACUUACGAGUUAUGAUUAACAUGUUAAUUAAGUAUUAACACUCACAGGGCCCCUAACGAUAUAUAUAGAAAACUUAAACAAGGACUCUCCUAUCCCUGCAUGCUAAAUACACUAUUUCAAAAUGAGACUCUUUAUGAAUUUAAUUCUUCUAUCACAGUCUAACAUUACUUCACGUGCCAAUGGUGCAAAAAAAACGUAAAGUGACAAAUAAUUCAUAAAAAAUCUUACUUUUCAAAGAAGUUCUUUAGCAUUUCUCUCAUGUGUAUGGAGUCAGUGAAUCAUGUGAGAAUCAGUUUAUCAAAUAAUUUGAUAUUUAAAUGACAAUGUUAUGUGUUGCAUGUUAUGGCUGCAGUAAUCCGGAAUUAUUGCUUCCAAUUGUCGUUUCGUCUGUCCUUGGAGAUAUAAAUCUUAUAUUACUAUUUACAUUAUGCAUUGAAUACAAAAUUAAUAACCAUAUAUCUAGUUAUCCUAUCUUUUUCAUAGAAUUGCGGUCUGGUAAUUUUUUUUUCUUUACUCAUACGUAAAAGGUCUUACGUACAACUUGCAUGAAAGUUAACGUAUUAUAUUUAUGUUGAGUUUGAACCUAAUUAAGGAGAAAGAGAAGGUCGUACCCAGUGCACAAGGCUCUCGCUUUGCACAGUUAUCAACAAAUGUCAAUAACUUUUGAGGGAUUAUGUCGACAUCUCUCUGAAAAGGUAUGUCAACAGCAGCUUACAGAUAGGGGCUGCCGGGUCUCAAUCAGGAAUUUUGUAAAACAACUUAUAUGCACAACUUGGUUACGCUUACGAAGAAGAUAACAUUAAAAAAAGAUAGAAUAAUAAUAAUAAUAAGGUACGCUUAUGAACAAGGCAAAUGAAGGAGACAUAAGAAAGAAAUGGUCUGCAGUGCAGUUUAAUAAAACUUUCAUGCAUGAAUGAUGGUCUUGGAAACACGACGAGUUUGCAUUGCAACCGCAACAAAUUAUGGGAUAAUCCGGUUAAUUAAGGGAAACUUAUAAAUAAAUGGAAUUUCAUUCCUCUGGUUUAUGCAUAUUUUAAUUAGCUUGAACAAUGGCUAGAGUUGCUACUUUUGCAAGUCAAACAAGUCAAAUCAAGUUGCUCGUGCUAAUGCUCUAACAAAACAACGAAUAUGAAUUAAAUUGUCUCACGAUAUUCUGAACUCAACUCGCAUACUACUUUACCAGCGAAUAUGUUGAAUAUAAAUCUCACAUUGAUAAGAGGAUGAACUUUGUAUGUGCAUAUAAGUAGUUAGGCUAUUUUCUAUAUUGUCAUUUGGUUUUAUGGUGUAACCUUAACUUUCUUUAUGAUAUCAGAGUGUGUUGUCACGCAUGUGAAGUCCAACAACAAUACGUACUUCAUAUCACCCAAGUUGAUGACCAUAUGUACUUCAUGCCACCCGAGUUGUGUUAUCCAUAUAUGAGGCUUGAAAAUUUACCACAAAUGAGAGAGCGUAUUAAGAAUGAAUCUCACAUUAAUAAGAGGAUGAACCUUAUAUGUGCUUUAUAAGUAUUUGGAUUGCUCCCUAUAUUACCAAUUAGUUUUAUGAUAAAACAUCAACAUUUUUCACAAUAUGCCAACUAUUAGAACAUACAACAAGCUUAGUUGGCAAUAAGUUGAUAUUAAGGUGUCAAAACUUUUCUGUCAAUGUGAGCUCUUGAAUAAGAUGAGCAUGUCAUUCCUAAAAUAUUUUUCAUUAGGCAAUGCCGGAUCACUAAUGCCGACUCCGUCCAUUCGGCACUGCCGGAUUCGGAAUAAUAACCCCGAGUUCAGUUAAACAAAACUUACCCGCAAUUUUGUUUAGGAUGAUUUUGGAAUGGAUGUAGUUGUCGUUGGUGUUGGUACUGUUGUCAAACAGGUGGGCCCUCGUCAAUGCUUUUUGGACCACCACCAGUGUCAUUUCCACAUGCCUUCUUCUAGACUUUCAACCCCAACGUGCAAAAAGCAAUAAAUGAGGAGACAUUUUUAUUUCUAUCUUCUAGAAGGUAUUCAGGAUUCUCAGUUGAUCACUUGACACUGACCUCCACUUCUGGAAUUGAGGAACCAAAAUUUGUUUCCGAUUGGUUCAAAUUAAAGUGCUGAGGCACACUUGUCCAAUAAAUGGUCUGCUUGAUCAUUAACUUUUGAGUGGUCCCAUCUUCUAGAAAGUCUAUUUUAUUAAAGCAAUUUUUCAAAUUUGUUUCUUAGUCCCUUUUACUUGGUUAAUGUUUAUUUCUACUCCAAUUUUUUCUUUUCUUUUUACAAUAAGCGAUACAGUGAUGUUGAUCUAAACCGAAUAUGUUCAAACAAACAACUUGAGUAAACUCCUAAACAGCUACCACACGAAAAAUAUACAAUCGUGACCAACACUAAUCUGUCACAAAAACGAGAGAUGCAACGAAUUCGUGUUGACAACCAUAGUCGAUCAUUGCCUAGGCCACACAUAGUCAUCAUAGAAUAGCAAGACAACAUAAAGCCAUCAAUGGUAGACGAGACUAUAUACAUCAACGCUCAAGCACGAAGACCACAUCCAAUCAAUGUUAUAGCGCGACCACAUCACUAGUUAGGCGAGACAACAAAUACCAUAAGUCGAAAAGAGACCCACCAAUCAACUCAUCGAUUGUAAGCCAAGAUCACCUGCAACCUCACUAUUCUAAUAUUAGCCACUGCAUAGAAAACUAUUUCCAAACCCCCCUUGAGGCAUUGAUCAAGCCUUGUGCCUUUGAGAAUUUAUGAAAGGGAUCUCUCUUCGGAGUAGGUCCUACUAUAAGAAAAAAAAAAUUCUAUUGUGCAAAAAGGUAUUUAGACAACUUCUUUAAUUAAUUAAUUAUUAAACUCAUACCAGCACAUAACAAAUUUUUUUAUAGAAUUGUAGCGGAAAAAUCAUAUUGAUUUACGACACUUAUUUUCAAGGACUACAUUCAUUGAUUUUCAAUUUUAGGGACCAUCUUGAUGUUGUAGGUCAAUUUUAGGGAACAUCUUGAUGGUGUGAGUCAAUUUUAGAGAACAUUUGUGAUAAAAACCUGUAAAUCUUGUGGGAUCUCUUUAUGUGCUACAUUAGCACUUAAUGGAAUUUUUAACAUAAUUGUGACGAAAAGACCACACUGAUUUGCGACACCUAUUUUCAAGAAUUACAUUGAUUGAUUUUCAAUUUCAAGAAUCAUCUUGAUGAUGAAGAUAAAUUUCAGGAACCAUUUGUGAUAAAAACUCUUACUUCAAUUGAAUUAAAAAUAAAAGACUAUUACUAUAAUUUAUUUCAUUUGUGAUACAAAUCGAAAAGAGUCAAUUAUGGAUCUUUAAUUACCAUAUGACCACUUUGCUAAACAUUGGUGUCGACGCGGUAAGUGACUAGUUGCACACAUGGUCGUAUAAGUCCCAUCCUACACUAUAGCAUGGGACCCACUUCCACUCAAAUGGACAGGAAGAGGAUCUUCUCCUGAGCUCAGGAUGAAGAUCCUUCUUACCACGAAAUCCUGACCGUUUAAAUUUAAUCUAACGGUUUCAAACAGGAAGUCUUUUAAAAAUUAUAAUAAUUACAACCGUUGAAUUAAAUGUGAACGAUCCGGAUUUCGUGAUCAGGAGGAUCCUCAUCCUGAGCUUAGGAGAGGAUCCUCUUCCCAAAUGGAGUGCUUCUUUCUGGGUGAUUUCUAAAUCAUCUAGAAGGACCAAUCACCCGCCCUUGCAUUUUAUAUUGACUUAAUUCCUCCAUCUUCACGGAUUCCUGUUACUUGUCGAUUCCACCUGUCCUUGUAUUGGUCUCCAAUGUCGGUUGUACUCUGCUGCUACGUGUGGCGGUGCUUAUCCUGCGCAGUGGCUCCCAAGCUACCCCAUCUGCCACGUGACCACGUCCACGUCCACACCCUUUUUUUUCUUUUUUGUUCCUUCCAAAUCAUGCAACAAAAAGAGUCAAAACCAAAGUAGGAAAAAGCGCUAGAUGUUAGUCAGACGACGGAAAAUGAUGUAGCCUCUAGAUGUUUAGACGGAUUUAGGUGGAGGUUUAGGGGUUUAUUUUUUUAAUUUUAAUUAAAUUUAUUAUACGGCACAUGAAUAAAUGUCUACUAAAAAAAUACAUAAUGGUAUUGAGCUAUAUAAAUUAUAAAAUAGAAUGAUAAAUAGAUUAUAAAGUAUUAAAAAAUAUUGAAAUUUUGAAGAACAAACAUAUAAUGAAUGUUCAUCCAAAUAUUCAACAAGUUUCUUACAUUUUAUUGGAAAAAGAGACAAAAUGAAAGUUUUUUUUUUUAACAAACAAUAGGAGAGUAUGUUUACCACUAGAUCGUAAUACUAAACGGCAAAUGUUAUUUAUUUUUUGUCUAAAUAAAAAUUACAAACUAGGUGGACCUUUAAGCAAUUUUAGACUUGUGUUAAUUUUCAAACGCUUAGAAUCAACCGGACGAUAGCUUGGCUAGGCGAAUUUUUUUAAAAUAGUGGUCUCAAAACCCUUAUCAGACAUAAAAAGGAAAAGAAAAAAAAAAGGACAGAAUCAGAUAAAUAAAUAAAAUAGGACGCCAAGUGAUAUGGUUUUUCGCAGUUAGAAGAGAAAACAAUUUGAACAAUUUGCAAACUAUACGCAGUUGACUACUUUGCAUGGGUUUUUUUAGUAGUUGAUGAGCAAGUACUAGUGCUAAGUGUAUAUAUAAUGUCAUCAGGCUGGGGAAGGAAGACAAUGCCUUUUAUACCGUUGUUUCUCUUAUAUCAAAACCAUUAAAAAAAAUCGUAAACGUUAAUCAACUAAAUAAUUUCACAUCACCCUAUCAAGAUUAGAGCUUGGAAUCUAUUCACCAAAAGAAAGACUAACAUGGUUUCCACAUACGUACGUACGUUAAACAUUGUGACGUGACUCGUUUUACAAUUUUAUACUGUGCAUAUAGCAUGGAGACGAUCUAAAUCUUAAUACAUUGCUCAACAGAGGUGGGACUCGCUUUUAUACAGAUAUGUGUAUGAUCCACUUCUAUUUGAAAUAUGUGCGUAGAAUGUUUGACGAUGGUAUAGUAGACAUGGACACGGAAGCUGUUCAAUUGGAAGCACUUUAAUAAUCCUAGAUAUGGUUUGGUAUUGAGGUUUUUUUAUAAAAAGUGGAUAUAAAAAAAAUGAGCUCAACAAAGUGUUUGGUAAAUACUUAAAAACAGCUUAUUUUCAUAGUUUUUGGUGAAAAAAAAAUUGAAAACGUUAAGUAGCAAAAAUGAGUUUAUUCUUACAACACAGCAGAAACAGUUAUUUUUUUCAAAUCACAACAAUACCAAACCAGUCACCUAUAGGUUGGGCUUGGCCCUUACCCCUUGGGGAUUGAUGGGUUGUUUAUUUAUUUAUUUGUUUUGUCCUAAGGGGUGAAUGAUGAUAAAACACUGUAAAAGUAUCCGAGCAACUCCUUUCUACACUUACGUAUUAUUUUAAAAAGUUUUAACGAAAAAUAUGCGGUACUGUUUAUUUUAAUAAAAAUUAUAUUUUUAUAUUAAAAGGUUAAUCUUGAUACUAUUCACCUUACUCUUUACUUUGUUCUUAACGUUAAAAUUUAAAAAUUUUAAACCAUUUUCAUUAAUUUUUCUAUUAUUUUAUAUGUAAUAAUUUUUCCUUGCUUCUAGAUGAUCGGUGCUAAAGAAGUCAAGUUCCAUUUAAUUAAUAUUAUAUCGGUGUACUAUAGUUUAUUCAUACAAAUAUUAAACUGUUUACCAACUAAAAAGUAAAAAGCUUACGAAAUUGAAUCCUUGUGAAUUAAGAAUAAUUAGUACUGAAACAAAUCAAAACUUGAACUUAGUAAUAUAGUCCAUGAGGGAUUUGGAUCCUCUCCUGAGCUAAUGGAGAGGAUCCUCCUGACCAGUUAUCAUGGACAGUUGGAUUUUUAUCCAACGGCUACAAACAGAGGGGUCCCUUUAAAGUUAUAAUAAUUAUAGCCGUUGGAUUUUUAUCCAACGGCUCAUGAUAACUGGUCAGGAGGAUCCCCUCCAUUAGCUCAGGAGAGGAUCCAAAUCCGUCCAUGAGUGGUACCAGCGGAAAGAAAAAUUAACAUGGUCACAUAGAUCUUCAAAUUUGCAUUUGACAUUUUUCUUUUAACAUCUUCAUUGCCCAAAAAUAUGCCUUUCCUAUAAUUUUAAUGUGCUUAAUUGAAUUAACGUUUGGAUUUAAGUCUCAGACGAUCAUUAAGACCAAAAGAUGUCAUUUCCCAAUCAUUUAUAAGGGCUGAAGUUCACAUGUGACAUUUCUUGUCGACCUAAACCUAAUUAAUAAAUAAAAACUCAUUGACCUUGUCUAAAACCAAAAUUAAUUAACUCUUGAUAUAUUCCUAGGUAGUAAAGAUUAUAUUGAUCUAGUUUGUUAAAAAAAAAAAAAGAGGAAGUUUAUAUUGAUCUUAAACUAAAUUAUUUUCCCCCUCAAAACAAUGAAUAUCUCAAACAACGAUCCGAACACCAAUAGGUCUGAAUGCUCUUGUAAUUGUCCAAAUGAAGAUGUUUUUAUUAACAGCAACUCUAGCACAUCAAGGUCCCUUAGGGCAACGGGCAAUUGAAUAGCCUCUAGUGAACAGUAAUUACCUUUAAUGAACAUAAAUUGUCUUUUGCAUCUCCACCCCUAAACUGAAUAGCCACGGUAAUAUGCAAUAAAAUAUUAGUACUUGUUAUUUUAUAAAAAAAAAAAAAUUAUUUUAUUUUAAAUUUCGGAUAUGAUUUUAAUCGGUCUCAUUGUCCCACAUUUCAUUAAAUAAGAAAUUACAACCCAAAGUAUUUGAGAAAAUAUAAAAUUGUGGUAUAAGGAGGAAGAUAAUGAUAAGAUAUUUAUAGAAAAAUUAAAUCUUUUUUUUUAAUUUUUUAAUUUUUUUAGGAUUUUUUAUUAAUUGUUUACAUUUUAAAAAAAAAAUUUAUUAAUUUUUUUACGUGGUUGACGUCAACCAUGCAUCACACAGGCCUCAGGCUCUCAGGCCAUUAAUUCGAGCUGAGCCUCUCACUUGGGCCCCCCCCUUAGUCCAAUUGCCCGCAUGGGUUGGAGCAGGGAGAGGGAGGCAAUUGGAUGAAAUCAUUGCCAUUCCAUCGGGCUAUCCACACCGGUGGAGCUACUCUAAGUACAUUUUAUUUGAAUUAUAGGUAGACUGUUCAAAAGUUUUUCUAUCGAGGAAAAUAUAUCAACAUAAAAUAUAAAAAAUGUAUCAGUUAAUAACAGUGAGAAGCCAAAUUAAACCGUCGUUUAGAUGUACAAUGCAUUUGUUUUCUUUUUAAGAAAUAUAUGUCACGAGGUUUGUAGUUCAGUUGUUUAGUAUCCACCUUUGUUUAACAAGGUUUUGGGUAUAAGCAACUUUCUGGUGUGUCUAAAACACGAUUAUGUGGUGUUAUCAUGUCAAAUUAUAACAUGUGUAUUUGAUUUUAUUAAUAUCUUUAAAAGUGAAAUAUAUUAAUUACAUCGUUUGCUCUUACUAUAAUACGUGAAAUAACAUAACACAUAACUUGUGUUCAUGUUACUCUUAAAUUUAUUUUUUCCCGGAUUCUCAAUCUUCAAUUUUGCUUAUAUCCAUACAGCUUCGAGGAACUUUCGGGUCCCAAGAAAAUCUACAUUAAGAGUUAAAAGUUGAAAACAUCUAGACUCAAGAUUUCUUUUGUCACGUUGAAUAUUCUUCUUCUCCCUUCGUCCGAGCUAGUGGACAACUUUGCCACUUUUGGUAACACAGAGGAAAUGCUCAAUUGAUGUUGACAAAUCACCAACACAAGAUGAUUAAAACAUAAAAAUAAAAAGAUAAAAAUAUACAAGAUUACUCUCUUAAUUUUAAAUUAAUAGCUCUAAAUGUUAAUGAGUUCUUUCGUGAAUUUAUUAGGGAUAUUUUGGUGCAGUCAAAACAUUCAGCUGCUUUCGAAUUGAGUGCAAUUUCAAUUUCAUUUGAUUUUUUGUUACGUCAGUUUUGGUCUUGAAAAUAAAAUAUAUUUAAAAUCCUUACAUUUAAAUCUUUAAAUGCCUUUAUCUACAAUAAAUCUUACAGAAUAUUUUUUUUUUUUUUUAAAAACUCGUUUACAACAAAUCUUGUAAGUUCAUCAAAACUUAAAAAGAAACAUUGUUUGAGGUAGAUAAAAAAAAGUGUAUUGUAGUUAGAUAUUAUAAUUAAUCUACGAUAGAGGUAGAUUAUAAAAGAAAUGUGAUAUAAUAGAUAAAUAAUUUGUGUUACUGGUAGAUUAUGAACAAAAACCUAUCAUAUAGAUCUAUACAUGAGAGAUGGAUUAUAAAAAAAAAAAGAAGGGAAAACUUGAUAUAAGUCCAUUUUUUUUAGCAAAUAGUAGGAAUAGUCCAAUUUAUUAUAAAUAAGUCCAAUUCCUUAAAUUUAAUUAUUUAAUUAUUUAAUUAUCAAUAAUUAUCUAUUCAACGAUAAAAUUUAUUUUAAAAAUCAAAUUUCUUCCUAAUUAUCUCUUUGAUUAUUUCUUUUAUUUUUUUGUUAUUUUAGGUCCUCCUACUUUAAACCCUAUUUAUAGAUUUUAUUUUUAAUUUUUAUAAUCAACCUAUAUUACAGGUUAAUUAUUUUUAUGUAUAUAUAUGACAUAUUCUUUUUUAUAAUCAAUGUGUCACAAAUUAAUGUGUCUUGUUUGUAGGUAUAUUAUGUUCUUUCCUACCUUUUAGUUAGAUUUCAUAUCUCACUCACAUGUAUUGUAACAUCCCACAUCGCCUAGGGGAAUGGAUUCUCUAAGCCUUAUAUGCAUAUUCACAUCUCUACCUAGUACGAGGCCUUUUGGGAGCUCACUGGCUUCGGGUCCCAUCGGAACUCUGAAGUUAAGCGAGUUCUCACGAGAGCAAUCCCGUGAUGGGUGGCCAACUGGGAAUUUUUUGUGUGAGUUCCCAGAAACAAAACCGGGAGGGCAUGGUCAGGUGCCAAAGCGGACAAUUUUGUAUUAGAGCCAAUCUCUGGCUGAAAAUGUGCCGACGAGGACGUCGGGCCCCUAAGGGGAUGGAUUGUAACAUCCCACAUCGCCCAAGGGAGUGGAUCCUCUAAGCCUUAUAUGUAUAUUCCCAUCUCUACCUAGCAUGAGGCCUUUUGGGAGCUCACUGGCUUCGGGUCCCAUUGGAACUCCGAAGUUAAGCGAGUUCUCACUAGAGCAAUCCCAUGAUGGGCGACCCAUUAGGAAGUUCUCGUGUGAGUUUCCAAAAACAAAAUUGUGAGGGGGUGGUCGGGGCCCAAAGCGGACAAUAUCGUGUUAUGGUGGAGUCGGGCUAAGAUGUGAUGGGGCCCGGGCUGGGAUGUGACAUAUAUAAUAUAUAUUCAUAUAUUUGUUACUUGGGUUAAGGUAGAAUGUUUUGUAGAUAAUAUAUGUUAGUAUAUUAGUUUUUUUUUUUUUUGUUGUUGUAAGAUAUUAAUUAGAUUUUUUGGAGUUGAAAAAUGCAUAAUAUUAGAAGAUUUUAAUUGAUUUAUAAUAUUUUUAAAAAUAUAAAAUAAGUAUAAAAAAAAUAAAAACAUGUAAUUAGAUAACUGGACUCACUCCUAAAAAUCAUCUAUGUUUUUGGACCUAGAUCUAAAAGCCCCUAAAAAAAUGGUGAUACGUAGGCAAUAAUAUGUAAUAGAGGUAGAAUAAAAAAAGAUAAUGGUAAAUUAAUAACAAAAAAAAAUUGUGGAAAGGUAGAUUAAACCUGUGAUGGAGGUAGAAUAUACAAAAAUUAACUACUUCGAAUAAAAAUAUUUUCCCCUGCACUUAUCAAAUGAUAGUAAUCAACAUAUAGCAAUGUAUAAAAGAAGAACGACCAUCAAAAUUAACACAACAAAAACAAAGAAGAAAAUUAUCGGCCUUCUUCUUAACCGAGUGGAUAAGUGUGCAAGCGUUAUUCCUCUCGGCUUCAUCGGAAUUAGCCGACAUGUGGUUUCGUUCUCGGAGUAGUUUGGUUUAGCUAAUUUUAAUUUAGUUUAGUUCUGCCGUCUCGCCUAGCGAGGUAUUGUGUGGUUGGAUAUGGUUUUCGCAUUUGAGUGAUGUGUGAUUUGAUGUCGUCUACCUUCAAUGGCUUUAUGUGGUCUCAUUUUCACGGUGAUUUUAUGCGGCUCGCAAUUCGGCGGUGAUCUUUUGUAAUUGCUGAUACAAGUCUGUUAUACUUACUGUUGUCUUGUUUGAGCAAAUUCACCUUAGACUAUUUUCUUGGUCAAUGUAAUAUUAUACCCACGUGACACCUAUGUAUUGUUUCAGAUGAUUAAUAAAAUACCAACCUAUCGUUGCUUGUAAAAAAAAUAAAAAAAUCUCAUCUUCCCAACCGAUGAACUCAAACAAUCUCUCUCUUCUUCUCUGCCAUUUCAAUACGACAUCUUCUCUAUAUUUAUUUAUAGAUUCUUGAAGAAAUAAGGAAUUUGAAAUUUUGAACUUGCUUCUUGCUGGAGAAUGUUGCAUAAAUUUUAAAUUUUAAUUUUCUAUGAGAAUCUCUGCAAAAAGUUGGUCCUCUUAUGGCUGCCAAUGGCCAUUCAAUCCAUGGUUACCGACUGGAGUUUUUACGAUUGUUGCCUCUGAGUCCAUUGGACAGGAGAGACGAGACAUGUAGAGAAGAAGAAGAAGAAGAAGGAGAGAGAGAGAGGGAGAGAGAGAGAGAGAUUGUUUGAGUUCAUCAUUCAUCGUGUUAGGGUUAAAGAGAGGUUAGAAAAGAGAGAACAAUUUCAACAUCUUUACUUUUAUUUGAGUGGACCAAAAUAAGAAUGUUAAUUGCCGGAUAAAAAUGACACGCGUUCAACAAGACUUAUUUUUUAGGCGAGUCCGUCUAACAUCUCUUUUUAGUGAAACACAAUUCAUACACAACAAAAGUACAUUAAACUUGUGCAUGUAAGAUUAGUGUAAUAUUGUAGUGUUGCAUGCAUAUAUCACAUAUUUGUAAAAGUAAAUUAUGUUUCAUAUAUGACUUUUAUUUGCAACUUUUCUAUUAUUAUGUGUCACUAAAGUACUACAAUCACAUAAAAGACCAAAUACUCAUAUACAUUCAUAUUUUGUUUUGUUUGCAAUGUUUAUUUCUUUGAACAACGAUUUAGAAAAAAAAACAAUGAGUUCAAAUUCGAGUCACUAAAGAACUACAAACAUUAAGACAAUAGUUUUUAUUUAUUUUUCGUUUGACUAAAGGACGGUAAAUUGAGUAAAAAAGCAAUGCUUCCGAUCUUCUUUAUAUUUAGAAAUCCUGUCUGGACCAAGAAUCGUAAUUAGUUGCUAUAAAUAAUUCAUACACAAAUUACAUAAUUACAUAAAGGAAUAUUCAAAUUUCAGCGUAAACAGAGAACCAAUGCUUUAAGCUAAUUCGACCAAAUUCAUAUACCAACUACAAAACAAGGUUAACAAAAAGAGAAAAACAAACAAUAACAUAAUUCAAUGGAAAGAACGAAUAAUAAAAAAAUUAAAAUUAAAAGAAAAGAUUUUUAAAGGAAAAAGAAAAAAAGGAUCAAUGGAUGGGUGCCACGUAUGUGAGAGAGAGAACGAAAGGGGAAGGAGAAGGGAACCGUGCGUGAAGAGCAAAGUGGUUGAUGGAUUUUUUAAUUUUUUAUUAUCAAAUAAUGGUUUCUCGAAGACGGAGUAUGUUUUGUCUGUAUAUAUAUCCCUCUCCCCUCCCUCUUUCCUCCUCAACUUGCACCUUCCCAUUCCCUUCAUCCUCCUCGCUCUCCAAUCUCCAUAUUCCAAGACCCAUUACCCGCAGCGCUCUCUCUCCUCUCUCUCUGUUUGUCCAUUGACGCUCUGCUUCCAAAGCUCACAGAGAAAAGAAAACCCACCAAAACCCACCUCUCACAUCUUGCUGGUAUGCACUCAACUUCCCUCUAUCUGUUCCUUGUUUUGUUUGUGGGGCUUCCUUCUCUUUGAAUGGUUUUUCCUAUUGGGUUGUUGUGUUUUUGGAUUCUCGAGCUGAUUAAUCGUCCAGGGAUUUCAGCUCAAGGAUCAAAAGGGAUUCUGGCCUCUUCUUUUUUGCUUUGGGUUUUGGUUGAUUAUAUGUAAAGCAGGAUUCUGGAACUCUAUUACAUGUACAAGAACAGCAAAAAGUGACACAACUUGCAUACAACAUUAGUUACUUUGAUCUGUCGUGUUUUAGGCUGCCUAGUUCACCUGUUUUCUCAAACAAGAUUGUCUCUACUAGUCAACCUUAAGCAUUGAAAACAUAGUUAUUGCUGGCCUUUCUGUUCGUCUUCGAUUACGAUCUGGUUUCUGAACGUUUCUGCUCUAUGAACAUGGAAAAUAUUCAUUAAAUAUUGAGAGAUAAAUUAAAAUGUUUUUUGUUGUUUAAAUAUUGAAUAAAUAUUUGAGAGAGAAUUUAAAAUGUUUUUGUUGUUUAAGCCCUUCUAGAAGGGCUGCUGAUAAUUGAUAAAUAUACUCGAUCUGAUCUUACUGUUUGGUUUAACUUUUCUGCACUAAUUUGAUUAUUUAUAUAUUGGUGGUGUUACUUUUGUUUCAACUUUUCCCUUUUUUUUUUUUUUUUUCAAACUUUUGGUCCAAUGGUUUUUAAUCGCGUAAAUUUUGAUGCUUUCUUGUUGUCGUCUCGUUGCCAUGAUUGAUGCUUUGAAGUCUUGUUGAUUGCAUUUAGGCAUCUUUCUCUAGCCUUUCGCAUGGACGGCUUUGAACUUUCGUUAGAAGCUGAUUUUUAGACCAUGUUUCUAACGUUCUUUGUUUUUCCAUGUCUCAGAUUUACGCAGCUCCCAAAUACUAGUUUCUCGAUCGGUUAAGAUGGCUACAGAGCAGCUUUUUCCAGUGGUUGUGGCUCAAGAUAACUCCAUUGGACAAGAUAAAUGUUCCUUUGAAAAAUGGAAUACCGUAUCUGAUGGAGUCGCGGACUCCGACAACAAAUCCUGUGGCACCUUCGACUGCAGCAUCUGCUUAGACUCUGUGCAGGAUCCUGUGGUCACCCUCUGCGGUCACCUCUACUGCUGGCCUUGCAUAUACAAGUGGCUUCAGUUCCAAAGCCCGUCUUCCGAAAACCAAGAUGAGCAGAAACAGCCCCAGUGCCCUGUAUGCAAAGCUGAAGUCUCCGAGUCCUCUCUAGUCCCACUCUACGGCCGGGGACAAACAACCAAACCCCAAAAGCCCUCGAAAGGCAAGGCUCCUCAUCUUGGUAUAGUGAUUCCGCGAAGACCCUUUCGUCCUUGUGGGGCUGACACACCGCGAUCAGCCCGUACACCCACCAGUCAAUACGUUACUCCGCAACUUCAUCAUCGGAGUUCUCCUUACGGUUCACAACUAAACAGUCCCCUACAAGACCCAAUGAAUAGUCCUGGCGUCGCCACAACCGCGAUCAAUCCAGGAGCUGACAUGUUUGGUGAAAUGGUAUAUGCAAGGGUUUUUGGCAACUCGUUAACAAACUUGUAUACCAAUUCGAAUUCGUAUAAUCUGGCGGGGAGCGGUAGUCCGAGGGUUAGAAGGCAUGUAAUGCAGGCUGAUAAGUCGCUCAGCAGAAUAUGUUUUUUUCUCUUCUGUUGCUUUGUGCUGUGCCUUGUUUUGUUCUGAACAAAUUUUUACCUCCCUUGCCCGAUUGUACCCCUGUAAAAAUGAGUAGAAAGAUUAUAUGAAAGACGUGCGGAUUCAACCAGAUGAGUGUGUUGCUAAUUUUACGUCAAUGGUUGAAAUAGUUUCUAUCUUCUUCUUUUUUUCUCUCGUCGCACGUUUAGGAGAAACCAGAUAGCUCCGGAGUUCCGGGUGUAUACGUCUGGUUACAAGGCAGAUUCUCUACCAACAUACACACUACAAUAUAGAUGUUUAAUUUGGAAUGAUUAGAUUGCAGUUUUGGUUGGUUUUGUUGUUGUGAUGAAUGUGGGAAGCUAAUUCUUGCUUGAUUGGGAUUAGCUUCCGGGGAAAGAACGAGUUCCGGACAGAGAUGCUGCAAUUCUGCCAGGCCUAAAGGGCCAAGGCACGAAAAAGACGGAAUAUCCAACAAAAAUUAACAUUUAAUUUAACAAAUUUAUUGUUCCACAAAAAAAAACUUAAAAGAAAAGAAAAGAAGACAGAAUAUUAUGUAGAAAAACUAGAGAAACAGAAUAACUAACAUAGAUAUUAUUGAUCAAUAAUUCAUCAACAAUAUCAUAACUAAUAGUAAAUAUCAUUCAAACUUGAAAAGAAGCAUUCUAGCCAAGUUUUAACUUAAGCUUGGGAGAUUUCUAUUGGUGAAAACUACGUGUUCUGAUAUCCGACUCGAACUUCAUUUCUUAACAAUUUUUUUGCACACUUCAUUCCUUAACUAUUUCUACUGAAACACAUACAUUAUCGAUAAUAUUUGAUCACGAAUAGUGUGGAUUCAUUACCUUAAGCACACGCUGCUGUAUAUGAAGACUAUGGAUCCGCACAUUGACUUAAGUUAAGAUGUGGUCCAUCCAAAUUACAUAAUUCUUGAGAUGGUUAGAUUUUCUUAGAUUAGCUAGUUUAUUACCAUAAUUAUGCUUCUUCAAAGGUAGUGAUGGAAUUGAGUAUUUAGAUUGACCUUAUAAUUUCAAUCUAUAAUAAUUUGUGGUGCUUUGGAAUAUAAAAAUACUUUAGUUUUUUUAACUAUUAAAUCUUGAUUUUCAUGAAUCAAAAUAAUAAUAAUAAUAAUAAUGCUUAAAAAUUCAAAAUAUCUGAUACUCAGAAGGAUAAUAGAAAAUCCUCUAACUCUAAUCAUUAUCCUUAUCAAACUAUCCGACGAGGCAGGUCCUCCUCUUUCCUACCACCUCUUUUCAAGUUUUCAAGUAACACAUAGGCCCACCCAUUUGCAACACAACCUAAAGCAAAACAUACACUCGUGGUGGACCUUGUAGGGUAGGCACCUAAACAUCAAAGGUGUUACCAAGAAAUUAUUUUGGAAGUUUAGUAUAUCACGUAACAUACUGACCUAAAGCAAAACAUACACUCGUGGUGGACCAUGUAGGGUAGGCACCUAAACAUCAAAGGUGUUACCAAGAAAUUAUUUUGGAAGUUUAGUAUAUCACGUAACAUACUGAUAUGGUUCAUAAGUUUAUCAAAAUUAUAAUAUGUGUACAAACCAAAUUCUCAAAUGAAAAAUUACAGUUACAUCACGUGGUGAAUCAGAUACAUACAAGAAUUCUUCCGAGGGAUAACCAGAUGGCAGAGAACCCUAUAGGAAAAGUAGUCGACUCGUUUUGAAAGCCUUCGGCGACUUUGGGUAAAUGACAAGUCUACGCUUGGAUGGUGCCAAAACCAAAAGGGCCACCACCACUUAGGUUGUGGGCAAAGGAUAUCACGGAUAAGCACUCACUACAUGGCCAGUAAUAUGACAACCAAAAUAUUAAAAGACAUCUGGAUCUAAUUACAUGGGAUACUUUUGUGCUCUACAAAAACAAAAAACAUAAAAGAGUUUUCUACCAGUGUAUAUCGAGAAGCCAUGGCCCAGCGACAUGCUUGGCCCCAUGAAUCCGGCUGUUAUUGAAGAAAACAGGCGAAACUCACAGAAGAAGACAACAGGCAGAUGGGGUCGUGAGACCAGCAUGCACUGGAUCACCAUUGUGAACACGGAAUUCUGAAAGACAUGUCACCUAACAAACUUUUUUAACAUCAUCAGUGCUUGCAUAUUACUGUAGAAUUAUUAGAGAGACUGGUCAAAAAGCCCACUUCCAGCAACACCGAUAUUGUCCUUAACUUGUUAAUUACCACCUGCACAAUCCAUCAAGUACAUCAAUAUUGUCCACAACUUGUUAAUUACCACAUGCACAAUCCGUCAGGUGUGAUGUUUUAUCACAAAGGCCUCGGCGUUAGUUAGAGUGAUGUUAGGAUAUUUAAACUCUUCUUUUCUCAGAGAUACGGUUGAUGUGGAAUAUUUCAACAAUUACUAGGUAUGUGAUUUUAUUACAAAAGACCUCAUUGAUUCUAGAUGCAAAUUUUCCACAUAUAACUUGUAAGUUGUUUGUUAUAUCUCCGGUGUGUGGUUAUAUUCUCCAAUACAAGACUAUUGCUAAUGCAUCAAUCACAUUAUUAGUGAUAUUUUGUUUUUGUUUCUUGUUUCCGGAUGAACAGAAUCAAAACCAAUUGUGACAAUGUGGCAUAUGAAUCGUUAUUUCAAUCCCACUGGGGAUAAUAGAAUUUGAGAUUUAUGAACAGUUGUUGCAUGGUCACCUCAACCAAAUUCCAACAUAAUCUCUAAUAUAAUUGCAGGUCUAGCUUUGAAGGACAAUGAUUUCGAUUCCUAGCAAAUGCAAGGACUUCACGUCAAUGCAAGUUGGUGAGAGGAUUAAAUCAUCCGUUCAUCACUUCAUUCUUUCCGCAACAUGAUAUUCGCACACUCGUUUUUAUUUUAGGAACUUUAACAAAAAGUUUCCAGUAUUGUUUAUUUUAACGAAAAACCACAUUUUUACACUAAAAAGUCAAUCAUAGUACUAUUCACUUUACCCUUUAUUUUGUCUUUAUCAUUAAAACUCAAAGUUUUCAAGUCAUUUUCAUUAGUUUUCCUUUUUAUUCGAUUGUCGGAUUGAAUAAAUUGAUAAACAUCAAAGGGCAUAAGUUAAUAGGGGUAUGUGAAUAGCACCACCAUUUUUAUUUGACUAAUAUACGACAUCAUUUCUAAGAGUCUUAAGUAAAAAUUAGCGAUGCAAAAAACCCUCAAUAAUUUUGAAAAUGUGUCGACAAUAUAUUGAUAUUCUUAUCCAUGACUAUAUUAUUUAAACAUAACAAUUAGAUAUUGACCAUUAGAAACAUUUAUUUUAGAAAUAAAGAGUCUUAAGUAAAAAUUAGCAAUGCAAAAAAUCCUCAAUAAUUUUGAAAAUGUGUUGACAACAUAUUGAUAUUCUUAUCCAUGACUAUAUUAUUUAAACAUAAUGAUUAGAUAUCGACCAUUAGAAACAUUUAUUUUAGAAACGUAUGAGGGUUGUAUAGCUGGAGUAAAGAAGUUGGAAGUAUUUUGCAAAAGGAGAUUGUGACAACAAUUUUGAGUCUAGUGGGGUUUUUGGACCGUUUGAUGUGCAUUUGGAAUCUAUGGCAGUUUAUGUUGUCAUUUUCUCGUUCCCUCAUUUGUGUUCGUUGGUUUUCUAAAUGCUAUAGCAGCCUAGAGUUUUUUUAAUACGUCGAUAACCUUGAUUUUUUUCUUUCAAAAAAGUAAAAAUUUAUACUAAAUAGAGAGCACUUUACAUGUACAGAUAGAUUACCAUGUAGCGUCUCGUACCAAUAAGAACAUGGGAAUAAAAAAUUCACACAUUUUUAUUUCAUUGCAAGACCUUACCGUAACAGUGUACUCAUGUCAUAUAAAUUUUUAUCCACACAAUAAUCCAACUUUAAUAAAUUAGUAUCAAAUUUGUUAUAAAUAAAAUUCGAAUACAAAAUCUCUCUUAUAAAUAAAAAUAAAUACCACUAAAUUUGAGAAAAUGACUGCUUUGAGUGAGUACUUUGAUUAAACGAUGAUUAGCCAACGUAGUCCAACACUGAUUUCGUCAAAUGUCAAAAAAUCACAUCAACCUUAUUGACUUGCUACCCAAAUUGCAGACUUUGAUCUCCAUGCAAUAAUGCCACUGGCCCUGCUCCCCAUUAUUUCUGAAAGAAUUUUACAUAAUUUCUUAUCCCUGUUUUCCUCAUCUUUUGUGGGCCCCGGUUGUGUCAAUUAAAUGAAAACUUACGCCAUAUGAUGUCAUUGUAACGGUGUCCUAAAUCAAUAAACGCGAUUUCAUGUGAACAAGUUAAAGUACACGGCAUCGUGCAAUAGGCUUAGGACAUCGUCAUCCCGGCCUACCAGCUUUAUAUUAGGCACAGAUUUAUCUGCAUCAUUCGAUAUCCUUAGUGACAAACACCUCGUAUCAUUCAGUAUUUGCAUUCUCUGAAUCAUUAAAUUAAACGCUAUUGUGAUUUAUCCGAAUGCGAUUCUAACUUCUGUAAGUUUUAAUUACACAGCAUGCAUAAGAUUAUAUGUUAUAAGAACCAAUUACGGACAAUAGGCAAUAUAUGUUAUAAGAACCGAUAACGAACAAUAGGCAAUGACGAAAAGAACAACCCACACUUCAUUUCCUCUUUCGCUUUGUUCUUGAUGUCAGCUUAUUUUAAAUUUUUGUGGUUAAAUGAAAAUCUGUACAAACGUACUCAAUCCACCUGAAAUACAACGAUGACACGAAAGAGAACAAACCUUCCUUUAGUUCUGCUGAAAAAGAAAUAUGGCGUGGACGUUAUAGAACCAAACACCCUCUACAGAAUGAAAACUGGUGCUAUUAUCAACCCCUCUGCAAUAGUAGAUUUCAUCAAAUCCUCCCAGAUGACUAUCCUUUUUCAAUUUAUCAAUGCCAUAACCUUAGAUUCAUCAUAUGUGUAAUCUUCAACCUUAUCAUACAAAUCGGUUGAAAGAUGAUCACUCCCUGUCAACAAUCUCAAAAGUUCUUGUGAUACUUCCCCAUCUCUUCUAUGAAGUUCACCAAUAACAUACUUAUCUAAUUUAUCACACAAAUCAGCUGAAAAAUGAUCUGUUUCUCUAAUUAAUCUCGAAAGCUCUUGUGCUACUUCCACGUCUCCCUUCUCUUUCAAGUAUUCAAGACACGCAGCCAAAGUUAGAUGAUUGAACUUCCAUCCUGCUCGACUUGCUAAUAUUGCUUUUUUCAUUGUUUCCACUGCCUUAUCCAUCUGACCAUUCAUAUGAUAUCCGGUUGCCAAAUGAGUCCAAAUGCUUGCAUCCAGCUCCUUACCGCUCUCUUCAAGCCGCUUUAUAUAUAAAUCAGCCUUCUCCAAAAGAUCUUUCUUGCAGUACGCAGUGAUCAGCAAGUUGGGAAUUCGAAUGUCAAAGAACUUGGCCACAGAUUCCCAUUCCUCCACGAUCAUCUCAGCACUAUCAAUGUCACCCAGCUUUACUAAUGAACUUAGCAUACAAAGAUAGCCAGAAUUGUAUAAUCCCACCAUAUUUUUGUAAAUAUUCCAAAUACGAUAAACCUCAUCUUUAUUCCCAAUAGUAGCAUAUAAAGUGAGGAGGACUUCAGAAGCAAAUUUACUUGUUUUAUUGCUGAUGAGCUGCUCUGAUCGCCUAAGCAUUGUUGAAGCCUUCUCUAAUAAGCCAGCUUUCAAGAACCCAUUUGCUGCAAUAACAUAACCAUUCCAGUCUACAUUGACCAAAGGAUCGGCGUCUAUCUUCAUUAAAAGCUUCUCCAUUCUGUCUAUCUCAGAAAUGGCAGCAUACGAAUUCAAUAGAAUCUUCAAUGUAUAACUGUCAUAAUCAAUGCCCUUUUCUUCCAUCUCCUUUACUAGAAUAUCUAGUUUUUCAUGUUUACCUAUCUGAGAAUAGAGGGUCAGCAUAGCAUUAUAAGCUACUGAUCCCUUCAAUAACCUAACUCGUUCAUCUUCUCGAAAAUAAUCUCAGCCUUUUCUGAAGAUUUAUUCUCUACAUAGCUGAAUAAAAGAGCACCAUACACCUUGAAGUUUCUCAGUUGGUCUGGUAUGCUAUUGAAGUACGCCUCAGCUUGUUGUAGGCCAUGAACCUUUGAGAUCAAAUCUAGCCGAACCGCAAUAUCUCCCGGAGUUAGAUACUGGUUCCGUGCAUCACUCAUCCAUUCUGAAAUCUAAAAGAAUAACAGUUCAGGGUCUUCCAGUUUUAUCAUUUAUUUUAUUAUUGGUCACAAUUCAGGGUCCUGUUUAAUAACAUGCAGAACACAUACUAUCAACUUGAAAUGAUUUGAGUUGAUCAUUGCUUAAGCAAAAACUUCCUAAGAAUUUACAAGCACAUGACCAGAAUCAUCUACCACGGUCAUCAACACACAAGCAUUCACUAGCAUCCACAAAAGGAACUACAUCAUUAUGGAUUUGUGCUUCAUAUUAUUACAUUUUCAAAGCAUUGUCUUGAGAAACUUUACAGGCUGAAACGUGUGAAUUCUAGUAGAAUUGCAUUCUUAGCAGAGUGAUGACAAUUGAAAGUUAUAAAUAUCACAAAAAGAGAGCAUCUAUCGGACACAACCCAAGUACACUUGAAAAGUAUACUAAUGACAACCACCCUAGAGAUGAUAAAACGAUCCAAAUCUAGCAGUGUAAAACAUUUGUACCAGAACAAGGUGUUGCUUUUACGACGCUUGUUCUUCAACCUCUUGCUAAAUGGCAGUCUCUUUAUUUGAUAAGAAAACAAAGUGUUGUUUUAAUGAAGCUCGUAUUGUGUAUACCAUGUAUGGUACACAUAAACCGCACUCAUCAUAUCCGCUUCUCCAUCCAAACAAUGUUAUCUUUUGCUAAAAAUGAUUUAACGAAUUGUCCGAUAAUGAUUAUGGGUUAUCAGAGUUCAUUUCACAAUCAAUUUUCACGUCAACAACCUGCACUAUAUAUGCAAAUUAGCUCAUACUUGUGAAAUUUUAUAAUUGGGUUAUCUAUUUUCCAUCAUAAUCUUUUCUAUACGAAUAUUUCUACAAAAUUUAAUCUCACCGGAUUCUGUGACUGAAAUCAAAGGCUAUGAUUGACUCCAUUUCACAUUCAUUCCAUUCUAUGACAAUAUUAUACAAAAACUUAAAAAGUUAUUUCUUUUUCUUUUACCUGGAGAGCGUGGCUGUAGCGGCGAUAUUUACGGAACAGCUUGAUGAAACUCUGGAGUUCCCAUUUCUUGACAUCUCUCCCUUCUUCCACCCACUGAUUGAGAAUCGGUACAACGGAAACCCUAGGAUUUCCGGCCCGGGAGAUCCUAAUGUACAAAGGCUCAAAUGGGGGUUGGGAGGAGGCCGCGGCCUUAAUUGAGCAAAACAGUGCACAAGAACUCCCAGAAAUGGCAUUGACACGCCGUGGAUUUGAACCAAGAAGCUUAAUCAUCGAGCCCUAAUUUCAUAGAGGGUUUGGGAGAAAUUGGGAAUUUAGGGGUUUAGGGUUUAGCAGUGGACUAUGCUAUCUCGACUUUUCUCAUGUUUUAUGUUUCAUGUUUGAGAGAGCUCAUACCACAUGUUACGGUAAACCGUCACUUGACAUAUCAUGUCAAUAAUAUAACAAUGUGUCAAAUUAUUAUUAUUAUUGUUUUAACAAACGAUAUUUUAUCUAUACUAAGCAGGUGGGGAAGUAUGGGAGUGGGCUAAGUCUUACAAUGUGUUAGUAAUUGUUGAUGCACAAAACCAGAGGUCUUGAAACAACAUAAAUUCGAUCGUGAAUUCGCAAGAAAUGUAAAUAACACAAGAUGUAUCGUGGUUUACCCCAAGAUUUGGGCUACGUCCACACUAAAUAUGUAUUUAUCUGAGAAGUGAGGGAGAGAGAGCUCUGAGAGUGAGAGCUUUGAAAGGGGGUGAGAGGGCCUAGGAAUUGGCCCUUAAAAUGGCCUCCCCCUAAUUGUGAAGGUAAGGGUCCUUUUAUAGAAUAAGGAUUCCUCACUUAUUACAUAUUUGCCCCUUCCUUUAUCACAUAAUUACAUUUAAGUCCUCCAAGUAUUUGUACGAGAUCUAAAUACGAGGCCCUAAAUAUAUUUUAAACAGUAGUCCCCCAAGUCUUCAGUCAAGAGUCUUUUGGCUGGAGACUUGAAACUCAAUCCAUGUGUGGGCCGAAAUAACUAGAUGUUGUCUUGAACUGAUGCUCGAUAUGAGGCGGUGCUCAAUUUGAAAUGAUGCUCAACUAGAAGUAGCACAUGCUGCUCGGCUGCUCGGCUUGUGGCUUAUGUUGCCUUGGUUGGCUCGGCUUGUGGCGUUGAAGGUGAGGGCGUCCUUUUUAUAGAAUAAGGGCCCGCUCCUCAAUACAUAAAUGAUGGGCUAGAGUUGAUGCUCGCGGUGAGACAGUUGCUCGGUAGGCGGCGAUGCUCUUCUAAUGAUGGUGAGGGAGUCCCUUUUAUAAAAUAACUCGUUGUAGACUCUAGCUUCUGCCGGUGGUGGCGAGGUUGCGCCUGCGAUGACAGCAACGCUCGGGAAAAACGGAAGUGCAGUCUGAGCAGAAGCAGCUUCAAGAGGCGAUAAAAAAAUGCAAGAGAAAGAGAUAAGAGGAGUCUAUUGUUGGAAAAUCUACGGGGUAGCGAAAGCUGCAAGCGAGAAAGGAGGCAAAGCAAAUGACCUGUUCCUCUCUCUCUCUCUCUCUCUCUGCCUUGGUUGUGUUAAUGCUAUUUUCUGUAAAUCGGUUGAAACCGUGACUCUAAACAUUUGAAAAAGAGAACUGGACUUGUUGACACGUGGGGGACUACAAAAGCUCAGAAAAGACUUGGGGGAGCCUCUAAGUUUGAUAGACUUUUUGAGGUUUUGUUUUGGUUUCUGUGUGGGUUUUUGCAGAUUCACGGCGGAGGUGAAAAAUUGAGAGAGAACCGACAUAACUUUUUGUUUCGAUUCCCACAUAUGGCGCUAAAUGUUGAUGCACAAAAUCGGAGGUCUUGGAACAACGUAAAUCCGACCGUGAAUCCGCAAGAAAUGUAAAUAACACAAAAUGUAUCGUGGUUCACCCCAAUGUUUAGGCUACGUCCAGACUGAAUAUGUAUUUAUCUUAGAAGUGAGGGAGAGAGAACUCUGAGAGUAAGAGCUUUGAGAGGGGUGAGAGGGCCUAGGAAUUGGCCCCUGAAAUGGCCUCUGAAAUGGCCUCCCCUAAUUGUGAGGGUGAGGGGUCUUUUUAUAGAAUAAGGACUCCUCACUUAUUACAUAUUUGCCCCUUUCUUUAUCACAUAAUUACAUUUAAGUCCUUCAAAUAUUUGUACGAGAUCUAAAUAUGAGGCCCUAAAUAUGAUAUAAACAGUAAUAAUGUGGUUCAACUUCAUCUUUGACGAGAAUCGAACCUAAGACCUCUUACUUACCAAUGAAGAGGAAUACACUAGACUAUAGUACUAAGUGACGAUAAACUAUAUUUUUUAAAGUGACUUGAGAAUGAAAAAAAAUAUAACAGCGUUUGGUAAAUUUUAAUGUAAAAAUGGUAUAAUUGUGUAUAAUGACAAAAACAAACAUGGUAAUUGAGAUGGCCGCAAUGAUGGUUGUGGUAAUGACGAUGGUUACAGUGGUAGAUGGCGACGGCGGCUAUAGCGGUGAUGGUUAUAGUGGCAAUAGCAGUGGCCGUUGUAGUGGUAAGUUGUGGCAGUCAAGAAAUUUUUAAGUACGUUAUUAAGACCAACUGGCUGGUCCGGCCCACACACAAAAACACCCUACCCACAGGCACGCACCCUUUUCCAAAUUUUGGCUCCGCUUCCCGUCACAACACCAACUCCAAUUUAUGUCAACUCCAUGAGGAACUAAACAUCGUUUUUUGGACUCCCCGGCACAAAUGGAGAUAUCACCAUCUGUACUUACAGUAAGAAAUGUGAAAGUUCAUUUGAACUGGCGAGUUUUAUCACUGCUGCCAUCAUUGUUACAUUAUUUACUAUAAUACAAACUGUUUAUUCGUAUAUGUCAUAGUAAGUGGUAAAUCAAUUUAUUGGAUUGUUAAAGGUUCGUUAAAACCCGUUUAAUUUAAAUCACCAUUUAAUAGAAGUGUGAUUGGUAGUGGUGACGAUGGUGUAGGUGAAAUCAAAUUAAAUGGGUCUUAAUGAGUAUCCAUUAACAACUCAAUGAGUUGAUUUGCCAACAAGCCACCAGCUUCCAGUUGGUUUUCCAGUUUUGUUUUCUCUCAAUCUCCUUGACAAGUUAGAAACUCUCUAUUUGUUUCUGUUUGAAAUAAAACCAACUGAUAUGCUGGCAUGUUAUGCAAGUUCACAAUUUCGCUUCCAUUUCAGUCUUACCUUGAAAAUAAUGCGCUUAUCCAACUGAAGUGGAAGCGAAACUGCGAAGAUGAAAUUCAUCAUUUUAAUUGUCAACACAAAGAGAAAAAUGCAUUCGAAAAACAGAAGAUUACACCAUGCACAGGUACUUACAGAUAACAUCCAGGACUCAAAGUGAUAUUUGUCACUACCUAGAAAACAAUCAUAAAGGAUUUGCACCAAAACACUGAGAUCUCUAACUUAUAAGAUCGUAAGUGGGAGUUAAAGAUUAUAUAGUACAUUCAUAUAUUCAAUUUAGGCGGUUAGCAUUGAUGUUAUUUAUAUGAGAUUAACUUGAGCUGUAGUUGUUUGAGGUGGAGAGAGGUCUGAGAACAGGCAUAUGAACCAAAACUAAUAGAUCACCCAUAAAGAUCAGAUUACUUCAACGUCUAACCUGAGUUCAUGCACUGCGUAAUUUAUCAGAUUACAACAAAACAACUCAAAAGAUUUACGAUUAGAAAACCUAGAGAUUGAAAUGCAACCCAUCAUCAAAGGACAGCAGAAAAGUAGAAAGCAACUAAACUUCAUUUUUUCUUAAAAAAAAAAAAAAUCAACUAUGCUUUCUGUAAGCCAUUUGCAGCUACUAUGCCAGGAAAUAAGUUCUCUACAGGACAACUACUGUAGUUUGUAUAGAAAAUACAAAAGACGGGUUGGAGUUGAACAUAAAUUUACAACAAAAUACUAACAUGUAGAUUUAUAAAACACUGAUAAAAUUGAAAGCCGUUAACAAUUAGGAUGACUUACUUGAUAAUAUAACCAUAAUAGUGAGACCAAGUACAGAAUAUCCCAACUCUAGUAAAAAAAUUGAAUGUUUGGCAACAUUACUUGAUGAUCUGCGACCAGCUCGUGUCUUCAUGAAUUUGAUGUGAAUGUGAGAUCUAGCAAGAAGAAAAUUCCCACUGGAGUUGUUUAGCGAUUGUUCUAUGGAGUUUAAAGUUCUGCUGAAUCUUUUGAAACUUCUCCAUUUCUCUCACAAUGAUAGGAGUUCCAAAAAGCUAACUUAGGCUUGUUUCAAUGACCUUAUAUGGUUCUUCAUCAGCAGUAAACCCAUCCACUUUCAUCUGAUCAAGAAUUAUAGCAACUGAUUUUCCAGCUGCAACACUAGCCCUCAGAAGUCUGUGAUACAAAUCCUCGGACAAAGGACCCAAGUUUUUUAGUAAACUUAUGAUCUCUUCAAUUCCUUCAAUAUCUCCCUGCCCUUCCAAAUAAUCCAAACAGGCCGUCAAAGUUGGGGAAUGCGGCACCCAGCCUCGCCUACCCACUGAGAGUGCCUUCUUCAACAUUUCAACUGCUUUAGGCAUUUGCUGCUUCUCUGUAUAACCUAUUGCUAACACAUUCCAUGUGCUGGCAUAAGGGAUUCUUCCUUCUACUGCCUUGUUUACAACUGAUUCUGCCUUAUCAAAAAGACCCCUUUUGCAAUAGGCAACAAGAAGCCUGUUCAGCACCCGAAAGUCGUAUAUUUUGCAUUGUGACUCCCAUUCCUCAAAUAUCCCUUCAGCCCCCUCAAUAUCAUCCAACUUCGCCAGAGAUGAGAUCAUGCAGCCAUAUGGUACAUCCACUGGUUCAUUCGAUGGCUUGUACGUAUCCCAAACUCUGUAGAGCUCCUCUUUAUUGCCAGUACUUGCAUAAAGAGUCAGAAGAAAUUCUACUGAUUUCUUCCCUUGAAGAGGCAUCAAUCCCUCCAGCAUCUUCAGCAUUGAAAUAGCCUUCUCUGUUAACCCGACUUUUAGAUACCCAUUUGCUGCCAUUGAAUAUAUUUUCCAGUCGACGAUUAAGUUUGGAUCUUCCUCCAUCCUAUUUAGGAUAGCUUCCAUCCCAGGCAUGUCAGAUGCUGCAAUAUAUGCCAUCAUUCGAUUUCUCAACGUGUACUUGUCAAUUGGAAUUCCAUUCUCUUCCAUUUCUUGCAUCAGUAUGUUGAUCUUCUCAUAUUGUCCAUUUUGGGAGUAAAGAUUGAUCAACAUGUUGUAAGGGAAUGAGGUUUUUGCCAUACCCAUCUUCUUCAUCUUCUGCAUGGUCGCUUCUGCUUUCUCAACAGACCGCUCUUGCACAUAAAUGCAUAGAAGGGCGCCAUAUGCGUUAAGCGAUUUUAAACUUUUUGACAGAUUGUUGAAGUAAUUUUCUGCAUGCUCUAGUCCAUGAACUCUGUGGAUUAAGUUCAAUCUAGCAGCAGCAUCACUUGGAGAUAAAUCAAAAUACCUACGAUCCGUCAUCCAUUGGGAUAUCUAAAUAACAAAAGGAUGACACAGAAUAAUUAGAAGCUGGCAGCCUAAACCUAAACAUAUUUUGGAAGGCUAGAAUUAAUCUUGAGCACAAUUCAACGGUAAAAUUCCAAAACAAACCCUCCAUGUUGUCAUAUGAUAAAUACUGAAUCGUAAAAAUGAUUGAACCAAAGAUAUGUCAUCUCAUAUGACUAAAUGAGGAAACUAUAAAUUCCUUUCAUCUUAAAGAGACAAACUAGAAUAGAUUAGAAUUUUACAGGUCCUUUUGGUUAUUUGGCGACACUGCAAUCUAUCAUUUGUAGCACCCAGUUCACCAAUUACAUAUUGGAUCUUGUGGUUCUAAAAUGCUCCGAGAUUUUAAUAUCUAGAUUGCAGAUGCCUUAAUGUUUCCCCCUAAUACAAUGCUGACACCUGAAUAACAUAACAUUCGCAAGCAGAUGACGAAACUUACAAAACAGCGAGAACUCCGAAAACUUUCAUGGACCGGGGUUGUCUACGACCCAUUACAGACGAAAUUGAAAUAAGAAAAUGUGAUAACUAGGGUUAAAAUUCUGGAAGUCAAAAAGUAAAGGACUGCCACAUGCUAAGAGAGUUCAUUUUGAUUCAACAAUUAUAGAAUUGAAUGCAAACAAAUGAAUAUAAACAUUGAAUUUAAAAUCCCAAUAUUUAUGAUAAAUAAUCAAACCUAUAGAUACAAAACAAAACAAGUUGCAGCAACAACAACAACAACAACAAAAAAUGUCAACAAAAGUAAAAAUAAAAAGAAAAGAAAUUGGGAAGUGGGUAAGGAAGAUAUGAACCUCAAGAGCGUGAUUGAAGCGUCUAAAGUCCUUCAAGAGCCGAACGAGCGACUGAAGCUGCUGCUUCUCAACAGCCUGACCCUCACUGACCCAUUGUUCCAGCACCGGCAGAACUGAGGCUUUUGGGUCUCUGAUGACCUUUAUGCGGUCAUGGAGAGAAUUCGACCACGAAGGCGAAGAAGAAGACGAAGAAGAAGAAGGGCGGAUUGAAUUGAAAAGAGCGUAAUUCUUUCGAGGGUUUUGAAGGGAGAAGGAGAUGAGCUUGCUCAUGCAAUUAAGCUUCAUCCUCUCUCUCUGCUAAUGCUAAUGGGGAAGUGUGGCUUGGGUUUUAGGGGUUUAAGAACCCUUCAGUUUCUGUUCACAGGUUAAAAGGAGUCAGGACAGGAAUAAGGGCAGAAGAUAUCCUCCCUUGAUAGGCCGUGGGCUGAUGAGCCCAAAUUGUUCUAUUGAUCUUUGUUGCACCUCCAACCACCCAAUAUUUCUUCUCUUCUAUGAACUUUCAACAAUGAGCUCAUUCAUUUAUACUAUGUUUAGAUGAGUAAAAUAAACUUGGAAUUUGGAUAAAGAGGUAUUUGUUGAUUUGCUCCCUGAACUUGCAUGCAACUGUCAAUUUCCCCAUGAACUUUCAUUUUAGCCGAUUACCCUCUUCAACUUUUUUAAUUAGCCAAUUUCCCCAUUGAACUUGAAUUUUGACCGAUUACCUCAUUGAACUUUUAUAAAUAGCUAAUUCCCCCUGACAUUAGAUUUUAAAAAACUUUCAUUCAAUUUUUCAUCUUUUUUACCCUCAUACAGUUGUUGACACACCUCGACCGAGAUCAAGGUAUGUUGGUCGUCACGUGAGGGUGACAAAGCCAUGUGCAUAGUGCGGAAGCAAUGAAGAUAAAAAAUAUAUGAAUAAUUAAAAACCGAAACUACCAGAGUGCACUAACAAACAGGAAGUGUUAGGAGUAAGAUACAAAAGUAAAUACUCAUUCUCUGUAAGAAUGAGUGCUCUGAAUAUGAGAGCCUCUAUUUGGGAUGUGAGGCCUCAGGAUUGUGAGGGUGAGGAGUCCCUUUUAUAGAAUAAUAGGUGGUGUCCACCAUAGCAUCAAACAUACGCAUGUGACCACUGUUUCCUCAUGAGUGUUUUCAGUGGGAUACUUUUACAUGUUAUCCCGUGGGUUUUCUUUUUUCAGUGGGAUAGUGGAUGACCGCUGUCCAGAUCCGCAAUCAUGGUUCCCAUGCUCGCCGACAAUGGUAGGGACCGGAUUUCUUGAGAUCCCUCUCCAAUCUCCUUUUCCUGCUUUCUUGAGAUCCAUCUCCAAUCUCCUUUUCCUACUUUCUUGAGAUCCCUUUUCCAAUCUCCUCAUUAUGGCAGUUUUCAAAACCUUUUUGACGGCGUGGAGAGCGGCACCGUGGCCACCGACGACGGCGCCGAUGAUGAGCAAGUUGUAGUUCCACUUCGGCAGUUCUAAUGGGUCUGUUACUACUCCAGGCUAGCUAGUCUGUGCAGCGAGGAUCUCAUCCACAACCACAGCAACCUUAUUGAAAUGCUCAUACUGUCUGUUUCCAAGGCCAAACAUUCCGUAGUUAAGAUUCUUAAGCCACUCCCCUCUUUCUUCACCCUCUGUAAACCACUUGUAAAACCUCACAACAUUGUCGGUUGGCUCACCAUCACCAUAUGUGACCAGGAAGAAAAAUACCAAGCUCUCAUUUUUCAACUUCUCCUCAUAUGCUUCGUCGUCGGCAACGUAAUCGUCCAAAUCAACAACUUUGAAGGUGACAUUCUCAUAUUGAGCUUUUGCUUCCUCAGCCAAAGCCUUGGCGAAACCUUCAGCGGUGCCAGUCUGAGUGCUGAAGAAGAUGGUAACCUUCUUGCUGCCGUUGCCAACCUCUUCUGGCUCCGGCUCCUCCACGAUCAGGGGCCUAGACGGCUGGAUGACGCCGGGGUGCUUCUGGCACUAGAUCGUCGUAAGACCAAAACGACGACGUAGCCGAUGAGGACAACAAUGGAGGUGGUCAAGAUCAUGAUGAAAUUACGGUUCUCGAGAAUGACUGAGGUGACUUGGGCACCGGAGAAGUCGGCGGGGUCCAUCUUGCCCUUGAUAAUCGUCGCCAUCAGAUCCAGCGGCGAGAUUUUCAUCGAGUUAGAAAAAGACUCCAUCUGCAAAGAAACUGAUUGUAGCUGCUAAGGACGUUUUGAUGCCCGAAAUCUGGUGGCGGAAAUGGAGGUGUGAGAAACGGAGUUGCCCGAUUCCGGUGACAGCAGAGUAAGUUUAGCAGGAAGUUUUAGUGGUUGGGGUAAUUGGGGAGAGAGGGGGGAAUGAGUUUUAGGACUUCUCCUUUGUGUCCUUCUUCUGGGUGAGGCACCAAUUGCAGAUUCUGUAGGACUCAGCAUUUGGGUAAAGAUUGCUGCAGUACCUGUGCUGAGAUCUGAGUUAGCAAACCUUGCAAAGGAAGAGCUCAUAAGAGAAUCUAAAAUCCCCACACAUGCAGCACUCACGGCUGCCUGCUGCUUCCACUUGGACUACUGAUGGUAGGGUGGUGGUGUUUCCUUUGCAUCUGUAGCCGUUUGGUCUCUCUGAAAUCCUUGGUUGCAGAUCGAGUAGAAUCUCGGGUUGUGCAGAUUCACGGUGGAUAGUGGUGAGGUUGUGAAGGUUUCAUGGUUGUGAGAUGAAAAAUUGAGAGAGAACCGACAUAGCUUUUUGUGUCGAUUCCCACAGACGGCGCCAAAUGUUGAUGCACAAAACCGGAGGGUCUUGGAACAACGUAAAUCCGACCGUGAAUUUGCAAGAAAGUAAAGAACACAAAAUGUAUCGUGGUUCAUCCCAAUGUUUGGGCUACGUCCACACUGAUGUUGAUUGUAUUUCUUUGUAUGAAUGUAUGGAUUACAAGCGUAGGGGGGAGUCCCCCCAGAGAAAGAAAGGGUUUGAGAGAGAUUCUCUGUGAGGAUGAGAGCUUUGAAUAUGAGAGCCUCUGUUUGGGAUGUGAAGCAUCAGGAUUGUGAGGGUAAGGAGUCCCUUUUAUAGACUAAUGGCUUCUCACUUAUUACAUAACUACAUUUGAGUCCCACGAGUAUUUAUACGAGGUCUAAAUACGGAGGCUCUAAGUAUUGUACAAACAUAGCUCAAAUUGAGUAUAUGAAUAUACCAUAGUGACCUACACAACCUUAGGAUCAUCCCCAAAUUUUUAGAAUAAUUUUUGGACCACCCACGCACCGCCACGCGUAGGCCAAGGCACGGCAACACACGCUGCCCACGCGCGGGCACAUGCCAGGCACGCUGACGGCGUCAGUUAACGCCGUUAGGAAUAUUCCAUCAAAUCCCAGCAUAUACUGUUAGAUUCUUAACGGUGUUAGCCAACGCUGUUAGCAUAUUCCGUCAAAACUGACGGAAUAUUCUCUGUCUUCUUAAGCCAGUUACCGGUCGCCUGUGACUUCGCCGAUUUCUGGAAAACUAAAUAAAUCGUCCUAACUUCUUCAUUUUUGCACCAUUUUCAACAUAAUUGGUACGAUUUUAAAGAUCUCAGAUGAACAAAACCAUACCUGCCCCGACCUCCAACUCGUCGGAAAUUCGCCGAAAAAAGCCUCGAUAAUUCCGGCCAAACUUGAAACUCUUCGUUCUCACGAUUCCGACGUCCAAUUUCUUUAAACAAAGUACUCCGAGCUUCGUAAGGACCUCCUUAAGCUCCCUAUGAGCUUGAAAUUCCCUGAAACAAUCAUAUUUACGUCCACAUGAACAAUGCUAAAUUUCUGGGUUACGGGUUCUAGGGUUUUUCGAAGCAUUCACGUCCAAACAAAGGUACCAAUGAACUUAGGAGGUUACAAUGAGCAAGAAUCUUACCUUUAAAACUUCGAUCCGUGCCUGAAAUGGAGAGUUUGAAGGUUGUCUGUACAGUUUGUACGGAAGUUGCAGGAAAUUCGAGAGAGAGCACGGGAGAGAAGAGAGAGAAUGAGGUUUGUGUGUGUGUGAGUCCCACGUGGUCACCAACCAACCAAGAACAUGACAUCCAAGUCCCAAAAUAUGUCCCACACAUACAUUACAAUUUCAACGUCUAAGGAUAAAACUGUCCUUUCACGUCCUCGAGAAUAAAAUAAUACCUAUCUCUGGGACGGGCUGUGACAGUUGUCAUGUGUUGUUUCCGUAAUCAAGAUGAAUGGAAAAUUGGAUGAAAUUUUUUAAAAUCUAACACCAGGGGAAAUUGGCUAUUUAUAAGAGUUCAAGGGGGUAAUCGGCUAAAAUUAUAGUUCAAGAGGGAAAUUGGCUAAUUAUAAAAGUUCAAGGGGUAAUAAGCUAAAAUUAAUGUUUAGGAGGGAAAUUGGCAGCUCCAUACAAGUUUAAGGGGUAAAUCGACAAAUAUGCCUUUGGACAAAAGUCAGAAUUAUAAAUAGACACACACAAAUUCCAUUGUUUAGAUUCAUAAACAUAGAGAUUUAAAAUUUAGGAAAACUAAUGAAAAGGGCUUGAAAACUUUGAGUUUUAAUGAUAAGGACAAAAUAAAGGGUAAAGUGAAUAGUACCAUGAUUGACUUUUUAGUGUAAAAAUGUGGUUUUUCGUUAAAGUGAACAGUACCAGGUGCUUUUCGUUAAAGUUCCCUUAAAAUUUUUGUAGGGAAAAAGAACAUGGAAUUUAUGACCUCCAAUUCCUAAGUUUCUUUUUCUUUUUUAAAAAGGGGGACAGAUGAAGCCCGUAAAUAUAAAUUACAUGUAAAUAGGUGUGUCAUUUCCCAAAUUCUAUGAGUGAGAGUUUAAAAAUAACAAAUUUUGUAUUCAACUUCCUUUUUUUUUUUAGAUUAACCAAACAAGGAAAUUCACAAAUUCUAAAAAAUAAAAUCUCAUCAUUUUAAAAUUCCUUAUCCAAAUAGUGUUAUGGAAUUGUUUUUUGUUAUUUUCGGAGUGAUUUCUACAUAUUUUUUCCUCUUGAACUCCCUUUUUUUUUAUUUUUUUUAUUUUUGAACAAUGGAGAUGGCUAAAGGUCUAAAAGGCAAUAAAUGGUCUGAUUUGUUAAAAAAACUUAUCUCCAACAGAUGGUUGGGCUAUAAUUUUAUGGAGCCCACCAAGCUAUUAUUUGCCCAAAAGGGCAUCAGGCUGGCCAAAUGUAGCCCCUCUCUUUUAGCCCUUUUCUUAGGGGCUAGCUCAUCAGUUACAAUAAUUGAUUCAAAUUUAACGGCUAGAUUUGAAAGCAUCUAACAUUAAUUUUAUUAAAUCAACUAAUAAAUUUAAAAUAUAAAUAUAAAAUUAAUAGGGACUAUAUUUAGCCUAUUUGACUAGAGAUGAAAAAUGAGUAUGGCUUGACAAUGUUCGUAUAAAAACAAUUUUUUUAGGCUAUAAUUCUAGAUUAGGCUAUAUUUAGCCCUAGGAGGGGGCUUAGCCUCACAACAGGCUACCAAGAAUAUGUUUCAAAUUCGCCUUUGACGAUAGUCGAACUGAAGACCUCUCACUUACAAAAAAGAAACACCAUUAGACCGUAGCACUAAGUGGCUUUUAUUUCAAAUCUUUAAAUUGAAUAAACCAUAACAGAAUUAACGUACAAAGGAUUUAGGCUACAUAAUCACGAUACAUAAAUUGGUGUGUGUAAAUCAUUCCCCUCUCUUUAUCAUGAGUAAUACAAUUUUUAGGCAAAUUGCAAUCAACUUGUCUUCUGUUUUUUCUUUGUUUAAAUAGGUGUGUAAAUCAUACCACCGAUGGCUACCUCUUCUUUUAUGUUGGAGCUCUCAAAUACAAGUGAUACAUAAAAGUUUUCACACAAAAGGCAGAGUCAAGUUAAUAAGUUGCAGCCUGGAAUAAAUUUGAAUAGAGAUAGCACAAACUAGUAUACUACUUGAAACGAUGAAUGGUGAAUACAUGCCGUAUGAUACUUGAAACGUCGAUGCUAUCUGUUAAAUACAGUACAGAAUAAUAUACAUACCUAGAUACGAAAACAUAUAUUGAAAUUCAAUAGUGUCCCCCAAAUUGUAUACAACAUAUAUAUCAUUUAUGUACCUGUGUUAGCAACAGGUAUGUACAACAUAUCUCAUCAAGCAAACCAAUCCAAACUAUCCACAAAAGCUAACUGUCACCACGCCACCACACCACCACACCACCACCUACGCCUGUCUGUCCACUCCCAAGUCCUACUCAUAUGAGAAACAUGAGGCCGAGUGCAAACACACAUGCUACCGUGAACUACAUACAGCAACAUGGUUCCCAGUAUUCUCGACACCAACUCUAUUCAAUCUGCUCUGUAAAAACGCAGCAACUUCAAUGGUUUCACCUUUUCCUAGCACAAAUAAAUCAAAAGACUAAAACUUGAAUUUUCUAUUGACUGUAGUUAAUCUCAAUUUUAAAAGGAAAUCAGGUGCAGUAACCUACAGAAACCUCAAUUCCUUCUUCAGAUUGGGAAGGGAAAUGAAAUCCCGUCGAGCAAUUCUCCAACAUUUCAGGACUCUUCAUCCAUGCUCUACGUGCAUCACUCACCUUUAUCUUAUACUUGAAUAGCUGUGAUACAGACAAAAUCUACGGAUUAGAGAAAGCAAACUGCUAAGGUCAUUUCCCUGCCUAGCUCUCUUUGAGAAUCAUAAGUGAGUUUUCUGAAAAGAUUUAUCUCUACAUAGUUUCUCUAAUCUAUGAUAGCUGGAUAUCACGUGCAUGCUCUGUCACAUUACAGGUAUGAAAAAAAUAAUAGGUUUGGCUUGCCAAAAAUUAAUAAUGAAAUCUUUCAUCCUUGAUUCCCAUUCCCCAAAACCGGAGAAGUAGUUUUCAUGUAUUUCAAACUUUAAGUUAAUGUAGAAACUCGAAGGAAGCAAAACAGAAAGGAAAAGUAUAAUAUAGUAGAAUUCAACCACAUAAUUGUCGUGCAAUCUGAAUACCUGAGACAGAGGGAGAUUUGGUUUCUCCAGGUCAUCGUUAUCUAUGAGGAUACCAGUGCCCUGACACUCUGGGCAGAAUACAGAAUGCAUUUGUGAGCUCAAUACUAUCAACUGAUCAUCUUUUCCAUUGCACUUAGCUGCAGUUUUUCUCCUCGAUCUCCUCCUCACUUUUGAACUAGCGGACUGAUUCGUGAUCAUCUCAACUUCACACAGAAGUAUCCAGUGUAUAAGGCAGGAAGUAUGAAACACAUGAAAAGCCUGCAUGCGCAUAAAUAAAAAAUGAUGCUAACUACUUUCUUAGAGAAAGAAAGAUAAAGAGAAACAAACUCUCUUGAAAUUAAAUACAUAGAUUUACGAUAUUAAAAAGAUAAGAGGGUCAAGAUGGGUGGGGGUGUGGAGGACAGGAAGAAAAAGAAAAGGAUGCAAGUUAUUUGGGACUCACCCCAUUCACAUUUCGACUACUGCAAGCAAGCCUUCCUGUCUUCAAAUUUAUGAGAGUGGCUACAUCUUUCCCAGGAAGCAUCUUCUGUUGACAGAUAUCACACAUUCUGCCCGAAGCUAAACGCUGUUGCCGUCUUAACUCUCUCCUUAUAGACUUGUUAAUAAAUCUUGUGUGCAGAAGCUGAUCAUCAUACCGUUCUAAAAGCAAUCUUGAUGUUGCACCACUGGAAGCAGAUGAAUCUUCCCCACAUGAAUCAAACUGAUUACUUAGAGAUUCACUAAUAUCUUCAGGGUCAGAGAAGAAUUUCUUUCUCUUACUGCUGCUGCAUUCACCAUUCUCUGUUUCUUCUGUAGGACUGGAUGAAAGAAGCAUCUUUACAUCAUCAAGUAAUCCCUUCCUACCUAAAUCAAUAUUGUAACUGAAGGCAACGACCGCAAAGUUGUGCUCAGGAACCGUGAGUAAAUCAUUGCUAUCUGUCCUUUUCCCCAACCAUUCACACCAUAUUCUACUAAUACAAUUUGACAGCUCAUCCUUCUCGAGGAGCCUUGCAGCAAUUUGUCCAAAGCCUACCUGCUUCACUUCUAUGUCGGUAAUUUCAUCCCUAAACAGAAUAUGAGGGAUCGCCAGAGAGGAAUUCGCUCCAUCAGAAUGCUUAUUACAUUCAUGACCAUCAGCACCAAAAUUCCCAUUGCCAUUAGAUAUCAAAUUUUCCCCAUAUUUGACAACAGCAAGAUUGUUUUCAUUGUCAUGAGACUCCAAAAUCUUACGUUUAUUGCCAUCUGGAACCACCAACUGCUUAUCAAUCUCAUCUGAAUUAUGAAAGAAAACCAUACCGUCGUUAAAAGGCCAUGGGUUUGAUUGCAAGAGAGUAACCUUAGCAGCAGCUAACCUGUCAUUGUGAAGAUUACCCUUCAAGUGAUCAAACAGCACCUUAUCACUAUAACAUGGCGCAAGGCACAAAGUGCAGAAGAAAAUGAACUUUUUCCCCUCUUCUCGUAGCUCAACAUAUGUGUGCCCUUGUGACCUCACAUUGCGAAGAAUUGUUCUUGUUGCUUGCUCUCUAAGACUACUAGCACUAGUCUUUGGAAACCCAACGUCCCACCUUCCCGCCAUCAAAGUCUGCUGAAAACUAAGUUCAACUUCGAAUGCAAAAGCGCCCUCAAAACCACCCAAAAUUCAAGCUUAAAUUCGAAUAUAUCCACUGGUAUCCAUAGAUGGAGAGCUUUCAACAACCAUACGAAACUCGAUUAAACUCAAAUUACAAGAACUUCUUUAUAUUCCCAACAACUCAAAAUGAAACUUUCGCUAGGGUUACUCCAUAGGUAAAAGCCCCGGUCAAUUGACAAUUCUAGUGAAAACCUAAGAAGCUCAAACCGGACAAGAAUUUUCUAGAAACCCUAGAAUUCAUAUACGAACCUCCGUUCUUCACAAAGAUAGACAGAACUUCCAAAAACAAAAAUUAUCCGAAAUUCACCGAAACCCUAGAGUUUCCGUUCCCAAUUCUUUAAAUUCGAGGGCAAAUACAGCAAUACAGGAAGCGAAAACAGCAAGUACAACCCUAAAACAAGGAAAAUCUAGAAAUUAGCAGAGGAAACCCUAAAAUUACAUAUUCGUAGCGUACUCUGUAUAGGAUCCUUGAGGAAGCGCGGAGUUCGUCGGUCGGAUUGAAGCGCGUAACGAGCGAUGAAGAGAAGCGAACAAGAGGUGGAGUCCUCCAUAGCCAUCUCCAUUGCACUCGAAGCUCGAACUUCGUAGCUGUUUGGAGAGGGAGAGAGUGGGGGAAAUGGAAUGGGAGAGAAGGAGGAGAAGGAAAGCAAGACUGCUGAGAUUUCAAUUUCCAGAUUAAACUUGUUUUCUGCUUCACGUUAUCUUUUUUGAAUAAUAAUUUGUGAUUGGUUAGAAAUACGAAAGGAGAGGAAAAGAGAGGAAAGGAGAGAGGUAUAUUCGAAUUUCGGACAGAACGGAUAAGAGUGAAAAUUUUAUUGUUUGUUUGUUUUUUUUUUUUUUUCUUCACAAGACUUAAUUGUGGUUAUUGUGGUUAAGACCAUCUUUAAUUUUUGAGUUAAAACUUAAAAAUUUUAAUUUAAAAAUAAUUUUCCUGCUUCAACUGUUCUGGGUUAAAAUUUUAAAUUAUUAAAGAAUGAAUUUAGGAUAAUUUUCUCUCAAAGUAACUUUUGAAAAAAAAAAUAUGUUAAUUUAAUUUUAUGAAAAUUUUAACUUAGAAAUACUUAUAUUCCAAUAAAUAUUAAAAAUUCAUUAAACUGACAUUAUGAAAAUUGUAUAACACUAUAAAAGAAUAUGAAACACAUUUAAAUUUGGACAUUUAGAUUAUUUUUUUUAACCUUAGAUUUAAUCAUAUUAGAUCUUAGUCAUCAGAUUUAAUGAAUUUAUGAAUUUAUAACUAAAAAAACACAUAUAUGGUGGGUUAGCCCCCUAACCAAAGAGAAUUUUGGUCUAAAUUUGUCAUAAAAACGAGUGUUGGGUUAAAAUUCAUAUUUGGCCCAAGAGUUGACCUACUUUGUUUGGAUUUUUUAUUUUAAUUUUAAUUUUUAUUGCUAAUUGCCUGCUUUUUUAUUUUAUCUCCACAACUUCUCUCCAUCUUCCCUGAUUUGCUUUGGCCCUUGAUUUUUGGUCUCUUUAUUUUGAGCUUGUGUUGAGUUUAGUUCAAAGCUUUGUCUUAGUUUAUGUCGGCGUUUGUCCCAGAUUUGGGUCUUAUGUCCUCCCUCAUGCUCGAAUAUUGCUUCUUGUCGCUACUUUUCGACCAUUAACCACCGUCAAAAUGUGAAUUCGGGUUGCGCACGGCCAUUGGGUUUCUUGCUGGGUUUGCUUUCGCUUGAUGGCAUUGAUAUUAUUUGUUCUCGGUGCCGUCAUCUUGGUUUUGGGCUUAGUAAUUCUCUGUGAUUUCGAUUUUGUUUUUCCUCAUCGUCUUCCUUCAAGAAAGAAAAAACAGCUAGAUUGCGGUUUAUGUACGAACCAACAUAAUGUGCAUGUGCUCUUUAUACAUGAAGUUAUCAACAUAUAUUUGAUAUGAAAUCAUUUUUGGUUAUAUUUGAUAUCAAAAUUUGCUUUCUUCUCACAUUCUCUCUCUCACUGUUGCUCUAAGAACAUUUACAACAUACUCUUCAAUGCGACACUUGUGGCUUAUGUUUUGUUUCUUGGUGCUUUGAGGCUCUCACCAAAUCUCUGGUAGUAUUGCAUUUGCUGUUUACAAAGCAAUGGAAAAUGGAACUUCAAUAAUCGUGUUACGAAAAAGAAGAAAAAAAGAAUAAGAAAAGAGAAGGAAUUGUUUCGUUGAAGGUAUUAGGCAUGUGAAAAUCAAGCAUCGGCAGUACUUAUCCGUACCUGGUCAGUUACAGAUGGUGCCAUCUUAGCCAGUGCUUGCUCAAAGUGAGAUUCUUUUAUCGUCCAAUGAGAUGCAUCUGAACUCCUCUCAGGCAAUGUCAAUUUCUCUUCAAGAGCAGCCAUAGCAGCUUCAUUCAUCUGCACCAAUUGAUAUGUUAAAGAGAAUCCCAAUCACAUCUCCUCCCCUUUUUUUCCUCCCCGCCAAUCAAACAGAGGUAAGGAAAACUCAACUCCAAAUGAAAUAUUAAACUUAAAACAUCACAAACAAAAGACAUAAUAGAAUAGAUAUUUAAGCAUAGACGAACCAGUGCAGCAAGAUCUGCUCCACUAAAAUUUUCACAUGUUUCCCUUUGUCCAAUCUCACUCAAAUCUACACUGGCAUCAAUAGGCUUCUUCCUUGCAAGAGCUUUCAAGAUCAAACCACGCUCAUCUUUUGUGGGAGGGGCGACAUAAAUAAGUUUACCAAAUCUACCAGGCCGCAGAACAGCACGGUCCAUUACAUCGGGUCUGACACAAGGUAUCACAUGUAAGAGAUGCAGAAUUAUAUUCCUUCAUAUCAACUAAACCUGAAGAAUAAAUAAAUGAGCUUUACCUAUUAGUGGCACCAAUUACAAAUACACCUCGUCGCUGCUCUGCGCCAUCUAACUCUAUAAGUAGCUGCAAUUGUAGGCAGUCAGUUCAUUCUAUUCAUAAAUGAAUGAAAAACGAAUAAUUUUCUAGGCAGUCAGUUCAAGACUACCUUUGCAAUUAAUUUACCUGGUUCAGUAGCCGCUCAAUAACCCAUCCCCCUUCUUUCCCCCUCUUUGUUGUUAAAGCAUCCACCUGUCAAUAAGUGAAGGAAAAAGCUUUAAUAGGCUAUGAAAUGUAGGACAUCAUUCCAUGUCAAGAUACGUGAGGACAUGAAGUGUAAUGCACCUAGUUUCAAACAAUCAUUUGGAUACCUCAAAGAAAUUCAAUGUAAAGUGUUCAGAAAGAGUUCUAAAACAAAUGAGAUAUUAAACAUCAUUAGAUAGAUCUGUAUCCUAUAAUCCUAUAAUAAACUUAUAAUUAAAAAACACGCACACAUGCAUUGUCCUCGUGUCUGAUUUUUGUAAGUAGACAAGGUGGACAUCACAUCAGUGUCAACACCCGGCAAUAAUGUCGAUGCUCACAAAAGUAUGUAGAAAGUUCAGUUAAAUCAGUGAAAUUAAAACAACUCCUGCUAUUACACACUGUUCUCUCCAAGCAGGUCCCCCUAUCAGUUUUUACAAGAAGCUACAAACAUGUAGGUGAAUGACACAAGAAGAACGCCAAAUGUUCAGAAGGGUAAUGAGCUCAAGAAAAUUUCAUUCAGUUAACUUCUCAACCAGUGCAUUCGGAGGUCAGAAAGGAAAUUCCAAAGGUUUAGCUUUCUCAAAUGCUAUGGUGAUGUGAAAUGAGGCUCAUUCUAGCACUAUGUAGGACCAACAGUUGUUAAUGACACUCCAACGCAAUCCUCUCUACAUAAAAUUGAAUCCAACUUCAUCAUGAUAAUCCAGUAAUCUAUUCCUUUAUAUAAUUAAAUGUUCAGAUGAAAUGAUACAAGCCUAUGGAGCCGAUAGUAUUAAUAACAUUUGUCAAUGAGAGAAUCACAAACCUCAUCAAAGAAAAGUAUACACGGUGAGCAUGUCCUCGCGCGACUAAACAAUGUCCGAACUGCCAACUCACUUUCUCCAACAUAUUUAUUCAAAAGUUCAGGGCCCUAACCAGUUAAAAAAGCCAUGUCAACCAAAUGGAUCCUCUCAACUUAUGCAAAAACAUACAUUGAAUGUCCACUGUUAUUGCAACCUACAUUAAUAACUCAAUAUUUCAAUAACAUUCAUCCGGAAAAGUCAAUGGCCGACCUUAAUGUGAAUGAAAUUUGCUCCUGCUUCAUUAGCGACAGCCUUUGCUAUCAGUGUUUUACCACAUCCAGGAGGCCCAUAGAGCAGAAAUCCUGUUUCUAAAUCUACUCCAAAUUCCUGAAAGCACAAAUCAUUUCAAAAUCAUAAUUAGCCACUUGACUGCAGACUUAAAUAAAACAAAUAAAUAGACGAAGGUACAUGCAGAAAUACAGUAUGAAGCAGUGACCCAACAAUAUAUGCCAUAUAAUACUAAAUAUUCACAUAUAGCAUGUCGCGCAAUACAUCAAUAAGUCUCAACCGAGGGUAAUGUUUUUAUUUAAGUUUCUCAAAGUUCACAAUGUGUUUCAGUAAGAAUUACAUCAAAUUUCUCUGAUAGUUCUUUCUGGUGAUAGUCAUGUUUUAGCGAAGCGAGCAACUUUUUCGAUAAAGUUAAAAACAGCUAAUGAAAAUGUUUGGCAUUCUAUUCUUUUCCAUAGAUUAGUAAGUUCUCCAAAACCUCACCCAAGCAAGCCAUUUCACCAAUUGAGAUAUGUUUAAGGUGACAUGUUAGGCUCUUUUUACUUGCAAUUAGUGAACGGUAUUAGCUUACUAAGGAAUGUGACGCCAUCCUGUAAAUAUUGUAUUUCACUAGCCAUAAAUGCCGCAGAAAAUAUGUUCUGAACGAAAAUUGGGUUAAAAGUACCACAUGCAGAUGAAAAAUAAUUUUCUAUUGAAGUAUGCACCAUAAUCAAUGAGCUAUGAAGUGUGGAGAGUUGAGCAUCAUUAGUAAAAUUUAAAAGUAGAAGAAAUGGGUAAAGAAGAUUCAUGUUGAUCAUCAGUAAUUAUGUCCUAGAUCUUUUAGAUCAUAUCAAGCCAUUCCAAGGCACAAUUUUUUAAACAAAAAAUAUAACUUUCUUCUACAAACACACAAUGUACUUGCCAUUCCGAGACAAAGUUUUGAAUAAAAGAAACAAACAUCUUAAUCUGGAAACACAUACACAGAGAUUAGGAAAAAAAGAUAAAACAACAGAAAAUGAAAAUAAGAAUUACCUCAUAGUUCUCAGGAUAUUUAACACGCCUAACAAUAUAGCGAUCAAAUUCCUCCCUUAAAAGAUCUAACCCACCAACAUCUUCCCAUUUUACAUUAGGAAUUGCAGAGAACCCUUCUCUUUUGGACGAGGGCUGAACCACUUCAACUGCUUCCUGCAGAAAUGAACAUGAUAACACCAUUACCACGAGAAAUUUAAUGCACAAAUAAGAAUAACUGGUUUUUACCUCAAUAGGUAACUAUCUAAGUCAAAACAUGGGGAGAAAGGGUAAAGGUAGUUAAUUUUGGAAAACCUCAAAAUCAGCCAUAAUAAUACUGAGCUUUUCCAUUUCUUCAGGCAACCAUGGUUGCAUCCACCACUCUUCAUUGCAUUCCUCGUCCAUAGUAUCUAUAUACAUAUCAGUCUUCCUCUUGUGUAUAAUCCUUUUCAUGGCAAUAUUACCGGCCCUGUCAGCCAGGGCUUUCAAAUCAGCCCCAACAAACCCUGGUGUAGACCUGGCUAUUUUAAGAAGAUCAAAAGAACCUUCAAGUUUUAGAUUGCGAGUAAGUACAGAAAGAAUCUUAACCCUAGCAUUUUCAUCUGGAACGCCUAAAACAAUCUCACGGUCAAAUCGGCCAGGUCUCCUUAAAGCAUGGUCAACAGCAUCAGGCCUAUUGGUUGCUCCAAUUACAAGAACAUAGCCAGACUUGUUAUCUGAAAUUUGCGAGUUGGAAUCUUCAUCAGCCCGUUGUACAAGCCUAUGAGAUUCAUCCAUACAAGUCAUUAGUUGUGUGACAAUUCGCCUCUCCAUCUCACGCUGCAAACUCUCUCUUUUCGAAGCAAUUGCAUCAAUUUCAUCAAUAAAUACAAUUGAAGGGGCAGUUCUGUAAGCUUUAGAAAAAAGAUCUCGUAUAUUUUCUUCAGAUGCACCUACAAUUUAUGAUACCCAUGGCAACUUAUUACAAAUUACAAUUUUACAACACAGAUUUCACAAACAUAAGAACCUUAACAGCACAACAUUUUUCAGCUUGAAUGAUUCAGUCAUCGAAAUUAUGAAGUGAGUAAUGCUAAUACCUGAAACACCAGAGACUACUUCGGUGGCAGAAAUCCUAUAGAAGGGAAUGCCGGUUUCAUUGGCAAUGGCAUGAGCUAAUUUGGUCUUGCCACACCCGGGCGGGCCAUACAACAGAAUCCCAGACAUUGGCCUAACUCCGAGCCACCGUGGGAGCUCCGGAUGGCGAAGCGGCACAAUCACCUCCAUCUUCAGCUCCUCUAUCACCUUCUCCAACCCACCCAAGUCUCUAAACCUCGGCCCCUCACUCCCCUUCACCUCAACACCUCUGGAAACCGAUCCCUUGGCUUCAGGUUCCUGAAAUGUUUCUCGCCCCCCUUGCCCUCCGUUUCCGCUCAUCAACCCAACUUUCUCGCGACCAGGAAGCUCAAUUUCUACAUUCUUCUCCUUCUGGUCCUCGGGCGCCUUGGGCUUCAAGGCACUGUUGGAUCCCAUAUACGAUGCUCGGAGGCUCGAUUUCAUCACAUCAAACUUCGGUUCCACAUUCUCGCUAUAUAUGGCGUCGUCCAAUGUCGACAACGCCUCCUCCUCAUAAUCAUCAUCAGACGAUGUAGAUUGACGGUCACCAUUGCUUUGGCGAAUCCUUCUGACGUGCGCAGUGUCUAUCCGCUGCAAUCUCUCCUCCAUUUUAGUGGCCCUCCGCCGUCUCUUGGAAUUGCUAUGGUCCACUUCUUCAUCUUCGUCUUCGUCGUCUUCUAGGUCGCUGACAUGGAUUAGGGUUUUGGAUUGCUUGAAGGAAGGCGAGUCUAGGGUUUUCUGGACCAACUUGAUGAAAGACUGGAGCUUGAUGCGGUGGUAGUCUUUGUAAUUAGUGCGAAGUUUGUCGACGAUUUCGUCGAGAGAGGUGGAGCGGAGGUGCUUGAAGGUCUCCAGACGACAACGGAGAACCUUCUGCUUUUGGUCGGAGAGGGACCUCCCUUCUCCGUCGAACUUUCUCCCAGUUUUCUUCAUCUCUACUUUGGCUAUGUUGGUACACACACAGUGAACUCAAUUGAAACGUGAGGCGCGCUUAAUUAGGGUUUUGGGUUUAGGUGGCGAUCAAAACGGUGCUGUUUGGUGGUUUUGAUUAUAAAAUUUUUAUUUUAACUUAUUUUUAACUACGUUCCUUGAAAUUUGAUUUCGAUCUCACUUUACCUCUUAAAAUUAAAAAAUUGUCACUUUUUACUUCUUGAAACUUGAUUUUGAUUUCAUUUUACUCCCUGAAAUUUAAUAGUCGUCACUUUACUUCAUGAAACUCAAAAUUUUAUUGCAUUGUUUCUAUUUUUUUUUUAAAUAAGUUCAUUCGUUCAAAAAUUUAUAAUUAGUAAUUCUUCAAACUUCCCUCUGAAAUAAAUGAAUAGUGAAAAUGAACAUAAAUAAUAAGGCCCAAUUAGGGUUGGGUUUAAUUCGAAACGGUUCAGUUUUUUGCCAAAAUCGAAACCGAACCGAAAUUUUGUUUUUUCCAUGAUUUUUUUUUAGUUAAUUAGAAUUAGAUGCCUCAUUUUAGACUUUUCUAAAUUAAACAUCUAUUACUUUUCAACUUAUGAUUAAAGUGCUUUUACUUUUAAUUAAACUUUAUAUUCAAGGUAUAUUCUUAAUUUAAGUAUUUUAUAAAUUCUUUUAAAUCCAUUUCUAUGUAAAAAAAUGCACUCAAUAAUAUUAAUUAAUUUAUUGCUAUUUUUAUGGAAUCUCAUCUGACACACCCCGACCAAGAUCAAGGCAUGCUGACCAUCACGUGAGGGUAACGUAGCCAUGUGCACAGUGAGGAAGCAAUAAGGAUAAGAAUAUACGAAUAAAAAAAAACCGAAAGCUAAUAAGGUGCACUAAUAAAUAGGAAGUGUUAGGAGUAAAAUACAAAAGUAAAUACUCCAAAUCAGAGCAUAGAAAGUGUAGGUGCAGUCCAAUAGGACAAGUACCAAUUAUACAGUACCAUAAGAUGUCAUACAAUUAUUUAUUAUGUCAGAACCGCCGAAGUCCUUAAGGCCACCAACAGCAAGCUUACCUAAAACCUGGAGGAGCGCAAAACAGAAAGCGUGAGUGGGCAAAAACAAACCAUUUCAUUUCUCAACAAUUCUAACCCCUCGCCGUAAAACAUGUAUAAUUUUCCCAGAAAUAGAAUAUAAACAUAUGCAUAAAUAUAUUUGUAAAUAUUUCAAUUCAAAUCAUGCUUCACAUAUUCAUAAUCAUAAGUAUGCCAUGCCAAGAUAUAACAGAGUAAGUAAUUUCAGGUGAGAAUAAAUUCAUGGAAAAUAACAUAUUAGCCGAAAUCCAUGUGGAAGUCUGUACGGCUGGAUUCAAAGCUCAUUAAUCAAUCUAGCUGGAGUCACUACAAUGACCUAUACGACACAAUACUGCACACGAGUUGGAACCAACGAAAAGGUCUGUACGACAAGACUGGGUGUAAAAUAAUUGUGCUCAACACUACUCUUUCAUAAUAGCUGGGCAAUAAAUCGCUAGUCACCUACGAGUCAGAACCAUAGUAAAGGUCUGUACGACAAGACUGUGCAUCUAAAUUGGAUCCAAUAUGAGCAUAUGGUGCGAAAGGUGACAUUAAUAACAGGCAUGUGCCAUAUCUCUGGCUAAAUCACAAUCACCCUAGGUGCAGGUUUAUGAGCUCAAAGUUACUUAAUAACAUGUCACAUUAUCGAUAAUUCACAAUUCAUAACUCACCUGGCUUACCUGAGUGUCCACAGCACCACAAUUAUAUAUAUGCAUCAUAUACUAAUUCAUAUACGAAAUAUAAAUUUAUAUGCAUGGCAUUCAAGGCAUACUUUCAUUUAAAUGCACUUUCUAGGAAAAUAUCAAGCAUAUAAAUAUAUACUGAAAAUCAAAAGCCCACUCACUGGUAUGUCGAAGGGUCGUAGCCCCCGAGUCGUCCUUGACUGCGCUCGUCCUCGGGAUAAGUCUCACCUAUAUACGAAUUAACUAUAAAAACAUUAUUUAAAGCACAUAGACAAAACUAGCUAAUAACUUCUCAUACAUUGCUCAAAUGGGAUGUUUGAAUAUACCAACGUGAUCUACACAACUCCACAAACAUCCUCAUAGUUUUAGAAUAAUUUUUCGACCACCCACGCGCAGCCACGCGCCAGCCAAGGCACAGCCAGACGCACCACCCACGCGCGGGCAUGUGCCAGGCACACUGACGGUAAUCUUAAUGGCGUUAGGGAAUAUUCCGUUAAAAAGAUAGCAUAUAUCGUUAAUUAUUAACAACGUCAUCCAACGCCGUUAGCAUAUUCCAUCAGUUUUGAUGGAAUAUACCUUCAUCUUCUCCGACGAGUCGUCGAUUUCUGGGUUAAAUUUUAAAACCUUAUAUCUCUCUCGUUUUAACACCAAACUUCAUGAAAAUUUAACCAUUUUAAAGAUCUCACCAAGACGAACCAAACCAUACCUGAGUCGAGCCCUGAAACUGUCGGAAACCCAUCAGAAAAGAUAUUUCGGCAAUUCUUAAAACUCGUUGUUCUCGCUAUUCUGACAUCCAAAAUCUUCCAACGAACCACUCCUAGCCUCGUGAGGACCUCCUUAAGCUACCUAUAAGCUUGAAAUCCAAAAAAACAUGAUAUUUUACAUUUGCAUGAAUAGUACCUAAAUCGGAGUUCGAGAGAAACUAGGGUUUUCGAAGGAGUUCUUACCUAAAAAUGGAACCAUUCAACUCGUAUGAACCUCAGGAACACGAUGGUGUACUUUAAACCCUUGAUCUGCAAGCUUUCUUCUAGAUUUGAUGUUGAUCCGUACGUGAGGGAAUGAGAGAGUAUGAGUCCGAGGGAGAGAGCACGGGAGAGAAGAGAGAGGAAAGGUUUGUGUGUGUGUGAGUGUUCCAUGUGGGUCACCAACCAAAACCACAAAAACUCAUUUCUAAUUUGUUCCAAAAAUUAGGGGAAAAAAUGCAAGUUUAGACCCCCCAUUUAGAUGCAUAACACACCACAACGCUCACAUCCAAGGGUAAAAUAGUCAAUUCACGUAAUCGAUAAUUUAUUUUGGGACGGGCUAUGACAAUCUACCCACUUUAUAAAAUUUCUUCAUCGAAAUUACACACAACAAAUACAUCCACUAAUAAUCAUAAAAUAGACGUGGAUACAUCUCUCUCAUCCGAUCAUCUGUCACCCAAGUAGCUUCUUCCACUAAAUGAUUUCUCCAUAACACUUUCACCAAAUGCACUGUCUUAUUCCUCGAUUCCUUAUCUUUCUAAUCCAUAAUAGUCAUUGGUUCCUCAUCAUAAGUCAAAUCUGGAUUAAUUUCCAAAGGUUGAGGAGGAAUCACAUGUGAAGGAUCUGAGACAUAAUGUCGAAGCGUCGAAACAUGAAACACAUCAUGUACCUUGGACAACUCUGAAGGCAACUCAAGCCUUUAAGCAACCUCACCGACUCGCUCGGUGAUCAUAUAUGGUCCAAUGUACCUAGGGCUCAACUUGCCUUUCUUUCCAAAUCGUACAACACCUUUCCAAGGUGAUAGCUUCAGAAAUACCCAAUCACCUACAUUAUACCUUCGGUCAGUGGCAUGCUAAUGUGGGUCACCAACCAAAACCACAAAAACUCAUUUCUAAUUUGUUCCAAAAAUUAGGGAAAAAUGCAAGUUUGGACCCCCAUUUACAUGCAUAACACACCACAAUGCUCACAUCCAAGGGUAAAAUAGUCAAUUCACGUCAUCGAUAAUUUAUUUUGGGACGGGCUGUGACAUCAUCCCUUCCUCAAUUUAAGGAUUCAAUUAUAUCUACUGGGGUUCAAGAUUAAUUGGAUGAAAUAUAGUUUUUCCAAUUUCCAACUCAACAUUUUAUAUAGAUUAUAAAAAAAACAAGAGUUCGUUUAUAAUUAAAAUUGAGAUGUCGACUAGAUUACUUAAUUUCAUGCAAUUGAAAAUAAAUUUGAAUUUUUUAACAACUACUUAUAGUAGAAACGUGAACUAAGAGUUUUCACAUUUUUAUUUUUAUUUAAAAUGAGUCCUUAUUCCAAUAAUUAAUUAUUAAGAGUUGACAAAAUAUUUUUUAGUGUGUUUUAAUGUGAAAAGUUAUCUUUUUUUUAGGUUACACAACUUACACAUAACGUACCAUAAGUUUUGUACGUACCAAAAUAAGGAUAAUACAACGUACUAAUAACUUGGUACGUACUAAAUAAAUAAUUGCAUAACGUACCAAAAGCAAUAUUUUAUAAUGUACCAAAAUACUAAUAUGUACCCAUAUUAAAUUUAUAUAAUGUACCAAUAAUGACACACCCCGACCGGAGUCGAAACGUGCUGGCCGUCACGUGAGAGUGACGUAGCCAUGAGUGCAAAGCGGAAGCGAUAAAGAGUAAGAGAAAUACUAACAAUUUAAAACCAAGCAACUAACAAUCCCAACUAAGAAAGGAUACUAGUGAGAGUUUAAGUGUAUAAAUACACUUUCAGAGCAAUAAGAAAGUCUAGUUGCAGUCAAGUAGGACAAUUACUAAGAUACAACACCAGAUGGUGAAUCCUACUUUUUCGGGAUCUGUCAAAACACCGUUGAAUUCCUCGUGGCCACCAAACUCUGCUAAUUAAAACCUGAAGGGGCGAAAAACCAAGUUGAGUGGGUCAGUAAAACACAUUUAUAUGAAAACCUUAUUUUCCUUUGAAUAUCCUAACCCCUCGCUGUAAAACAAGUAUAAUUUUUCCCAGAAUUAAUAUAUAAGAAUAUACAUAAAUAUAUAUGUGUAAUUAUAUCAUUUCAAUCAUGCUUCACAUAAUCAUAAACAUAUGUAUGCCAAGCCACGAUAUAAUAGAGUAAGCAAAUCAGGUAAGAAUAAUUUCAUAGAAAUAUAACAUGUUAGCCGGAACCCUUGAGGUAGUCUAUACGGCUGAAUUUCAUAGUUCAAAAGUCACUCUAGCCGGAGUCCCUAUAAUGACCUAUAUGGCAACAUACUGCACCAUAGUCGGAACCAAAUGCAAGGGUCUGUACGACGAUAAUGGGUGUAAUAUAAUUAUGCUCAAUACUCCUCUCACAUAUUAGCCGGGCGAUAAAUUGCUAGUCACCUACGAGUCGGAACCAUAAAUAAGGUCUAUACAACAAGACUGUGCACUUAAAUUGGAUCAAAUGUGAGCAUAUGGUGCGGGAGGUGACAUAAUAAACAGGCCUGUACUUCAUAUCUCUGGCUAAAUCACAAUCACCCUAGGUGCAGUUUUAUAAGCUCAACAUUAUUCAAUCACAUAUCACAUCAUUAACAAUUCACAUAAUCAAAACAUAACUCACCUAAGCUUACCUGGGCCUCCACAGCACCAUGCGACAAUAUGCAUAAUUAUGAUGUUGAUGCACAAAACUGGAGGGGUCUUAGAACAACGUAAAUCCGACCGUGAAUCUGCAAGAAAUGUAAAGAACACAGGAUGUAUCGUCGUUCACCCCAAUGUUUGGGCUACGUCCACACUAAUAUUGUAUUUCUCUUAGAGGAUUGGGAGAGAGCCUCUAUAUGUGAGGAUGAGAGCUUUGCUCUGAAUAUGAGAGGCUUCUCAUAGCCUAGGAAUUGGCAUCCCUUAAUGAGGAGAGUGAUGGGUUCUUUUAUAGAACAAGGGCUCAUCGUUUAUUACAUAUUUGCCCUUUCAUUUAUUACAUAAUUACAUUUGAGUCCCCUGAGUAUUUAUACGAGAUCUAAAUACGGAGGCCCUAAAUAUGGUACAAACAGUAGUCCUCUAAGUCUUCAGUCAAGAGAGUCUUUUGGCUGGAGACUUGAAAUUCAGUCUAUGUGUGGGCCGAAGUAACUAGAUGUUGUCUUGAACUGAUGCUCGAUAUGAGGCGGUGCUCAAUUUGAAGUGAUGCUCAACUAGAAGUAGCACAUGUUGCGAGGCUACUCGGUUUGUGGCUUAUGUUGCUUUGGUUGGCUUGGCUUGUGGCGUUGAAGGUGAGGGAGUCCAUUUUAUAGAAUAAGGGCUUGCUCCUCAAUACAUAAGUGAUGGGUUAAGAGUGAUGCUCGUGGCGAGGUGGUUGCUCAGCUGGCGGCGAUGCUCUCUAAUGAAGGUGAGGGAGUCCCUUUUAUAAAAUAAGGGCUCGCUCCUCAGUACAUAAAUAAUGGGUUAGAAGUGAUGCUCGUGGAGAGCCGGUUGCUCAGCUGGCGGCGAUGCUCUCUAAUGAAGGUGAGGGAGUCCCUUUUGUAAAAUAAGGGCUCGCUCCUCAGUACAUGAAUAAUGGGUGCUCUCUAAUGAAAGUAAGGGAGUCCCUUUUAUAGAAUAAGGGCUCGCUCCUCAAUACAUAAAUAAUGGGCUAAGUCCCCUAAAUAUUUUUCAUGAGGCCCAAUUGAGGCCUAAUAUAUGGUACAUAAUGUAGUCCCCUAAGUUUUCAGUCAAUAGGGUCUGUUGGCUGGAGACUUCAAAUUGAAUCCAUGUAUGGGCCGAAGUGACGGUUGUUCGGAGACGGUAUUUGUAUACCCUACACUGAAGCUUUGUAAGUGAAGCUUUGCAAGUGAAGCUUUUGAAGCUGGAGCUUUGUAAAUAAAGCUUUUGAAGCUGGAGCUCUGUAAAUGAAGCUUUCGAAGCUGAUUGACAUGAGUGAUGCUCAUGAAUGUUUAUGUUGAUUGACAUGAGGGAUGCUCAUGGAUGUUGACAUGAGUGAUGCUCAUGAAUGUUGACAUAAGUGAUGCUCAUGAAUGAUGGUCAUGAAUGUUUAUGUAUGAUUGACAUGAGUGAUGCUCAUGAAUGUUUAUGUAUGAUUGACAUGAGUGAUGCUCAUGUAUAAUUUUGGAGUACUGAACGUACUUUUGAUCACUUGGUUGGUGAUAAUAACAUGAGUGAUGCUCAUGUAUAAAUUUGGAGUACUGGGCGUACUUUUGAUCACCUGGUUGGUGAUAAUAGCGGCAGGCUGCCGAAUAAUUUUUUGUAGUACUGGACGUACUUUUGAUCACUUGGUUGGUGGUAAUAGCGGCAGGCUGCCGAAUAAUUUUUUGUAGUACUGGACGUACUUUUGAUCACCUGGUUGGUGAUAAUAGAGGGCCUGGCUCUUUUGGGCAUAUGGGUCUUCGCCCUUCACAUAACAUUCCAACCCAUUAUUUUGGGCUUGCCUUUUUUUUUUAACCCUCUGAUGGGGUUUAUACAGAUGUCUCCGAAAAGAUAAGAAAAAUAAAUCGCAUCAUUCAAAAACAAGAAAAGUAAAUCUCAUCAUUCUGGUGGGGUGUUUAUUCCUUGCUUUUGCAGUGUGGGUGUUUAUUCCUUGCUUUUCCUUUUGUUUCCCGUAGCUCACUUGAUUGCUUUUGCCUUUCCUCUGCACCUUUAUUGCUUUUGUUAUUGUUUUUGCUUUUACUUUCUCUUUUCAUUUUCUCAGAAGAUGAUUUCACAUGGCUUUCUCCUUUUACUUUCUCAGAAAAUGAUUUCACAUGGCUUUCUCCUUUUACUUUCUCAGAAAAUGAUUUCACAUGCAUGAAAACGCCAUCACCGACAAGAAAUUUGUAGAGCGGGUCCGGGACUUGCGAUGCGACCGAUAUGGAUGUUGGUGGUGAUGGAUUUGGAUGGUGCGAUUGGAGAGAGGUCAGUCGACGGAGGAGAGAGAUAUGCACAACUGACAGAAGUGAGUGUGGUCGGUGGCUUUCGCGUCUCUGUCAUUGGCUUGCUGUUUCGAACCCGAGGCGACCAUCCAGUCACAUACAAAUUGUUCCCUGGGUUCUCCACAGACGGAUUUUUUAACCUGUAUCUCGACCUUGAAACAGACCUCGAAAGGGAACCACUGUAUUGCUUCAAGGAUGAAGAGUAGGAAUACCUUAACCUUUUGGAGUACGACAUCAUAGCAAUCACAUGCAGAGAUUAAUCACUCUUCACUUUCUGAAAUAAACAAUCAAACUCUCACCUUCUCUCUCUCUCUCUUUUUCUCUCCUCUCGCUCUGUGGUGGUGGUUGAUCUGAUCGCACACAGACUGAAGGCGGUCGAUGCGGCGAGCGACGGCUACGAUUCGACAGCCGACUUUCGACAAGUCUAAGCACAACUCACGGCCAAGGCCAGAGGAAGCGCCGAUGACCAUGACGACUUUGCCAUGGAGGUGGCUCCAAGGCUCCAAAUGGUUCAACACUCGAUGAGGUGGCUCCAAGGCUCCAGGUGGGGGCAGGGAUUAUGAAUCGUCUCCCAUACGGAGUUCUAGUAAGUUCGCAUGUGUUUUCUUUCGAUCCUUCAACAUCUGGCACAAUGAUUAUAGUCGGAUCCAAAGCGCAUUGAAUCACAACCGGGUCUUCAAUGGCCGGUGGUGCUGAGCCGGGUUAUGGCCCAGGAUUGGGUUCAACAGUGGCGUGAAAAUGGGAUAGGAAAUAGACCUUCAUAAAUGUCUCUACGGUGGAAGAGGUUGCAUCUGCUGCUCCAUCACCUUGGCCGGCGGUAGUGGGUGUGACGCGUCAUACCCCAGUUCAUGCUAAUGGAUCUGUAGGUGGAGACAGGGGUCGCCAGGAGGAAAAAAAGUGUGCAGAUAUUUGGGGGUAUUUUCUGGGUUUUUGUAAUCGUUUGUUUGGGUUUUUCUAGGAAGUGAUUGGAAAAACUGUGAUAUAUCUGAAAUAAGAUUUGUGUGUUUUGAUUUGUUUGGUAGAUGAAAAUGGAGAUCCGUAGGCGUUUUGGAUUUUUUGCGGAUCCACGGUGGACAGUGGUUGUGAUGAAAAAAUGGGAAAGAACCGACAUAGCUUUUCGUGUCGAUUCCCAUAGACGGCACCAAAUGUUGAUGCAUAAAACCAGAGGGGUCUUGGAACAACAUAAAUCCAACCGUGAAUCUGCAAGAAAUGUAAAGAACACAAGAUGUAUCGUGGUUCACCCCAAUAUUUGCGCUACGUCCACACUGAUAUUGUAUUUCUCUGAGAGGAUUAUAAGGGAGAGAGCCUCUGUAUGUGAGGAUGAGAGCUUUGCUCUUAAUAUGAGAGGCUUCUCAUGGCCUAGGAAUUAGCCUCCCUUAAUGAGGAGAGUGAGGGGUCCUUUUAUAGAAUAAAGGCUCCUCACUUAUUACAUAUUUGCCCCUUCAUUUAUUACAUAAUUACAUUUGAGUCCCCCGAGUAUUUAUACGAAAUCUAAAUACGGAAGCCCUAAGUAUGGUACAAACAUAUGAUAAUGCAUAUACUAAAAUAAAAUAUAGGCAUUGGCAUAGCAUGGCAUUUAAAUCACAUUUCCUUUAAAUACGUUUUCUGGGAAAAACGUCAAGUGUGUAUAUAUAUAUAUACUAAAAAUAACUGCCCACUCACAGAUAUGUCGAUGGGUCGUAGCUUCUGAGCCUCGAUUGAUUACGCACGUCCUGAGAAUUGGUCUCACCUAUAGGCGUAAUAACCAAAUAAACGUUAUUUAACGCACAUAACCAACAAUAGGUAAUAACUUCUCAUAUAUUGCUCAACUUGGGUAUACGAAUAUACCACAGUGACCUACACAACCUCAGGAUCAUCCUAAAAUUUUUAGAAUAUUUUUCCUAGCUCCCACGCGCCGCCACGAGCCGGCCAAGGCACGGCCAAACGCGCCCCCACGCGCGGCCAUGUGCCAGGCACACUGACGGUGUCAAUUGACGCCGUCAGGUAUAUUCCUUAACAAAACUUAAUGGCGUGACUAACGCCGUUAGAAUAUUCCGUUAAACUUAACGGAAUAUUCUCUUGCCUUCUCCCUUCAGCUCCUGCGACCGUUGCCGUCGCCGUCGCCAGAAACUGGGAAAUUUUCAUUUCUUUAUAUCUUCUUCGUUUUUAACCCAAAAUUUAUAAAACUUGAACCAUUUUAAAGAUCUCCCAACGAAGAACAAAACCAUACCUGAUUCGAGCUCUGAAACCACCGGAAUCCUGCCGGAAAAAGCUUCGAUAAUCCAACAAACCUUAAAACUCGUCGUUCUCACGAUUCCGACAUCCAAUUUCUUCAAACGAAGUACUCCGAGCUGCGUAAGGACCUUCUUAAGCUCCCUAUGUCCUUUAAAUUCCCUAAAAAUUAACAUUUUACGUGAGCAUGAAUAGUAGCCAAAAUUGGGUUUUGUGGUUCAACGUGAAAUCGAAGGUAAUCUUACCUGUAAUUAGUACAUUUGAACUCGUGAGGACCUUAGGAACACAAUGGUACCAUUUUUCUUCUUCGAUCUGUCACGUUUACAAGGAAUUCUGGUUGUGUCCGUACAAGAGAGGAAGAGAGGAAGAGAGGGAGAGUGUGAGUCUGAGAGAGAGAGGACACAUGAGUGAGAGAGAGAAAGUGAGGUGUAGUGUGUGGACCAAAUCUCUCCAACCAAUCAAAAUUUAGUCUUUCUUAAUUCCUAAGUGGUUCCAAAAACUUAGGAAAUCAUAAUUAAAUCCAACUUAAAUACAAGUCAUACGCCACACAACUUAACGUCCAAGGGUAAACUAGUAAUUUCACGUCAACGAAAAUUAUUUUUCGGAACGGGCUGUCACAAAUAACGUACCAAAUGAUUGGUACGUUAUAUUUAAUAUAUCUGUUUGGUACGUUAUAUUUAAUAUAUGUGUAUGUUAUAUUUCAUAAUUGUAUGUUAAUAGGAUGUUUAUGUGUUUUUAGAAUUUAAAACAACAAAUUAUUUGAAUAAGAAAAAUUCAUUUUGAACGAAUUAUGAUAAGAUUAGAUAGGAAGUUUGUGGUGAUUUUAGAAUAUUUGUGAUAUUUUGAACUAGUUGGUUAAUUAAAUACAAUAAAAAUCAUAAUUUUUAAUUAAAAAUUAGUAGAAUGUUUGAUCAAAAGUUUAAAAGUUAUAGAUGUUUGAUUAAAAAAAAUUCAAAUUUGAGGCAUCUAUAUCAAAAUGCCCCCUUUUUUUUAUCUGAAGCGUGAAGCACAUGCUUCCCUGCCUUGAGUUUCCUCAAUGAGCAAUCAAUCUGCAACAUGCCCUAAUCAAAAUAUUUGAACUUCAACUGAGAAGUCAACUUAACUCAUGCUUUUCAAUUUUCAUCUCUGCAUUACACAAUAUUAUACAAAAGCUUAAUACUUAUGGAUUGUAAACACGGUUGCAGCAUUUGAGCUGAAACAAGAAAAACCCAACAGUUGAAAAACUAAUUCAAAAACCACAAACAGAGAACUCAACCUAAUUUACUAAAUUAAAAUCAACCAAAACGAAAAAAAAUCAAUCUUUUUUUUUAAAUUAAUAGUUAAAAUAAGGAAGAGAUUGUGAACCUGCGGAAGCAAGCAUUGAAAGAGCAACAAUGGCGAGUGCGCUGACAAAAAGUGCCAUGCAAUUGCAGGGCCAAGUUGAAGUAAUCGAACUCUCUAUGCCCUCCUCUUCUGCUUUCGAUUUGAAAGGGGUGAGGGAAAAUUAUGGUUUGGAAGAAGGAAUCCGCGAAGAAGAGGAGAAGACUGGAGAGAGAGUGAUUUGGAGGAAGAGAGGAAUGAGAGAAAGAGAGACUGAGGAAGCAGAGAGAGAGGAAGAAAGCAGCGGAGGGGAGAGAGAGUGUUUGAGAAAACCAAAAGGUGAAAACUGAAAUGGGAGAGAGUGACAGUUAAGGUUUGUAUACUUUAGAAAUUUUAUAAAGCAUUAAAGAUUAGAAUACCUAUAAAUAAUUUAAUGGUACAACUAUAGCAACACAAAGCCUACAGUCAAGUUGGCUUAAAGCAAGUAUCCUCAACUUGUAAGGAAGGGGUUCGAAUUCUCAUGCCACCAGGUUUUGAGUAUUUAUAUAUGAUUUUCAUAUAUCAGUUCGGUUCAUUUUUUUUUCGGUUCGAUUUUUUCAGUCUAGGUUCGGUUUUCGGUUUUUCAAACCCACCCCUUGGCCCAAUGUAUGGUACAACAAGAGCCCCUCAAGUCUUCAGUCAAGAGAGUCUUUUGGUUAGAGACAUCAAAUUCAAUCCAUGUGCGGGCUGAAAUGACUAGAUGUCGUCCAGAAUCGGUACUCGACAUGAGGCGGUGCUCAACGUGAAGCUGUACUUAGCUAGAGUUAGCACAUGUUGUGAGGUUGCUCGGCUAGAGGCGAUGCUCACGGCGAGGCGGUUACUCGUUUGGGGGCUAUGCUCGUUGCAAGACGGCUCGGCUCUUGGCAUUUCUUGUUGCGAGUAUGCGUCUAUGUGAGUGUGCGCUCAAUAUGAGUUAACUCUUGACAUGACUCGGGUCUGCUUGUUGGGUUCACAUAUUGUGUUUAUGUGUCGGGUUCGCAGAUCGAGUCUACACAUCGGGUCUUUGAGUCAGGGUCAUACGUAGAGUCUUUGAAUUGCGUCCACAAGUUGGGUUCGUGAGUCAGGGUCUGUGUAAUGACCCGUCUUGAAAUUUAUGUUUUAAUUAGCUAAAUUUACAAAAAUAACCCUAACGAUGAAAGCGUUGACUUUCGUUGACUCUCGUUUUAUGAUAUGUAAGAAUUUUUCUUUUAAUUUAUUCACGUAGCACUCGUCGAUACAAACAUGUAGACAUGAGCGAAAUUAAUUUUGGAAUUAAAAUGAAGUUUCUACGAAUUUUUAAACAUCAUGGGCAUUUUGGUAAAUUCACAAUAAGAGAUAUUUGUCCACUUUGGACCAUCCACAGGCUAACACGUGGCAAUUUUUCCUCAUUUUUUUAGGUGUUCUUUUCUAUCCUGUGUGUCUUCCUCCCUUUUUUUUUUCUUUCCAUUUUCUUAUUCCAUCACUCUCCAUCUUAUCUUUUUCCUUCUCCCGUGCACCAUCCCUCUCUUGGCCAAAUAACACACACACCUAUACAUCAACAAACAAAUAACAACACCAACCCUCCACCAUUCCUAGCCUCUAUGGUUAGGUCUUGAACCAAAAAUUUAGGAGAAAAACCUGUUGGAAAACCCUUUCCCGAGCUGCACUGUGCAAGGAACUUCUUCGAAGAAUUUUGACCAUUUACGGCGAAGGUAAGCCUCGAAAUUAGUCCAUACCAUUGUAGAUCGUGUCUAAGUUCACGAUUAGUAAGUUUGUGGGUGGUUUUGGUAGUGUAGGAACUCGAAAAACACUAAGGAAGUCACUGUGCAAAAUAUGGAAUUUCAAAACCGUGGUCGUUUGGCCACGUUCCAGCCAUUUUUUCGGCCAACUCCGAUCUCCGUUGGGCCUCCUAAGGGUAUGAAUCUCUUCUCCACAUUCCAAACUACAUUUUGACGUUUGAAUAACUCGAUUUGCUCAGAAUGAGAUCUUGAAGUUGGUUUAAAAAGCUGAAGAAAUUACAGAAAUUCGAAGUAGGUGAGUACAAGUGUACUUGCUGCGUGUGGGGUUGGCAUGGGCCAGCGCGUGGAGUGCAUGCACCUUCGUCGAAGGCAUUGUGCUCCGUCGCCAUCCACAAUGACAACCACAGCGGCGCCAUCGACUUUUUCGGCCAACCUUCCGGUGACUCAACUUGGCACGUGGCCUUCCAGAUAGCAAUCCCAUGGCGGUGUGUGGGGGAACCCGAGGUCCCUUCUUAGGUUUUUCGACGUCCCGAAUCCGAAUCCGAAGUCCGUUUUCCCAAAUUCAAUCAUCUAAGUAGAAUUUUACUAAUUGGUCCCUUUAUGUGCUUAGGUGCGUCGUUUGGUGGCAAUCCUGUCCUCCCUAGUUCGAACGGCUCUUCAACGACAAAGUAUUUGUGAGUGAACCCUUUCUCAAAUUGCAUUUUUUUUUAUAAAAUAUUAGGCUUCCAUGCAUUUCAUAUUUCAUGAAUUGACUAUGUUUUAUAUUAUGUUUUACGAAUUUCUAUAUUUAUGAUUUCGGAGAAUUCAUGAUUUAUUUGAUUCGCUUUUAUGAAAUAUUCUUGAUUUGUCUAUUUAAGGUUUAUAAAAUGGCAUGUUUAUAGAAAUCACAUUUAUGGAAUUUCUUAUGAUUUCAGAUGAUGAGGUUUUGGUAUUCUACACUUGGUAUGAGAUUUUGGUUAUGUUUUUUGGUGCUUAUCUAGUGGGUAAUCAUACAACACAUACACACAACUUGAGUAUGUAUACGUCUAUAGCCAUAGGACAUAGUCGAGGAACAGUGAGAUAUUAUUACAUGCUCCCAGCUUCAUUGACAAAACCAAUGUUGGACAGCUUCACUAGCCACGACUAGUGUUGAUGUGUUAUGUUAUAUUUCUUAUUUAGCAUAACCCAGAGUCGUACAACUUCACCUUCAGGUGAUAGGACCUAUCGAAUUUCUUCACUGGUGUAACCCAGUGUCGUACUGCUUCACCUUCGGGUGAUAGUUAUGCCUUUGGGCGACUAUGAUACCCCUAAUUGAGUACAUCAUUGAUGUGAUUUACGAAGGUUUUAUGGAUUUGCCUUCAAGUGACUAUGUUACCAUUACUGAGUACUGGUUUAUACGUACAUGUUUUAUGAACGUUUUCAUGGCAUGCUAGAGUUUUCAAAAAACCUACUAUGUAGUACUAUAUGAGUUUUCAAAACAGGGGGUUAGUAUGUUCAAAAGAAAAAUGGUUUUACUUAGUAUUAUUAUUAUAAACUUUGGUCCACUCACUGUUUUGUUUUGCGCCCCCUUCAGGAUUUAGAAUUGAGCCGUACGAUCUCGGUGUCAGGGCACUUCCGCAUAGGUAUCUUCGAGUAUUCUCAAUGUAAGACCCAUUCAUUUGUUUGUACCUUUUUAUAAUAAUUCUUUCACAUUACUCUUGAUUAGUUGUAUGCUCUGAACACGUUUCCGCAUUGGCAUAUUUCUUUCUAAUUACAUAUUUUAUUUGUAUGCAUAUUUACAAUUGUUUCGUCACCCUCGGAUGUCGGCCAGCACGUACUUAUCAUGGUGUUUGGAGGAUAUAGGGAUCGGGGCGUGUUAGUUCGAGCUUCAAAGUGUCCAAGCUUGUGGAUGUCCAAUCUUGUAAAUGCCCGAAUGAGUGGGUGUUCGAGCUCGCGGAUGUCCGAGCACAUAAGUGUCCAGAUGAGCGAGUGUCCGAGUUAGUGGGUGUCCAGUCAAAUAAGAGGUCACCAUUCCGACUAAAUCUUUGUCACUAUAAGCAUGUGGCUCAGUAAUGUGAACUACUAUAAUUUAAUUUAUUUUUUAUUUUUGGAGAAAAGUUGCUUUAUUCCAACACAAUAACUACACAAGAAAAGGCCCAAAUACAUACACAUAAACAAAAAGAAGGACCUCAUAAGCAACUAAAGAGCCAAAAACAAAGAAAAUACCGAAACAAACCCUAACAUCUUUAACCCGCCAUCGUCGGAAAGCCGCUUACCAACUAACAGAAACAAAUGUUCCUUGCACACACCUGAAAACAAGUAGAACAAAGCCCUAAAACUAGAAGAAAAUGGAGUUAAAAUAGAACCCCAAAACAAAUCCCCAAACACCGCCAAACACCACACUGAUAGCUACCACACAUCGAAAUAAGCUUACGGGAAGAAGCAACCCGUUAGCAACAGGGCCAAUAAAGUGAAACCUAAAACGAAGGAAGCCAGUGGGAAAGAGCAACCCAUUAGCAACAGUGCCAUCAAAGGCAAUCCCAAAGAAGGUGGUGGUGUGAACACCUGAGUGAAAACUCUACGCACCUUCUGGGUAAAAUGUGAAAAAUCGCAAUACAAAGAUGGAGAAGCCAAACCAGGAUGUGAAGUCAAAGAAGGAUGGGGCUGAUUGGGUGGAAGAUGGAGUGAAGUGUCGAGGAAAGUGGAAGAAAAAUGAGAAAAAGAUGGAAAGAAGAUGCAAAGAAAGGGGAAAAGGAAGAAACGGCAAAAUGAAAAAAAAAAGGAAAAAAAAAGUAAAAGGAAGGGAGAAGGAAAGUGGAAGGGAGGAGAGAAAUGAGAAAAAUAGAGGGGGGAGUGGAAAGGAAGUGGAAGGGAUGAAGGAAACCAAGGAAAAAAGGGCUACAGACAAAGAAAUCAGGGGCACAAGAAGUUGGAAAAAAGUGAUGAUUAGGCCCCUGGAGAGGGGGAAACAGAAGCUCAGGGAAAAGGAAAGGAAAAGAAAAGUGGAAAAGGAAAAAAAGAGGACUGUCAUCGACCCUAGACAUAGCUAGGGUCGACGGUUGGGGAAAAUACAAAACAGAGAACACUCAAACACUGUUGAGAAAGGCUCUCACAAGAUGAGAAAAGCUGAGAGCUUGGCCUCAGAACUAUUGAUCGCUGCUUUUCGUACAGUGAACUACUAUAAUUUUGGUUCCUGGUUAAUCAAUCAAAUGCAUGAGCAUUGUCUAUAAGCAAUUAAUUGUCAAUGUGUACAUAUUGUGAGCAUUGUCAUAUGAGUAUGCCUUAAAUAGUGUGACUAUACAAUUUCAUGCUAUAAAACAUAAUAACAUAGCAUGCUGAAUGCGGUUUCAAUAAAAUGUAACAAGUUACAUGCCGUAGAAUGUAUGUGGUGCCGUUGCCAUGUCCCAUGAUGAAACUGUUAUAUCAAUAGAACAUUAAUAAAAAUUAUAAAAUAAUAAUUUAUUUGUGUAUUAGCAUUUUAUUUAAUAAGAGGACAAGUCAUAGAAUUGUUAUAUCAAAUUACAUUUUACAACCUCAGGUUUGAGGUCUAUUACAACCUUAUACAACAUUAUUAAAACAUUUCAUUUUCAUACCUCACAUACUAUUUUAUUUCAAUAUAAUACAUCCGUUACAUUUUCCAUUUAUUGAUCCGUUAAGAGCUGACGUGGCAGUCACAUUUGUGCCACGUGGCUGCCAAAUUUGUGCCACGUGGCAAAAAAAAAUUUUAUACAUUAAAAAUAUUAUAAUAUUGACCCUAUUUAUAAUAAUUAAAAAAAAAGUUUGAACAAACCCAGAAACCCAUCUCCCACUCCACCUCUUCACUCCCAUAGCAAUCAACCCACAGAAGUCGGCCUUACCCCUCUCGAAUCCCCAUUCGACAUUGAUGACGUUGUCGCCGACAACAUCAUAGACGACAGGGACGAUGAUGACAACAACCCAUUUGUCCAAUUCUGGGAUUUCAAUGAUGCCCACACACCCAUUCAUCUGACUUUCUCCCCUCCAUCUCCCUGCACCCACCUUCCCUACACAUCUGCUCGUUCCUCUUCUACCUAUCUGGGUCUGACGCAUGCCUCGCCGCCGCACAUAUGGGUUGGUGUUAUCAAAGGUCGGGUAAGGUAUAGAGGCUACGAGGGAGGUGGGUAGGGUAGGAUAGGGGUGGUGGUUGCGAUGGGAUGGGGAUGAGAGAAGGGGGCGGGGUGAUGGGGGAUGGGCUCGAGUAGGAAGAAGGGAUGGGGAAGACGAAUCAGUUUGUUUUUUUUAAAUUUUUUUAAAUUUUUAUUUUUAAAGGGUAAAUUAUUAUAAUAUUUUAAAUGAAUAAAAAAAAAUUUUUUGUCACGUGGCACAAAUGUGACCGUCACGUCAGCACUUAACGGAUCAAUGGAUGAAAAAUGUAACAGAUGUAUUAUAUUAAAAUAAAAUAGUACGUGAGGUAUGAAAGUGAAAUGUUUUGAAGAUGUAUGAGAUUGUAAUAAACCUCAAACCUAAUUUGGUAAAGUGUAAUUUACCCUAAAAUAAUAAUUGUAAAGAUUAGGUAUGCGAUUUGAUCAGCCUAUGCCACGUGACUAGCAAUUGUCAAGUAUUAAUAACAAUAAUAAUAUAAAUGGUGCAAUGAGUGUACAGAUUAAAGAAGGUUUUAGGUGAAUGUGAUCAACCUACCUAUGUGCGUAUGGAUUAAAAUAAUAAAAAUGGUAUGUGAAGUGAUAUGUUUUUUGUCAACAUAAUAUUAAAAUAAUAAGCAGAACUAUAAUCGAAAAGAUAAGAAGGUCUUAUCUUCUUCGAUGGGAGAGGCCAGAGAAUGAACACCUUUGCUGAUCUCGGCAGAGACAGUGGUGGCGAGUUCGCCGGCGUCAAAACCCAGAUAGUAUGGGAAUUUGAAAGAUCCGAGUCCCACGGCAAAGCUGCUCCGUUAGACUGCCUCUGCAAUAUGGGUUUCUGGCCCCAUUUUCUUGCUGAUUCGCCCGGUACUCGGCUCUGAUCCCACUCGAACCCUCCGCCCUUUGUUGUUUUCGUUCUUCGUCUCUCAAAAUGCCGCCGUGGUUCACGAACCGUUACAGAAAAAUGGGAUGAAAGUGCGCUGGUUUUGGAAAGAAGAGAGAUGCAUGAGGGAGGCUGCAAUGGUUUUAUGGAAAAGCCAAAGAGGGGGUUUUGGGUUCUUAGGUUUUGCAGAUUCACGGUGUGGUGAGGUUGUGAGGGUUUCACGGUGGUGGGAUGAAAAAUUGAGAGAGAACCGACAACUUUUUGUGUUAAUUUCCACAGACGGUAUCAAAUGUUGAUGCACAAAAUUAACUAGACUUUGGAACAACGUAAAAUGUCAAGUUUGUACCCUUCGCUCAUUUGCUUCGAUCACCUAGUAAUGAUAGUAUGUAAACAGAUAGUGAUAGGGAAGCAAACACAAGAUGUACGUGAUUUACUCUAAGUUUGACUACGUCCACAGAGUAGAGGAGUUCUCAUUAAUAGUGAAGGAUUUACACAAAUACAUAAGUUUAAGCAUAAUCAUUAUAAUCAUUAUUAGUGGUUCUAAUGAUUAGUUUCAAUACAAUAAUGACAUUAGAGAUUAAUUGUAAGAGAAUGAUCUAUUUUUUUAGUUGAGGAGAGUCUCCAGCUUUUAUAUGUGGUCGAUGUGGGACUCUAUGAGCUUUAUUAUGACGUUGACAUGUGUUGUACUGUGAUUGGUCUCCUGGUUAGAGGAAAAUUCAUGUGCUUCUACUGAGAUGCCUCAGCAUAAACCCCUUAGUGGGUUCUUGAAGGUAUGAUGUUAAUUGGUGCUUGGUAUUUUCAGGAUUGGUCAAGUAUGGUACAAACAACGUCCAUUAAGAACGUAGGAAAUAUCGAAAUCAGUGGAACUAAUGACAAGGUGGCUAGAGAUGGAAGGAGAAGGGAUGAAUGUAUGGACAAUUAUUAAAGAGAGUGGUGGAGAGAUGAAACUCAGGAAUUAUUUUUGCUCACUUUUCUUACUUUUUCUUUUUUAAAUAUGUAUUACAAUGUUUGAAUUUUUGUUUUUUUGUUUUUUUUGUUUUAUAUAUGUGACACCAUUUGAUGGAUAUGUGAGCUUUAUACUUGUGCCACGUUAGUUCUAAGUGGGCCUUAAUUAUGUCACACAAGUAAACUUAAUGAUUAUUUAAGGGAAUACACAAAAACAUGUCAAAGUGGAGUGAAUAUUGAGUUUUAGGGAGUGGAGUGGCAACUUUUGAGUUUCAAUGGAAAAAGUAGGAACCAAAUCGAGUUCAACAGAGCAAAGUGGCUACCUUUUAGUUUCAGAGGGCAAAAUGGGAUCCAAAUCAGGUUCCAGGAGUAAAAUGGUGAUUUUUGAGUUUCAAGCGUAGUUAAAAAUAAGUCUUUUAUUUUUCAAUGAGUAAUUUAAAUAUGAAUUUUACUUUGUGACCAAAUUUUAAUUUUUUUUAGCAAUGUUACCGUUUAAUAUAAAUACGUAUUUUUCACAUAUAUAUUUUUAUAUAUUUUACUUAUAGUAUAAUAUAUUAUUUUGUAUUGGUAAUGGACAAGUUAACGUGACAUCUUGAAAAUGAUGUUUUUUGGUGUAAUAUUUUUUUGCAUAUGAUAUAGUGUUGAUAGAUAAAAUGCAGGAGGAAGUAAAUGCGAAGAUUAACUUUUGAUGGGAAGUGUUGGAAUUUAAAGGUUUUCGCCCAAGUAGAUCAAAUACAGAUUAUAUGAAGUACAACUUCGACGGGAAUGAGGGCUCCAACGAGAUAGGGAUGAGGAUUGGAGAUUAGAAAGUACCAAAGAGUGAACGUUUUCGUUAUGUUGGAUCUAUAUUGCAAAAUAACUGAGAAUUUGAUGAACAUCUCAACCAUAGAAGAUACGCUAGAUAGAUGAAGUGGAAGAGUUCAUAGGGUGUAUUAUGAAUUGUUGUAUGCCAUUAAAACUCAGGGAAAAUCUUUAUAGGAAGUCAAUAAAGCCAACAAUGCUUUAUGGCACGUAGUGUUUAGUGGUCAAAAAGCAACACGUGCAAAAAAUAAGUAGUGGAGAUGAGAAUGCUUCAUUGGAUGUAUGAGCACAUAAAGAUAAGAUGAGUGAAAAACGAUUAAGAUAGUUUGAACACUUGAGCUGAAUACCUAUAGAUGGUCUGAUUAGGAGAAGUGACUAUUAGACGAAGACUCAAAGCAAAUAAGGUAGAAGAAGACCUAGGAAGACUUGUAAAGAGAUCAUAAGAAUAGAUAUGAAGUACUUAGAGCUAACAGAAAACUUAGUGCAAAACCGAGCGCAAUGACGUUUUAAGAUUCAUAUGGGCGACCCCACUUAGUUGGAUAAGACUUGGUUAUUAUUCUUAUUAUAUAGUAAUUAUUACAUUAUGCCUUGUGAGAACGAUAUCUCCUCUUCAUCCUUUUUAGUCGAAAGAAUGGUAUUUUCUAGUUAGUACGGAAAAGUUAAUGAGAAGAAGAGGCUACUCCAUUUCAUGGUCAUGACAUACUACAAGCCUCUUUUAGAAUUUAUAGAAGAGUCUCAGCCUUUUUUUAUUUUUGUUUUUACAUGUUGCCACCGAGAGCGAUUUGGUAGCAAUGAAACUAAAAUUUAGGUCUUGAUCUAACAAAGAUAACAAUUCUUACCAACUCAACCAAUUCUCAUCGGCAGAAAAAGGUACAUCCAAUACAUUGUGUGAUCGUUGAAAUUACCUACCCAUGGUAAUCAAAGUAUUCUUAACUAGAUAUAUGGGCAUCUUCUUUAGUCCUAAAUUGGCAUGGAGUAUGGGGUUCAAUAAUCUUUUGGUUGAAUCUGAUUCUGUUAUAGGAGUCGCUCUAGUUUCAAGCUUGGAUGGAGAAUCAUCCGCUUGGCUCUUUGGUUUUGUCUUGUCGGAUCUUAUUCCUAACUUUAGUUAGUCUAAAUGUCCCCGUCUAGAGCUGACUAAGCCUUAACUAAACGCUAGGCUGCUGGUUACUGGCACAAUUAAUCUUACGCAAUUAACAAUAAAAGACGACGCUAGAUUUGCUUAAGUGCCCGCCCAGACACCUUCCACUUUUUCAAGGUAUGCAUCAAUUAGGCUAACUAUGUGUUAUUCUUGUGAAGUUUCGUGAAAUUAAUCAGCUUCAGCUGCCAAACACCCCCAUCCCAUGCAUCUACUUUUCUUACCAAAUUAAACGAAUCGUGCUGCGGACGACCCAUUAAUUGAGGGAAUUUUUCAUUUUUCUAUAAAAAUGUUUGGCAAAGCAGACUGAAAAAUUCUACAUCAACAACUAACCAUAAAAAUUAAUAACAUCUCAACAUAACAUAAGCCCCAAUCGAAGAGAUUCAACCAUUCAAAAGACGAAAUUCAUAUAUAAAAUCCAAAUUAUAGAAAACAAUACAAAACCAAAAAACCACCAAAUCCAAGAAAACAACCCAAAAAAAAAGAAAAGAAAAGAAAAGAAAAGAUUCAGAUCUUGUUUACAUCAAAAUCAAGUCCUACAAAUGGAAAAGUUAAAGACUGAUAUAAUCAUCAGUAUUAAUGUCGUAAAUAGAAAUAAAAAAGAUUGAGAUCGAUCAGCCUCUGAUGUGCUUAAUCUUGAACCAGCCUUUCUUGCACGAAUUUCCAACGAUCCUCACUCCUUUCUUCACUAAGUGUUUCAGCUCCCUGGCCCUCUGCCUCACCUGGUUCUCAAACCCUGCCAUUAUUUGUUUCUGCUUUCUAGAGAGAGAAACCACCAAAAGUUUUGGAGAGAGAAAGAGAGCAGAAAGAGAGUAGAGAGUGGGGUUGGUGUGGGGGGUUUUAUCGGGAGAAUUAUGGCGCUGCUGCUGGUGGAAGAGGAGCUGCUGUUGUUGUGUGGUGGAUGCGGUCGCGUCUUUUAAAAUGGGAGCCGCGUAGGCCAACUCACACUCACACGUGGCGCAAAUCCAACGGGGUGGGAACGGUUUGAUCGUGUCAUGCGUGAUUAGCCGAAGUUAAUUGCGGGAUAAGAAUAAGGAUGGGCUGGCAUGUGACAUCUGUGGUUUUUAAAUUUUAUUGGACAUUUGAAAUGUGGACACAUCCUUUGGGCCCACUCAAUUUUCAUGGGACCACUCAUUGACUUGGAAAGAUUUUUCAACGUGUCCGAAAUAUAAAGUGGUACAUCAUCUUUAUAGAAAUAGCAAGAUUUUCAUGUUUAAAAAUUAAUAACAUAAAAAAAAAAAAUUUCAUCAUUUAAAUAAUAAUACGUGCUGUACCUGCGAGGACAAGGAAAAAUUUCUCUUUUGACUUUAGCAGAUUUUCUCCUUCUAGGUGUUUCUAAUUUUUGUUUUACAUAUGCAUAAUUGGGUCGGGAAUGGAUCCUCUACGGAUCCUUUUUAUGGGGAUCCGGAUGAUUAAAAUUGAAUUUAAAUAGUAUAUAACAAAAACUAACGGUACGAUGUAGAAUGAACGAUUGUAAUUGAUGAAUUCCUUGAAUCCUUACAAAGAGAACCCGAAGAGGAUCAUUUUCCAAUUGGGUCUAAAACCCUUCAACUUAUUUUAAUUGUAAUCAUUUUACUAUUUAGGGAUUCGUAUUCUUUAUUAUAAUGGUGGAACCAUAUUUUUUUAUUUUUUUAUUUUGUCGAAAAUGGUGGAACCAUAGUUGUGGUUCUAAAAAUUGGAACAGGAUUCUCUCCAAAUCACUUUUGUGCGGAUUCUCAGGAUGCAUCAAUCUGGUUCGUUCAAAAGAAAAUCGAACAGCUAGAAGACUAUCAAACUGAGAAGGGGCUGCGAUGGCAGCAGCGGCCUUGGAUCCUCCGCCUCGUGAUUGCGGGAUAGUUGAGAAGGGGGCGGAUGUCGGAGAAGACGAUAGCGUCGUCGGGAUCGUAGUCGUGAUUGACCGAGUAGAACCACAGAGGAGAAUUGAGGAAAAAACACCGCAGAAUCGACGAGAAGAAAGAAGCAGAAAAAUUGAAGAAGCUGCAGCAGAAUUACAAAGAAGAAAAUAGCGGCAGUUGUUGAAAGAAAUCAAAAUUAACGGAUAAAUUAUCUUUAACAUUGAGUGUUAGGUAGGAUUGAAUAUUCCAUGUGAAUUGUUAACUGAACCACUAGCACAUAGCCAGUCCCUAAACAACCAUCUGGAUAAGCAUAACCAAACCAAAUGGGACUGGUUGAGCCUUUUAAUACUUCGAAUUCCAUAAAAUAAUCAUAGAUUCGAAACACAAUAAUCGACAAAAUAAGUAUAUUAUUAUUUAAAUACAAUGAUAUAUUUAAGGACUUGGAUUGUCUGUCCUCCCCAUUCCAUACCCUUCUCAUACCUUCUUAUAUUAUAUGAUUACGGUUAAGCCAUAUCAACAUUUAUUAUUUAACAGAUUUGAACCUAAAACCUAUGUAUAAAAAAGAACACUACUAAAUUGUUGUACUAAGUGACGAUAUAUAUACUUUGUGGUUUAAAAAAUUCGUAUUUUUAAGAAAAAAAUUAAGUUAAAUAGAAGAAAAGAAAGAAGAGGAAGUGGAAGAGGAAGCCGUGAGAUAUUUAUGAGGACGCAGCGGUGGUUGAUGGGAUCUUCCGGCGAGGUAUCAAGCAUAACGAGGAUGUGGCAGGGAGUGGUGGGUGACGCUGGAUUGGUCAAGUAGGACGAUGAGAGAGAUAAGACAGUCUUAGUAGUCCUUUGGUUUGCAGGGGUCUCGCUAAGAUUGUUUAACAAGCCCCUUAGUUGAGGUGUGUAACAAGCACAUGACUACACUAAAAUUAGUUCAAUUUAGUAAAAUCUAGUGAAGUCAAACAAAUGCACUCUAAAAUCACUUGUCAAUCCAAAUUGAAAACUUUAUUUUUUCAUAUGGGAUCACGACUUUCGAAAUUUAUAUGAAGUGGGUAUGGUGUUUAAUCCAGAAUUUAAAAUCUCCGUAUUAUUAUUGAAAUCUGAUCGUAAACCAAUUAGAUCAUAUGGCAUAACUUUUGACAAUUGGUAUAAUUUUGUUUGUUUUGGUUGAAAAAUGGGCCAAUAAAGUAUACUAGCAGAGAACCUUAUCUUUAGCCUUUAGGUCAGUGGUUUAAAAUAAAAAAUAAGCUUUACAAUAUUCAGUUUAGAUGGCAAGCAGAGAGGUUGGCAAAUACAGAUACGAAGAAUAUGAUGACUCCUUCAAACUUCAUUUCUGUUGCAGCACAUAAUUGUGACUUGUUGAAAUCACCAUGGCCCCAUUGAAACUUCAUCAUAACAGCUUCAAAUUAAAGGGACCUAUAACUGCUUUUCGGAUGUCACUUGAAUAUUGAUGAAUAGAACUUUUGCUUCGGGUAAUGUUAGGUAAAUCAACUUUUUAGAUCAAAUUUGUAAACCAAGUGAUGUGUUUCUCGGUCUGAAAAAUGCAUUGUUGGAACUGGAUUGGAAUGCCAAGUGGCUUUUAGAUUCAGGAGUUACUGCUAUUGCCGUAUGAUUAGUAUCUUCGUUAGAGGGGAUAGAAAUUGUAAGAUUUUAUAAUUUACAGUCAAUUCAGUCAAUAUUUCCAAUGAAUAGAAGCACGUUAAUCAACACUUAAAUCAUAAUCCAAUCGUCAACAAUUAUAUCAUAUGGUUUACAAAAUAUGAUUUAAAUAGAUGCUUCCUUAAUCCCGUCAUCACCUGAUUGAUGUCAUUUUUAUAUGAGAUAUGUGAGUCUGAGGAACCUAAAACUUUUAGACAAGCAGCUGCUAGUCCUUAUUAGCAGAAGGCCAUGAACAUGAUGCUUCUAAAAACUCAAAGGAACAUGGUUUAUCAUAGGAAGUAAAUGGGUUUACAAAAUUAAGAAAAACACUAAUAGUAUCGUGUUUAGAAAGCAAGAAUGCUCCUCUUGUACAACAUCUUCUUUGUGAGUGCGAAUCCAAUCUUGUUGGGAAAAUACUUGCAGCAGAAAAGAAUUUCACGUUAGAAGCUUCCAAAGCGGCCAACAGUUCCCGAUGAGGGUAGAUCCCUGCCCAGGAUGGGAAUGCUGGACACUUGACGUGUAUAUCCAACAAAAUCAUUCAACAUAAACAAGUAGACUGGAAGAGUUGAAUGCUAAAUCUUGAAGAGACGAAGAAAAAGAGAACGGAAAACAAAAUCUUGGAAGAGUUUUGUACCGGUUUAUGUUCUUGAAACUGAAAGUUUGAAAUAUAGUGAGUUAAUUACAAUGGUUAUGAAAUCGAGCGAGAGCUCAGGACAAGAAUGUUAUCAUUAAGGUCAUGGCAUUGUACAGAGAGUGUAUUAAAAUGGGAGAGCUCAAGUUUCCAGUCCAACAAUAGGAGCAUCCAAGUACACAUCCAAUGACGAACAACUGUAAGAAGUUCUCACCAGAUAAGUGUGCCGCACUAAAAAUAGCUGAGCUUAUCAAAACUGCUGACUGCCAUUUCGUAGUGGACAACAUUGACGCCAAUAAAAAUCCUCUGUAAACAGUUUCUUCCAGCACGGGAGUGAUAAAGCAGUAUACGAGGACACAAGCAGCUUGUGAGAUGUUGCUGCUCAACAAGAUUUCCUUCAGAACGGGGUUGUUUAUAUCCUGCAAUGACACAGUGUAAAAUAAGUUACUUGAAAGAGAACAGCAUUUCCAAAACAUUGUUAAACCACUGAUCUACUCGUUUAGAGAAACAUGAAUGAUAUGUAAUAAGAAUUUGACAACGGAAACAUAUUCGACUUGUCUGAUGCAGUUUUGAAAUCAUUUUAACUUAGUACCAAGUCCUAUUUCUAAUCAUACAAGCCCUAUAUGACCCAAACUAGUUAAAAUCAAACCACAGCCAAUUAAAGAGUAAUCUCAGCCACUGUUCAAAAGCAAUAUGGACCAUUGGAUCAUUCAGAUAGUAAAGAUACUUCGAUGGCUGUAGGGCGAAAGCUAGGCUAAGAUAUUUGUCAGAAUCUGUCAAAGUUAUCUUUGGCUUAUUUUGUUUAUUAUCAUGAGCAAUGAGUCAAUUAAAUCCAUUCUUCUGUUAUCAUUCGCCGCUACCUAACAUCAGCCAACAUAAAAAAUGCCGAAAUAUGACAUCUCAUUAUCUGAAACAUGUUUUUACCAAGCCAUCAGGCCAUGUAACAAAAUAUAUGUGUCCAGGUUUCUGAUUGCGGUCUUGUUUUUGGGAAGCUUACCUUUGGUUCAUUAAAUAUAACAAGAAAAACCAGAAAACGAAGGCAGACAAGUAAUACGUUUAUCAUGCCAACCUUGGGGCCAACGACUCUAUCAGCAAGGAAGGAAGUUAGGAAAACCAACAUGAACAGAAACCCAAAUCCUACGACAGAUGCCAACAGCCAGCUCCUCUCUUUUGAUAGUUUGUUAGCUUUGAAGAAAUUCACAAACUUAUAUUGUGGCUUGGCAGUACUCUGCAGAAGCAGCAGAGCUGCAAUGAGCUCUAGAGUUUGAGCUCCAAGCAAUGAUAUUGCCUGCACUACCAAAAAAAAUAAAAGAUCAAUCGACGGUGUGCAAACUGCAUACUUACAAAUGCAAAAUCAAGCUUCUUAAAAUUGAGAAUUGCAAACAAUUCCAUGUGCAUUCAUAGCCAUGCUCCCUUGAAACAAAAUGAAGCAUAGGUUGAUGCAAACAGAUGAAAGGAUAAGCUAAUUGAUUACGCAGUGGUUCAUCUUCAUCAUCCUCUAUUCACAGCAUAUGGCAAUCCAUAUCAAAGCAGAAAGUUGAACAAUUUUUAUAUCCAACCCCUAACAGACUACACCUACACUAAAAUGCUAAAUCAUGAAAAGGGAAAGAACAUUGACCGGCUUUGUGCACACUUUUACUUGUAAAUCACAAUCUAACACAUAUAGACAAAUGAUUCAUUAACAAAAAUGUUUCUGCGCAAGUGUCAAACCGUGAUUUCUGUAAACGAAGGAAUGCAAUGAGCCAAGUACUCUCCGAAAAACAAGUUCUAUAAUUUCCCUACACAAUUCCCAUUCUUGCAAGAAUCAAAUACUGUCAAGGCCAUUACUUGUCAACGUUGAUAACAAAAAAUAAAUGAACAGGCUCACCUCUGUCUGUGGAUCAGGUACAGGUUCAUGCAACAGAUGAGCAACCACAGACAACCAUCCAAAACUCAGAGGGAUGUGCAAACUGAACAUAUAGAAAGCCAUAGUGCUCCACACAGUUCCAUAGUCCCAUGGAGCAUCUGCUGCCAGUGCCGAAAACCCCUACAAUUUACAAUCACAAAGAAUCCCAUUUCAUGUUUUUGAUAAAGCGAUAUUCUAAACUACUAUAAUCUACACGGGGCGGAUUCGAACUCAGGUGCAAUGCAACAAGGAACCCCAAAAACAUACAUUUCACCUCCAUUUGACUGAACAUACUAAAUUUCGUAGACACGAAAGCGAAAUUUACCUGGGAAGAGGGUUCAUGGGUACUUUCAGUUUUGUCACAAGCACUUGAAACAAUGUUUGGAGCUGCAUAAGUAGCUGGUGGAUUUGAACUUGGUGCAAGAGAGAGAAGUGUGGGGAGAAAGAGAGGAAGUUAGGGGAUUGGAAACAUGUCCUCCAAAUCCAAUGAGUUUUUCAGGUGCUGUAGGGUAUACAGUUGCAGGAUGCCACAGUUGCCACUGACAUUCUAUCAUUUUGUUUCUCUUCUCCUCCAAACCGAUCGGUUUGUUCUGGUUUUCUUCGCCGGAUAGCAUCCGAUUCCCAAUUAUAAAUGGCUAGCCGAAAGUUUAUUGUUUAUUUAACUAAAAUGAGGAUGGGAUUAACAACUGACGCUUUGGCCGAGUGGUUAAGGCGUGUGCCUGCUAAGUACAUGGGGUUUCCCCGCGAGAGUUCGAAUCUCUCAGGCGUCGUUUCAAUUUUUUAUUUAUUUUUCUGGUAGAAUUUGAAUACAAAAGUUCUAGACGAUUGAGUUUUUGUAUGUUUGGGGCAAAUGAGGUUUGUGCGAUUUUGCAUGCGUAUUGUCAGUUGCAAAGGAGGUGAAGAUGGCAGAGGAGAACGUCCACCGCCUUCGCCAGCAAUUCCACUGCCUUGGCUGGCCAUCACAGCUCUCUCUCCGGAUCCGUCCACCAAGCCACCAUCUUUGAAAUUUAAUCAAACGGCUACAAACAAAGAUUCACUUUAUCGUUGAAUCAAAUUUUAAAACUCUGGAUGGAGUUGCUGGAAGGGAUCCGAAGAUGAUCACUUCCCCUCUCUCCCAAACCUGUUAACCUUUAUUUGUUUAUUUAAUUUUUUUGGUAAAUCUGGGGGUUAUUUAUGUAUUUGUAUCUAUUUAACAACCAGGAAAAAGACCACAAAUAUGAAAUUGAAGAAGACAACGGCGUCGUUUGCCGCCACAACACUAACUCAUCAUGAGGAUGCAUACCGCCCAGCAGUUGUUCAUUAAUCUCCGAAAUUUCUGUCGAGUUUCGGGAACCAUCUCCUUCCUUGGUAUAAGUCUCUCAGCUCUCUCACUCCGACUGACUGACCCAGGUAUCUCUUAUCCUCUUCUUUCAGUGCCGAUUUAUUCUCAACUUUACGAUUUAAUAAGAGGAUUUUAAUUUAAGGUUUAAUUAGUUAGGGUUUUAAUUAAGGGUUUGGUUGUACUUGAUUCUGUAUGUUAGAGUUGGACCAAAUUCCAAACUAAUUCAAUACAUGGUCUUGCUGCAAUGCAAAUAUCUGGAAAAUUGAAUAAAUGUAGACAAGGAUACAACUUUAGUAUUUAAUUUUCUACAUGUCUUGCAUGUUUGUUUCUUGUUUCUCUUUCCAUCUGUUUUUAUUUCUUGUGUUUUGUUUUUUCAUUGUAUGCGUAUGCAUUUUGGUUACAAUAGCCCAAGCCUCCAAGGUUGUUUGUUAUCCAAGAUACCUGCAUUAGGUUCUGGAAUCUUGUUGGCUGCGUUAAAAUUACCUUUGGGGGAGGUCUGUUCGAUAUCCAAGAUCAGCUCAGCCACACUUCGGGCAAGUUGUAUUGUUUUAACAGGUUCCGUAAGAUUGGGAAAUUUCAAAGAAACAACGGAACUACAGUUUCUAGUUUUUGGCUUGGAAAAUAGAAACUUAGGGGCCUGUUUGGUAAGCCUUUUGUUUUUAGCUUUUAGUACACUUUAUGGUUAGAAAUGAAGGAGAAAUACGAGGAAGAAGAAAAGAUGAAUAAGGAUAGAGGAAGGGUGGUGAGAAGGAUGUGGAAGAAAUGCACAUGGAAUGAUACGCAAUAUGAAAAUAAAAAACCAAACAAUUUUAAGUAGGUUUUCGUUCUGAUGUCAUUUCAUGUGCAUUUCUCCCUGCUCCCUCCUAAGUCCUACCACACUACAUCCUCCCCCAUUCCAUCUACUAUCACUCUGUAUCUAGUUACAAGUGACAAAACCAAAAACUAAAACUAAAAUGAUUAUCAAACGGGCCUUAGUUUACAGUUUCACCCCAUCCCACUAGGGAGUCCUGGCUCUAUUCCUGUCUCCUGUUUAGCUUAAAUUCUUGAAUUUGUUCCUCAUCUUAUGAUUAUAAGUUGCAUCCUCAGUUUUGUUUUGUUUUUGUUGAAUGCCAAAGAGCUGCAUGUAAAGUUUGUCGUAGUCCUACCUUAUCCGAUCUAAGUACGUCUUCAGGCUUAGAUGUUCUUCUGUAACCUCAUCCAUUUCGCUCUUGCACAUUCAAGUUUACAGUCAUAUAUAUAUAGAAUGUUAAGAAAGUCGGGUUAAAUUUGGCUGCAAGCUCAAAAUAUGCUACACUCUUCAGCUGUGCUAUUCCUGGAUUUACUAUAAUUUUGAUUAUGCGCUCUUAAGAUAUUUGUUUGUUUAUUUACUUUUAUUUUCAUUAGUGUUUUUGGAAAUCAAGAGGUCGCACUUGGUGCGAUGGCAAGUGCCUUCGCCCAUGAGCGGUAGGUCUCGGGUUCGAGACUUGAGAGCAGCCUCUCCAUAAAUGGGGGUAAGACUAGCCGACAUUCACCUCUCCCAGACCCUGCGUAAAGCGGGAGCCUUGUGCACUGGGUACGACCUUUUUAGUGUUUUUGGAAAUCCUCAAUUUCAAAAUAAUUCAAAUCUCUUUAUACUGUGCUUCUUUGUUGGUUACAAUAAACAUAACUGUUUUUUCGUUUUUCAUUUGAGAGCCAUUUUUUAUGCUUUUGAAGGUGCUCGGUGAAAAGUGUUAUUUCGUGAAUUGGUAACAAAUAGUGAGAAGUAGCGUAAUAGAAGAAUAUUAUGCCACCAUUGUGCAAUUUUUGCACAUGCUUCUGUUGACAUACAUUUUUGGUGUACGUGGCGGCUAGGGAGGCAGCUAGAACACAUCAAAGUAAUCCAAUAAAAGUGGGCUGUUGGUGCUCAUGCUUUCAGAUGAAUUUUGUAUCAACUACAUAGUCUUCACUCUUCAAGUAUAUAAAGGUCGUACCCAGUGCACAAGGCUCCCGCUUUACACAGGGUCUGGGAGAGGUGAAUGUCGGCUAGCCUUACCCCCAUUUUAUGGAGAGGCUGCUCCCAAGUCUCGAACCCAAGACCUACCGCUCAUGGGCGAAGGCACUUGCCAUCGCACCAAGUGCGACCUCUUUCUUUAAGUAUAUAGAACAAUAAAAAAAAAAUGUCGGAGGCUUUCUAAACAAAGAUGAUUCUUACAACACAAAAGACAUGUACAAUAGAUUUAUAUGUCCAGUCUAUAAACAUUUCAUACACAAUACACCACAAUGGUCCAAGUCCAUACAUACAAACUACAAAAACUCCCUUAAUUUGGAAGGUGCGUUGGCAAGCCAGUUUCCUUCAAUCGUGCAAGCUUGUAGUGAUCAGUCUCUUCUCCAGCAAGGUAGACAAGUUCAUGCACAUGUCAUUUGCAGCGGACUUGUGAAAAACAGCCUUGUCGGUACAAAGAUCCUGGGUAUGUAUUUUCUCUGUGGGAGCAUUAUAGACACCAAGAACAUGUUUUAUCAGCUUGAUUUGAAAUAUACUUUGCCUUGGAACUGGAUGAUUAGAGGGUUUACUAUAACGGGUUACUUUGAUUAUGCCUUGCUCUUUUACUUUAAGAUGUUGGGUUCUGGAGUUUCACCCUGACAAGUACACUUUUCCGAGUGUAAUUAAAGCUUGUGGUGGUGUGAAUAAUGUAAGAUUGGGCAAAGCAGUCUAUGAAUACUAUCCAGCUUAUGGGUUUUGGAAUUGAUAUAUUUGUGGGCAGGUUCUUUGAUUCAACUGUAUAUGGACAAUGGUUGUAUCCAGGAUGCCAUGGCACUUGUUUGUUAAAAUGCCUGACAAAGAUUGUGUUUUAUGGAAUGUUAUGCUUCAUGGCUAUGUUAAAAAUUGGAGAAUCAAAUAAUUCUGUUAGAAUGUUCUUGGAAAUGAGAAGUAGUGAAGUUAAGCCAAAUGUAGUGACAUUCGGCUUGCAUUUUUGUCUGUUUGUGCUUCAGAAGCUAUGAUUGGUUUUGGUACUCAACUUCAUGGGCUCGUUGUUGCUUGUGGGUUGGAGUCGGAUUCUCCAGUGGCUAAUACAUUGUUAGCAAUGUAUUCUAAAUGCCAGUACUUCUCUGAUGCCCGCAAGUUGUUUGAUAUGAUGCCUCGAACUGAUUUUGUGACAUGGAAUGGAAUGAUAUCUGGUUAUAUACAGAGUGGGUUCAUGCUUGAGGCUUCACGUUUGUUUCAGGACAUGAUAUCUACAAGUGUUAAACCUGAUUCAAUCACAUGUGCAAACUUUUUACCUUCUGUUGCUGAACAAGGUAACAUGAAGCAGGGUAAGGAAAUUCACGGUUACAUUGUAAGGCACUGUGUUCCCUUGGAUGUGUUUUUGCAAAGUGCACUUACUGAUGUAUACUUCCAAGUGUCGGAAUGUGGAGAUGGCAUUCAAAAUUUUCAACCAGAAGCACCAGAACGGAUGUUGUCAUGUGCACAGCUAUGAUUUCAGGGGUUUGUUCUCAAUGGGAUGAAUAGUGAUGCUUUGGAAAUUUUUAGAUGGUUACUUAAACAGAAAAUGAGACCAAAUUCUCUAACAGUAGGCAAGUGUUUUACCAGCUUGUGCUGGUUUGGCUGCUCUGAAAUUCGGAAAGGAAGUGCAUGGUAACAUUCCUCAAGCAUGCGUUUGAUAGGAGGUGUUAUGUGGGUAGUGCCCUUAGAGACAUGUAUGCAAAAUCUGAAAGACUUGAUCUUGCUCAUCGUGUUCUUUCAAAGACUGACUGAAAGGGAUGCUGUUUGUUGGAACUCGAUGAUAACAAGCUAUUCCUAGAAUGGCAAACCAGAAGAGGUGGUAUAUCUAUUUCGUCAAAUGGGGAUGGGAGGUGUCAAAUAUGACUGUGUAAGCAUUUCAGCUGGGCUAUUUGCAUGUGCAAAUUUGCCAGCAUUUCAUUACGGGAAAGAGAUCCAUAGUUUCAUGAUUAGAAAUGCAUUUAGCCCUGAUCUGUUUGCUGAGAGUGCACUGAUAGACAUGUAUGCCAAAUGUGGAAACUUAGAUCUUGCUCGCCGUGUGUUUGACAUGAUGGAAGAGAAGAAUGAAGUUUCGUGGAACAUCAUCAUUUCUGCUUAUGGGAACCACGGUCACCUUAAGGAAUCUCUUGUUCUAUUUCAUGAAAUGUUGGGUAAUGGGAUCUUGCCUGAUCAUGUCACAUUUCUUGGUAUAUUAUCUGCUUGUGGUCAUGCAGGCGCAGGUUGAUGAUGGAAUUCUCUACUUCCGUUCCAUGAUUGAGGAAUAUGGGAUCCUAGCUAGGUUGGAGCAUUAUGCUUGCAUGGUAGAUCUGUUAGGGCGUAUUGGACAUUUACAUGAAGCAUUAGAAACAAUAAAGAGCAUGCCAUUCUCCCCAGAUUCUGGUGUCUGGGGAACAAUGCUUGGAGCGUGUCGACUCGAAGGCAAUGUUGAGCUUGCAGAAGAGGUUUCAAGAUAUCUUUUUGAAUUGGCACCUCAAAAUUCUGGCUAUUAUAUACUCUUAUCAAAUAUACUUGCUGAUGCUGGAAAAUGGGGGAGUGUGCUUAAGGUUCGAACUCUGAUGAAAAGCAGAGAAGUUCAAAAGGUUCCUGGGUACAGUUAGAUUGAGGUGAACACCAACACUCAUAUGUUUGUUGCAGCAGAUGAGAGUCACCCAGAGUCUGCUAAGAUAUAUUCAUUGCUCAACAGUCUUCUUCAAGAACUAAGAAAAGAGGGUUAUAAUCCAAGAACUUACCUUCCAAUGCGUCCCCAAACGUUGGGGGUAUAAUUACUGGAAUGUUUUAGCUUCUCUCCUACAAUUGUGGCUACUUCAGGAUUAGGAAUGUGUUGUUGGCUUGUCAGUAAGGUAAGCCAAUGAUAGGAGCAUAUUUAUGCGACUUAGUUGGCUUGUUCUUGUGCAUUUAUGUCAUGUUUCCUUAGUUAUUUUAGUGUUUAAAGUCAUUUUCGUGUGUUUUCAGAUUUUAAGGACAAAGUAGGCAAGAAGAUGCAUUUUGGAGCAUUUUGGAGCAAAAUGGAGCUUGGAAUGCAUGUCACAUAUUUGGAACCAAGGUUUGGACGAAAUUGAAGACUUAAAGAGGCUAAGAAUGUGAAGAAUUAGUGUACAAAGGAUCAAGAACUCAGCCAUAAAAGGACACAUCCUUGCCGUGCAAUCCACAUAGCAUUCCCUUUGGAUUCCCAUGCAUGCUUAAUCAUCCUUGUCCCCUAAAAUAUUUCUGAUUUCAUGCCUCAAUACACUCAAUUAUCACACUCAAUUGCUGCAUACCUCUUGUUCCCUUCACCCAUCAGAUUUCACACAACUUUCACAACCAUUCCAUGCACCAAUUGAUGCUCCAUCAUCCACAUUUGGGAUCCAAUGCCGUGUGCAACACAUGUUGCUGCACCUUUGACUAAUUUCUGAAACAUUUCACCUCCCCUUUUCAUUUCCAUGCAAUGAACACAAUCAUUCAUGCUCCCUAGCUGAAAUACCACUCCAUUUUACCCUCCAUACUUUGCAUCAUUGCUCCAUUUUCAUCCUUGGACCAUUGCACACCACAAAUUCACCCUCCUUGCUGUGCAUUUCCCCCACUGCCUAAUCUGAUUCUCUAGGGUUUUUUUGGGGCCUAUAUAUACAUGUUUACACCCAUUGGCAAAGGGUUCAACCUCCCAUAUUCAUCAUUCAUGCAGAAAAUUCGUCCAUACUUACCCUAGGCAGCAAAACACCCAAAAAACACCAUUCUAGUGCCCAGAAAACAUAACAGCCACUCCACCUUAUUCCACCCUCUUUGCCAAGUUCUCUACCAUCCUUCAACCAUCAAACACUCCUCCACACUCACCCUAAACCUCUCCAUACCAUUCCCCAUCCAUUCUACACCAUAAAACUACCCAAAACAUCUUCACAACCCAAUCUGCCGCAAGCAAGGAAGGGGACAGAUUCACUACGAUUGUUUGGCUAUUCAUUCUGAGUUGUUGAACGAUUUUAGGUGUUUUCUAUCUUAUAUUUCAAUGUCUAAUUCAUGUAAUCUUUGUUUUGCUUUAAGUAUGAUUGGCUAAAUUCGUUUUGGGUAAGGGUGGAUUCAAAACCAUGAUUAUAUAUGUGAAAUAAGUUGAUUACUCUCGGUUAUCGUUGCAUGAGUCGUGAAUACAAUUUGCUUAACCGUUUGAUUUAGAACUUAUUCUUGUAUGUUGGUUGAGAGUGCACGCUUAAUUUGCAUACUUGAAUUUGAUGCUAGGAUAUAAGUUUGUUUCACCUAAUCGUUAUGAAUUUAUAUUCGUAAGUAGUGAAGGUCGCUAGUCACGAUUGUGUUAAGUAGAUUCUUGGCAAGAGUAUCAUGCUUUUCAUAGUUAUGAAUGCCUUGUCGAUGCUUAUGAUUUCCAAAGAACGUAAUGAUUCUAACCUGUAUCUUUAUCAUGCUAUUCAUAUAAAGAACUUGUUAGGAAUAAUUUGUUUGCGAUGCAUAUUCAUCCAAUUCAAUAAUUCUAGGGAAAUCUGAAGGUUAAUUUAAGCGGAUCUAAUUAACUUGGAGUGUCGAGGUUCAUAACUUGUUAAAUUGAUAACUAGAAAUCGAUUUAGGUUGCAUAUAUUUCAUGUGUGGAGAAGAGCCCCUUAGCCAUUCCAUCAUCCAUUGAUUCUUCAUAACUUUGUAUUACAAUCUGUUUCUCUUACAAUCUGCCAUUUAAGUUUAUUUUCGUCCAAAUCAAAUCCCCAUUUAUUUUGAAAUCCUAGAUUAGUUGGAAAGUGUGUUGGUUUAUGUUUUUAAGUGUUUUGGUACAAGUUAAAACCCAAAUUCGUCCAAUUUGGUGCUUUGUGUUCAAAACUGCCCAGAAAGUGUUUUUAAGGCAGUUUUGAGUCUCUUGAUUGCUGUUUUGAGUUUUUGGUUUGUUUUAGUAUUUUAAACGUGAGUUUUGCAUUCUAAUCUCCGGUCUAGAACGAUCCCUACUUACAUACUUUGCUACAAUUGAUAAAAAGAGGGUUUAAUUUUGUGUGUUAACUUCUUUCUCACACCAGCCAGGGACCUUGUUGGCAAUGAAUUCUGCUAUAUCUUAUUCUGGAAACAUUUUCUUUGCAUACUCAGAUCUACAAUUGUCACCUGUAAUCAAUAAAACAAGUUUUUAUCAUGUACUUUAUUGCAUUACUUGAGGCACGCCAAUGAAUUACUAAAAAGUUCUUCUAUCAAAACUACUAAGUUAAACAUGCUUGGGCGAGGUAAACUAUGAAUGGUGGCCUCUUGAGAAAUUUGCCAUUGCACCUACACAAUUUGUACUUUUGUAAAAAUAUAAUCUUCCAUGAGUAACAAGUCGAGUAAGUGCACAUUUCAUGUCUUCCACAUUCUUAUGUGCAUUAUAUAGGACACAGAUAGUCCUGCAUUAUAUGGGAACAUGAAAUGAUUUUUCUAUGAAGGUAUGUUGCUGUUUUAGUUUCCUUUUCUUGCAAUUUUAUUCAGAGUCUUUUAAAGAAAAAGAAAUAAUCAUUUAGAAAAUAAUAAUAAUUUCCUACAACAUUAGUGUGUCAUGACUCAUGAAUAAUUAAAUAUCUAACUUAGUGUGUGUACUAAAAGUUGUUUCUCUUUAAUCAUGCUAUAGAUCUAGAAUAAUUUUUUGGAAGGUUUGGGAUUGAAAAAUAUUGGACCUACCUUUGUGCAGGAAACAAAUCAAAUUACUGAUGCCCCAUCAAAUAGGGCCAUGCAAUCUGUAGACGAGAAGAAAAGAGAUGUUCACUACACAUUAUUGAGCUGGUAAUUGAAUUGGAAUAACAUGUAAACUUGUCUCCUUAGAAAAGACAAGGAAUAAUGUUGGUAAUUGAAUUGGAAUAAUGUUGGUAAUCUCUGCAAAUUGUCACGAUUUUGUAGAGUGGAAACAGCGGCUUGUUUUGCAGGAGCGGGGCAACCAUGUGGUGGUUCCCUAUUUUGAAGGUUCUGCUAGAGAAUCCAUUUACGGUUGUGGGUUUUGUUGUUGAAGAUCAAUUGGCUUACAUCUAUGCUGUCAAAGCAAUGUGUAUAUGGAGAUCUGUCUGGUAUGUAUCUCACCUAUGGUUUAGGAUAAAAUACCAAAGAAAGGUUUUUAGCUUUCCCAUCCCGACUAAUAUCAAUUGAAAGCUUCAAGCCUUCAACAACCGGAAAGAUCAAAUACUUGAGACACUCAUGGAUAUUUGCUUCAGUUAUAUGAAAAUCAAAAUCCAUGUUUAGUAGCUUGUUCUUUUUUUAAUAUACCUUCAAGUGAGGGGAAUGUAUAAGUGGGUAUAAACGAAUCUUGCAAGGUCAUUCUCCACAGGGAUUAUUAAAUAAUUCGAAACAAACCAGGUUUCAAUUAAUGAUUGUAAAGUAGAAAUUUUGAUGAUUGAUUUUAUAACCUACUUAAAGUAAAAACGAAUUUAAUGAAUUAAAAUAGAUAAUCUGCAAUAUUAAAGCUAGAGAAGAAAACAGUUAUGAGAAAAUCAAAUUAAAAAGGCACUAGGGUUCCACCAUCACCUAGCAAUCCUAUGAAUUUUUACCCAUUACUUAUGAUCUACACAUGCCACUUUGAAGGUUAGAUUUUCCUAAUUCAUAUUCUACUUGGAACCUCCAACAUAGAACGUAUAUCUAACAUGCAAUCCGUCCGGACGUUCGGAUCAAAUCUAAACAUGAAAGACUCAUUAUGCUUUAUGAAAAUCCUUUGAAAAACCAUGCAAUCCUUAAGACGUGAUAUUCAUCCUAAGAGAAAUUACAAUUAUUAAUCACAAGAAGUCAGCGUCAAUUUCAGGGAACCUUCCGACCAAAAUUGCAUCAAAUUACUUUUCUAAAGAUCCUAAUAGUGAUCAGGCAUUAAGACAAUUAGAUAGUUUUUAUCCCGUUGAUUAACAAUUCAAAGUACGCAUGCAAUCAAUCAUAAGCAAUUAAAUAAAAAUCACAUAUUCAUGCUAAGGCUCAAGGCUUCGCCCUAGCAAAAGAAAUUAGUUCCGCAUAUUCAUAAUUGAAAUCAUAUAAAAUAUUAUCAAGAAAAGGAUUGAAAACACCUUCAAGUAGAAAAUCUUCAAAACCCUAGCACUUCUCUCUGUCUCCAAUAUUGCAUAAAAUAAAACGUUUUUUAAAACUGUAGACGGCUAAGCAAUAUAUUUGCUAAGCCACCCUACAAACCCUAGCCCACUAAAAUUAAUAAAAACCCUAAAUAAAAAUAGUAAAAUUCGUCUAAAAUCUGAACAGCCACGUUUUGGCCCAUAAGCUGCUCCAAAACUGGCCCAAUAUAGCUGGAUGUAAUGUUUGAAAUAUUCUGAACACUUUUCCAGAAGGCCACAAACCCAUCCGAGGUCAUCUUGGGCUCCAAAACCGCAAUUUAAGCCCAAAAACGUCACUUUCCAGCACUGCGCACUGCUUCUUUAUUUCAUCGCCAGAACAUCACCGCUUGGUGGAAAAAUCCCAAAUUUUGAUACGAUCAAGCUAAGUGACUCACGAACGUCCUCCAACUGGAAUUACUCCAAAAUUCGUCCAUUUGAUCUUGUUUUGCUCCAGAGGAAGUCGAAAGUCCUAUAUUGAAAAUACAAUUCAAAGUAUCAAAAUUCUUCCAAAAUAUUAACCAAAAUAUACUAAGAUUAGGGUAAAAUAUAUAAUAUAAAUUCUACUCAUCAGGUGGCACGGGCCGGGCCGGGCUCAAAUUUGGAGGGGCCGGACAUAAUUCGUUUUAAAUUGCAACGAGGCAGGCCAGGCCAAGUGAUAGAAAAUAAAACUUGGAACCGAACCUAACUCCGCCAAUUUGAAACGGGCCAGUUCCUAUUGGUCCAUGAGUCCAAUUUUAAUUUUGUUUUUGUUGACAGAGUGGCGGCAGCCAUGGUGGUGUUCGACAAAGAAGCCGGCUCCUCCACCAACACCCUUCCGCCUUUCCCUUGAGAAAGACAUUCCACUAUUCUCCAACCCCAACAAGAUCUCCUCCCAACCCAAAACUUUUGUCAACGUCUUCAUUGCCAUUGUCAGCGCCGGCGUGCUGGUCUACUCUACACCUUCAAGAAAACUGGCUGGGUCUUCAGCUUCCUCAUGCUCUUCUCUGUCACUUUCCUAACCUACCACUGAAGUAACAACCACAGAUCCAAAUCCAAAUCCCUAAAUCCCUAAGUCCAAACAAAGCUUAAUUCCAUAACCCAAUUACUUACUCUCUCUAAUCCUCAUUUUUAAUCUACAACCACAAUUUCCCCUCCCCUCCACUCGUCGUUCUCCCCAGUGGGGACAACAACCCCAACAUUGAUCUGCAGCAGCAGUCCCCUGAUCGGCAUUUCCACCCCUAACCUGGAAUUCGUGUAACCUUUUGAUUCGAUGGUGCCUGAGGACAAUAGAGUAGGCAGGUGGUGGUGAUGAUGUUGACGGGGACAUUUUCGCCUCUAGUGAGCCAGUGCUGCCUCCGCCCGAGGAAAUGUGAGAGGAAGGCUUUGCUCGCCAUGAGUGGCGUCGGUGAGCUCAGUGUAAGUUUGUGAGUGUCAAGGAGAAUGACUUCUGGUUCUCGACCAACCUGUAAUUCAGUUUUGAGUUAUCACGUUGAGAAGAUUACGUACUUACUUGGCUGAGAUUGGGAGUCCUAAUAACAUGCAACUAUGUUCAAGGAACCUUAUCAUGUUUUGACAAGAGUUCCUUAUGGAAUAGGACUAUAUCGAAACCCUAAUCAAUAUAGAAUAUCCGGGUUUCAGUUAAUAGGCCUGAUAUCAAGGAUGGUUGGCUAUAUAUUAGGAGGUCCCUACACUCACAGCAUUAUUCCAUUAUGAGCGUAACCCUAUUCUAAGCUUGGAACUUCGGGCUGUUGAGUGUAGAAGAUCUCCUCCUUAUCUUCCUUCUGCAAUGGCGAGUUCUUCUCCAGGUAAGCAUAUUUAUUUUAUGUAUGCAUCCUUAUAUGUGCGUGUGAUUCUAUGCAUGCAGGGUUUUAAUGGCUUACAUGUGGUAUCAGAGUAAGCCACUGUCAUGUUUAGAAUCCGUAUAUGCAUUAUAACCUAAUUAACAAAGUUCACGAUCCUGAUAAAGACUUCCGCAUAUGAAAAUUGAUAUAAUUAUUUUCAAUCACUAAAACAUCAUGCUAUUGAACUAACAUCCGAUUUCACUUAUACACUCACAUAUAUCAGUAUAUGUGUACAUAUACUUGUUUUGCAAAAUUUUAUUUGCAGGAAAACGAUGGAAUAUCUCUGGACCUUGGAGAACUAAACUAAAUGGUUGCUGUCACUAAAUGACGUGACAAUCAAAUCCUUUUGUGAAUCAUGAUCAAUUUCAACUCAAAAGUGUUUGUAUCAUGUUUUCAAUUUAACGGUUCAAAGUUGAACAUAAUGAUUGAACUGAUGGUGAAUAUAUUUUGUGUUAAUUCUAAAGAAUUCUUAUAUUGAGUCAUGUUUAAUUGGUGUAUAAGUGAGAUGCAAACAAUAUUGAUGCAAUUUGAUCUGCUCAAAAGUGUUAAAAUUGUGUCAUAAAUAUGAAAUUUUGUAUUUCAGUUGUGCAAACCCUCAUAUAAUCAGUUUUCGAUCCAAAGAUGUGACUGGAAUUAUAUGACCUUUUGAUGCCAUUAAUUGUUCAUAGCUUGAACUUUUAGUGAUGAACUUAUGAGAACAUAUAACGAAUAAUUAUGGUUGAUGCAGCUAUGACUUCUCUCAACUUUUCUAAUAUUGAAACCCUAACUGGUUCCAAUUAUAAGAAGUUGAAAGAAUACUUAGAGAUAGCCUUUGGUAUGAUGGAUUUCGACUUGGCCUUAAGAGAAGACAAGCCUGCUACACUGACUGAUGCAAGCACAGCAGACCACAGGUUGAAGUUUGCUUAAUGGGAGAAGGCAAACAUGAUGACUCUUAUGAUUAUGAGAAGGGCUAUGACAAGCAGUGUGAAAGGUGGUAUUCCAAAGAGUGACAGUGCAAAAGAAUUCUUCGAUGCAAUAAGGAACAAGUUCAAAGAAUCUGAGAAAGCUGAAACUAGAAAUUUUCUCACAAAACUGACAUCCAUGAAGUUCGAUGGUGUUGGAAGUGUGAGAGAACAUAUUCUGAAAAUGUCAGACAUUGCACAGAAGCUGAAAGACCUUAAGCAUCCCUUAACAGAUCAGUUUUUAGUGCUUAUGGCAUUAAAUUCCUUACCUGCACAAUAUGGCCAGCUAAAGGUGUCAUACAACACUCAGCAGGCAACCUGGGACAUCGAUGAAUUAAUUUCCAUGUGUGCACAGGAAGAAUUGAGGCUGUCAACUGGUAAGGUGAAGACUGUAAAUCUUGUUCACACUGCAAAAGGCAAACAUGUUGUUGAUCAGUCAUCUGUGGCUACUGGUAAGCCGAAGAAAACCUCAAAUUUUUCUUCUUUUAAAAAUGCUAGCCCUCUUAAACGAUCUCAAAAGUUUAAAGUCACUUCUAAAGCACCAAAGCCUUGUUAUUUCUGCAAAGAAGUUGGUCAUUUAAGAAAAGAUUGCCUUGGUUUUAAAACUGGCUCGUUAAGAAAGGUAAUGAACUCAAUGUUUAUGUUUGUUUCGAGUCAAACCUUAUUUAUGUUCCUCCUUUUAGUUGGUGGUUUGAUACUGGCUGCUCAAUUCACAUCACAAAUACCUUGUAGGGCUUCUCAAAACUAAAGGAGAGAAAUAAUGAAGUUUACAAUGUUUAUGUUGGGAAUAGGAGCAAAGUAGCAGUCGAGUCUAUUGGCAGUGUCUCUUUAAAGCUUUCUUCUGGUUUCAUUUUGUUUUUAAGUCCAGUACUUUAUGUACCUUCUAUGCGAAGGAAUUUAAUUUCAGCUUCUAAGUUAGUUAAAUCAGGUUAUACUUUUAUUGGAGACAAUGAAAGUAUAAGACUUUUUCAUUCAAAUAAAUUGGAUACUUUGCUCGGUUAUGCUCCCCUCUAUGUUGAUAUGUGGCAGUUAAACUGUGAGUAUUUACAUGAAUGUUUUACAGUCUGUCAUAUUGGUUCCAAAAGAUUAUUUCAAAAUGAUGAUUCCCCUACACUUUGGCAUAAAAGACUCGGCCACAUAUCCAAAGAAAGACUUACGAUUUUAUCAAAACAAAACCUCAUACCAAAUCUUGAUUUUGAUAAACUCCCAACUUGUAUCGAUUGUUUCAAGGGGAAAAUGACCAACACCCGAAAACUAGGAUCCACUAGAAGCAGCUAACUUUUAGAGAUCAUACACACAGACGUGUGUGGUCCUUUUCCAAAUAAAACAAUCUAUGGAAAUUCAUGUUUUGUCACCUUCAAUGAUGAUUUUUCCAGAUAUUGUUAUGUGUUUCUAAUAGCUGAGAAGUCUACGGUCCUUGAUUGUUUUAAAAUAAAAAUAUACAAAACUGAAGUAGAAAACCAACUUGAAAAGAACAUUAAAAUAGUGAGAUCGGAUAGGGGUGGUGAGUAUUUUGGCAGGUUUACAGAAAUUGGACAACAUAAGGGCGCCUUUGCAUCGUAUCUUGAAGCCUCAAGAAUAGUUGCUCAGUACACUACUCCAGGUACUCCACAUCAAAACGGAGUGGCAGGAAGAAAAAAACAGGACCCUGAAAGAUAUGAUUCGAGCUAUGUUUUCAAGGUCUAAACUUCCAAUUUUUCUGUGGGGAGAAGCACUCAAAACAGCCAACUAUACACUAAAUAGGGUGCCAAGCAAGGCUGACAAAGUUGUACCUUUUGAAGCUUAGACAGGUAGGAGGCCAAGUUUCAAUCAUUUCCAUGUCUGGGGAUGUAAGGCUAAGGCACGGUUUACAACCCUAAAAAACGGAAGUUAGAUCCAAGAACUGUAAGUUGCAGGUUUAUUGGUUAUGCUGACAAGUCUAAAGGUUUCAAAUUUUACUUCCCGGAUUCCUGCACCAAAAUUCAGGAGACCAAUAAUUCUAAAUUUAUUGAAGAUUUGGAAGAAGGAAUAGUGCAACAUAGCAGCUCACAAUUUGAAGAAGUUGGGGAUGACCUUGAUCAGGUUUCUGCAACAAUCAAUGCACUGCCACUGGUGGAUCAAGAAGGUUCGUAUUCUCUUCCCAUUAUUCUCCCAAGUGCUCAGUCAGAAAGUUUCUCAGUCAUCCCAGAAACUGUGCAACCACCAGUACCUGAGCAACUAAUUCUUGAGCCCAUAGUUGCUCAGACCUUGCACCAAGAGCAACUACCUAUUAGACAGUCAACUCGGCAAAGGAAACCUGCGAUCCUACCAGAUUUUGUGUAUUUACAAGAAACUGAAUUCAAUAUUGGAGAUGAUGAUGAUCCUAUCACUUUUAACCAAACCAUCAACAGCCUGAAGGCAGAUUUAUGGCAUGCUGCCAUGACUGAAGAACUUGCAGCUAUGGAAAAGAACAAGGUUUGGACGUUGGUGCCACUCCCAUGCAAUGCCAAACCCAUCGGAUGCAAGUGGGUGUUCAAAACCAAAAAAAAUAAAGUGGGAAAGGUUGAAAGACAUAAAGCUAGACUUGUAGCUAAGGGUUUUACACAAAGAGAGGGCAUAGACUAUAAUGAAACCUUCUCACCAGUUUUAUCCAAAGACUCCCUGAGGGUGAUUAUGGCCUUAACAGCCCAUUUCAACUUGGAAUUACAUCAAAUGGAUGUAAAAUCAACUUUCCUUAAUGGUGAUUUGUUUGAAGAAAUAGUAAUGGUUCAACCCCCAGGCUUUGUGGUGAAAGGGAAGGAGUCCAUGGUUUGCAAACUUAACAAAUCCAUCUACGAGUUAAAGCAAUCAUCCAGGCAGUGGUACAUUAAAUUUGAUCAAGUUGUUUCUGUUUUUGGUUUUGAAGAAAACAAGAUUGAUGACUGCAUAUAUCUCAAGGUCAGUGGCACGAAAUUUAUAUUUUUGGUAUUGUAUGUGGAUGAUAUUAUCUUAGCUAGUUCAGACUUGACUCUUUUGCACAUCACUAAGACCAUGUUAACCGAGAGUUUUGAUAUGAAAGAUCUCGGUGAGGCGCAUUUUGUUCUUGGUAUUGAGAUUGAGCGAGACAGAUCCAAGAGGAUGCUGAGGUUGUCUCAAAAGUCUUAUAUUGACAUAAUCAUGAAAAGAUUUAACAUGGAGAAGUGUGCAGGUGGCGAACUCCCAAUUGCAAAGGGUGACAAGUUUAGCACUGACCAAUGCCCUAAAAAUGACCUCGAGAAAAAUGGAAUGAAUGACAAGCCCUACGCAUCACUUGUUGGUAGCAUCAUGUAUGCUCAAGUAUGCACAAGGCCUGAUCUAGGGUUUGCAGUUAGUGUUCUAGGUCGUUUUCAGUCUAAUCCUGGAACUGCUCACUGGACUGUAGCAAAGAAGGUACUGAGGUACUUAAAAAGAACAAGGAACCUUGCCUUGGUAUACUAGCAAGUUGAGAGUUUGGAGAUGGUGGCUUAUUCAGAUUCGGACUUGGCAGGUUGUGUUGAUGAUAGAAAAUCUACAAGUGGAUAUAUUUUCCUUUUUGCUGCUGGUGCAAUUUCGUGGAAAAGCUUCAAGCAAAAGGUGAUUGCCUCCUCAACUAUGGAGGCUGAGUUCAUUGGUUGUUACACUGCCACCAAACAAGCAAUCUGGUUAAGGAACUUCAUCAUGGGACUGAAGGUUGUAGACUCAGUUGAGAAACCUAUAACUAUCUGUGACAACAAGGCUAUAGUCUUCUUUUCUAGAAACAACAAGAGGUCCAUUGCUUGUAGAUUAAUGGACAUUAAGUAUUUACGCGUGAGGGAUGAAGUCAGAAAAGGGCUGAUCAACGUAGUUCACAUUGGAACUAAUUUUAUGAUAGCAGAUCCAAUGACUAAAGGCUUACUAGUGGGAGUGUUCAAGAAACACAUCUACAACAUGGGAAUGCAAGAGGAUUUUGAUUCUGUUAAUGAGUGGGAGUAGUAAACCCAUAUCUAGUUCUGUUAUGUUUUUGUCGAUUAAAUUGGAUGCUUUCAAAAUAUUUUGUUCUCAUGUUAUGUUAUGAUAAUAAUAUGAGCCAUACUUCUGUAUGUGGCUCAAUUCUGGAGUUGAAUUAUGUUUAUCAACUUGGAACUUUUGAAUUUUUGCCAAACAACAUAGUGCUUAUGGUUUGAAUAUUUGUGAUGAUAAAAUGCACAUGUAGAAGGAAUUACAUACUGCGUUUUAUGGUUCAGUAUUUAAAGCUGACAGGUUGUUAAAGGUUUAGUUGCAAUUUCUGGGGACUCAGUGAUCACCUUAAUCUCAACCGAAGUAAUGUUAUUCUUCUUGGACACUCAAGUGGGAGAAUGUAAGUUUGUGAGUGUCAAGGAGAAUGACUUCUAGUUCUCGACCAACCUGUAAUUCAGUUUGGAGUUAUCACGUUGAGAAGAUUACGUACUUACUUGGUUGAGAUUGGGAGUCCUAAUAACAUGCAACUAUGUUCAAGGAACCUUAUCAUGUUUUGACAAGAGUUCCUUAUGGAAUAGGACUAUAUUGAAACCCUAAUCAAUAUAGAAUAUCUGGGUAUCAGUUGAUAGGCCUGAUAUCAAGGAUGGUUGGCUAUAUAUUAGGAGGUCCCUACACUCACAUCAUUAUUCCAUUACGAGCCGUAACCCUAUUCUAAGCUUGGAACUUCGGGCUGUUGAGUGUAGAAGAUCUCCUCCUUAUCUUCCUUAUGCAAUGGCGAGUUCUUCUCCAGGUAAGCAUAUUUAUUUUAUGUAUGCAUCCUUAUACGUGCGUGUGAUUCUAUGCAUGCAGGGUUUUAAUGGCUUACACUCAGAUCCUAAUUUGUUGGCUUGUAAUCAUAUUAUUAUCAAAGAUUGGAAUUUUGAAUUGAAGUUAUUUACCUGCAAAAUAGCGACUAAAUUUAACACGAUUACAUUAAUGAUUUGAUUAAGUUGGAUUUAAAUUCUGUGUUAAUAAUGUUGUGCAAUGUGCAUGCAUGGGAUUCAGGGGCCUAAUAGCAUCCAGUUUAAUUUGAUUUCUGUAUCUGUGAUUCUGUGUUCGUUACCUUUUUUUCUUAGUUUGGGGUCUGAAUUAAUGAUGUUGAGAUUUGUCCUUGUAUUUGGUAAUCGGGUUAUGCCAGUAAAUCGCAUUUGCUAUGUCUCAGUUUUGUGUGUGUGUGUGUAAAUUUCAAUUGGGGAAUAUCAGCUUAGAUCUUGACUGAAUCAUUGCAUAAGUUGUUUCAUCUUGCAGCAUGGAAUGCACAGACUGCAGAGAUUUUCUUCGCUCUAGGGUUUUGACACCCAAUUUAUCGAGUAAGAACCAACUUUGUCCUUAACAGUAUUACUAAUUAUCAAACUAUAUAAAUUUCCCAAAAAAUGAAGUGUUGAAUGAUCAUAAAAAGAACACCAAAUAGUUUUACAAAUGAUCCAAAAGUUGAACACAAUAAAUGGCCAGAUAGUUCCAAAUUGUGUUUCGCACGUAAAAAUAAUCAAUUACAUCGCUGCUUUAUUUUAUAUAGAAAAAAAGCAAAUAACUUUGCGUGCAGUUAGGCAAGUCUUGUUCAUUUUUAGGGCCUUGGGGGCGAACAUUGACCGAUUGGAAGGUUACUACUGCUUGUAGUAUGCGAGAACACUAUAUACGGUUUGCGUGGCAGUAAGAAUGAGAACAAUGAUGACCGCAUUUGAAACUGACCAGACUGACGAAGGAUUGUAUAGGUAAUUGUUCUUGAUCCUUGCAAGCCAACGCCUUAGCCAACGUUCUUCAUAAUAUCCGUUCACCUGUCCAGCGAGUACAGGGUAAGAGAAGGAGAUGCGUUCAGUGUCAUUGCAAAGCCUGUUGAACAAACGAACAGUGUCCUCCUUGCUCAACUCGGUGUAUAUAAUAUUUUUCUGAACGAGUCUCUCUAAAUCUUUGGUCGACUUGAUAAGGUGGUUGAAGAGCAUGGCAUAGGACAAAAGGUGACUUUCUUGGUGCCUCACUGCACCCUGUUCGUAGGCUAUGAGGUUUCUCAAGACAGAUUCUGUGUUGACUUCAAUUAUCAUUUGUGGAAUUUGCAUCACUCCAUCGAUGGCGUCGAAGGUUAUGUCCAACCGAGCUCUCUCAGGGGGUGCAAGUUGAAAUCUGACUCCAAUUUCCUCAAGAUGUGUCACUGGGGGAAUAGGAGUCCAAUAUUGAUAAGUGUCUGUUGUUAAUGAUCCAACAAGCAAAUCUCUUACUUGAUCAAGAUAAUGCCUUAUUUCCCUCGUCGCCGUUGUCCGAGACGUAAUAAAGGAGGCUGGGGCCCAAAGUAAGUUAAUAUUAAAUUUUUGUAGGGAGGGAUCUCCUGGUUUUGCUGCGAGGUUGAAUAAACAGAGGACAACUUUCCACGGAAGCUGGUUUUCAAGCAGCAACAAGUCCUUUUUAACUGCCGAAUACACCCGUGGCACUCUGAAAACAGGAUCAUCAUUGCCAGGUUGUUCAAACCUAUUAUCCAUGCGGAGGAAUCGUAUAAUAAAGCAACCAUCGACCACCAUCAUUUUCACGAAGUCAUAGCUAUUCAGAUCAAGCUUUUCGUUAUAGCAGCUACGAAGGAACUCUUCCAUGCUUCUAAUUGCUUUGACCAACUCUACCAAACUCACCAAACUGGUGUCUGGAGUUGGUUUGCAGUGGAGGAGGCCUUGCAAAUACCAGUGCUUAACUUGUUCCAUGCCUUGCAACUUUUUUCCUCCAUGGUGAUACGGCCCGAUUGAAACCAUCUGUGGGACAAAAACAUUUUCAUUGUCCCUGACCAGUUUCUGAGGGACCCUAAAUAUACAUGUAGGAUUUAGUUCAGGAAGUUUCUCGGAAAGCUCUCUUUUGAUCUGGGAUGCAAAUCUUUCGUCUUCAUUUUCUUCGUUUCCGCCCAAAGUUUGGUUACCCGCAUGACUUGUUUCUCCCUCAGAUCUCUCUCCGCCCCCUCUUACUUGAAUUUUGGAGCCAACACUGUUUGCAUUGCUCUCACCAGCUGAGUUUGUCAUCGUCAACUCUUUCCAACUCUAAACGUGACUCACCUACUUUAGUAUUACAUAUUAACAGGAACAAAAAUUACAAAUAAUGUCAGUACUUUAGUUGAACUACCAUUUAUUAUUAGAAACUUACAAAAAUUUUAUACCAUAAUAAAAAUAAAAAAUAAAAAAAUAUGACUUUACCUCUUGAAAUUCAUCUUUUUUAUUUAAAGACCCACCUCAAUAUUUAUUUUUUCCAUACCAAAAACUCAUUGACUAGACCCCAACUAAGAAAUUCAUUAAGUUUUACUUCACCCAAUUUGUAUUUUCGGAUGCCUAAAAUGCUCCUAAUGGCAUUUUGACUUUGGGUUUAUAGCUUAUUAUCUACCUUUGUCUUACGACUUGUUUCGCACAACUAAAUGUACGCAUAACUAACUUAUGUGGAUUGAAAAAACAAUAUGUAUUCAAUGUCAUGAUUCAAAUGCAUAUUAAUGACCUGAUAUUUGUUGUAAAUAUUACCUAACUGUGAUUGUCUAAACCCCUGAUAAAUUUGGUUUCUAGAUUAUCCAUUAGUCUGGUGAUUCUUUUCUUAUAAGAUCAAUCUUGGAGGAAGCGGAUGAUGUAUUGCAACCUACCAAGGUGCCAUUAAUCUUUCAAGACUUUUGGGUCCAAAUCAAAGGAUUGCCAAUAAAUUUUAUCACUCGACAGAUGGGAAGACUCAUUGGCAAUCAUCUAGGGGAGUAGGUUCUGGCAGAUCAAAGCAGGAAAGAGGAACAAUUUGGAAGUAUACCGCGGAUCAGGGUUCGUAUUGACGUCCAUAAGCCUCUAAGGCGUUGUGUGGUGGUCAAACUUGAUGGUAGAUUAUUGGAAGUCGAUGUACGCUACGAGAAGCUGCCCCUCACUUCCUUUCUUUGCGGUUGGAUGAAUCAUAUUGAAGGGCACUGUGAAAAAUUUACAGGCAAAAUGGAGGACGAUAAAGCUAAACCCCACGACAGAUGGUUCCACGAGGAUGUAAUAGGACCUGAGUAUCGAAGGCCAGUUGGGAAGAAGUUUGGGCUGGACUCGGAGACUGUUGAAUAUGUGGCCGAAUUAUCAACUCCUUUGGGCUGCGGCAAAUUAAAAUAAGAAAAGUUUGUUGGACAUCCUUAUGAGGAAACAUCAUAAUGAUGCUUGUAAGGAAAAAGAGAAGGAUGGUUGUUUUAUUCGGCUCAUUUUGAAGGCCAUGUGGUGCUGCAGCCACCGAAGCAAAAGAAGAGAAGUGGUGAGAAUGGUUUUCGGGGAGUGGCCUUUUGUUGGUAAGUGCAGCCGAAAGAGGGCAGAAGAGGAGAGAGAAGACAGAGCUUUUUGUUUAUAUUAAGGCAUUUGGUUUUGAGGGGGGAGCACAGCAGAUGAGAGCCAUACCAGGGAGAGCCUAAACCCAUUUGAGCUGCUCCUUCCCUCCGUUAGUAAUCACUCAAUCAAAGAUAUUGGUGUUAUGUUGUGUAGUUUUUGGGAGAGAAUGAUUUUGAUGUGUUUUUUUCUUCUUCAUUUGUUAGGUGUAUGUGAGAUUUGGAAUUUGAGAGUUAAAACUCUAUUUGAUAUUAGUGAAAUUUCCUCGCUAUCUCUAAACUGGACGUAAGCUUAUACCAAACCAAUAUAAAUCUUGUGUUAUUUGGAUUACAAGAAAAUUUCGUAAAAGUCAACCCAUGAAUAAUAUAGAGAAUAAUAUAGAGAAUCUUCAAAGAAUAUUCUAAGAAUAUUUUAAAGAAUAUUCCAGAUCCAUUUUGGAAUUGGACCAGGCUGGAACAAAGGCCCAAAGGUUUGGGCCGGGUUUGGGAUUAGGUCUUUUUUUUUCUUUUUAGAAAAGGAUCUAGGCCAGUUUCGCGGAUCCGGGUCGAAAUCUAGCCCACAGAUCCGAGUUAAGGGUUUGGGCCGGUUUUCGGUUUGGGUUUAUUUAUUUAUUAUUAUUAUUAUUAUUUUUAAAAGGUUUGGUUUUGCAGAAAGAGGUAUUCAUCAAUUCCCCCCUGAACUUAUGACUAUUGACCAAUUUCCCCCCUCAACUUUAAUUUUGGCCAAUUCCCCCCCUCAACUCUCAUAAUUAGUCAAUUUCCCCCCUCAACUUUAAUUUGGCCAAUUUCCCCCAUCAACUCUUAUAAUUAGUCAAUUUGCACCCUCCUGUUAAUUUUUUUUAAUUUUCCAUCUAUUUUUUCUUUCUUUUAAUCUUUCUAAUAACUUCCAACAAAGUACUAAAAUUAACAUAAACUCACCUGCAUAAUAUAGGGUAAAAUGUACAAAAACAUAAUACAAUUAGUAUGUGAUAUGGGUUGAUUAUAAGAAAAAGUUAUGAAUCAGGUUUAAAGCAUGUAGAAGAAGAAAUAAUAAUCCUAAACUCAUGGAUCAGACCUAUUUCAAUAAAAUGGGUUAUUCUUAAUAAGGAGUCGAAAAUUAUGAAUUGACUAGCCAUUUUUGCACUAAAGCUUGAUUCUCCGCAAUUUACUUGAACUUAGCUUUCACUUUUAUAAAGAAAAUUGUAUUCACAUACAAAAAUGUACACAUCAAUCCUUUUCGUUAUCAAUUUUGUGUAAAAAAUCAAAUAAAAUUACUUCAUACUGAUUUAUUAUGACUAAUAAUACUAUCUAUGAUAAAUUGUAAAAUUCUAAAUUUUAAUCUAUUUGUAAUAGGAUAAAGACAUAGGAAAAUGAUUAACAUACAUCUUAUUUAGUUUCUUACACACACUUGUUUAAUUAUGAUCAAAUUAAAAAAUUAACAGUAUGGUGCAAAUUGACUAAUUAUGAGAGUUGAGGGGGGAAAUUGACCAAAUUAAAGUUGAAGGGGAAAUUGACUAAUUAUGAGAGUUGAUGGGGAAAUUGGCCAAAAUUAAAGUUGAUGGGGGAAAUUAGCCAAUAGUCACAAGUUCAGGGGUGAAAUUGAUGAAUAUAUCAAAAUUUACCAAAAUUUACAGCAAUUUCACAACCAAAAUUUAAACCAAAAUUUAGAGCAAUUUCACAACCAAAAUUUACCUAUAAUAUAUCAAAACGAAGCUUAGGAUAGAAGGAAUAAGAUUAUACCUAUUUCAAGGCCAAAAGUUGGUCGUAGGUCGUCAGAAAAUGGCCUGAAAGUGACGGCCCGAGUUUGAGUUCUUUGUUUUCGUCGGUUUUGAAGUGAAUUUGGGCAUGCAAGCUUAGACCUGUGGCCUAGGGGUAGUGGGAAGUCGUCCUACGCCCUCAACUCAACCAAACCAACGAGGUUUGGCCCUGUUUUGCUUGGAAAUCCUACAAACUCGCUGGAAAAAUGGUGAGUUAGAUAAACACUCUUCGAAACGCACAUAAACUUGCAUGUAAGCUUGUAAAACGCACUAGAAAAGUCCAGAAAUUUAGUUUUAGAGGAGGGAGGUUCACCUGGGUUCGAGCUUUGAGAGCUAUGGAGCUCUCGGCUUCAAUGGUGCCAAGGUCCUCACGACAGCGAUCUCACAUGAAAGACCACCAUUGUGAUCCUUGCAUCCCACAGACUUCAACUACGUAGAAAAUAGGGCUUAGUUGUGAAGGUAAAUGGGAGAGUGAGAGCUCUCUUCUCAAGAGUUUAGAGAGAGAGAAGUUUUCAGAAAAAUAAGGGAGUGCAGUGAGAGAGGUGAGAGAGACGGGAGAGAGAGAGGUGAGAAAGAAGGACUGGCCAACAAUAGAAGAAAACCAUGGGGAAGUGUUGUGAUGGAACAAGUGGGAUUUUAAAAUCCAAAAGAAAAAUUAUUUUAAUGGCCACUUGUCUACAACCCAUGUGAUGUUCAAUUUUUCAAACCUACGCAUGCUUUUAGUUUACACGAGGGUCAUCAAACAGACAAGGCCAAGGCAGCCUACUGCACAAAGCCACAGUUAAAUUUUAAAAUUAUCCCGAUAGUUUUACAUAGUUUCGAGGCAAACAAUUAAACUGAGUUAGACUGACACGAGAGCUUAGGGAAAAUAGUUUGAAGACUACACUAUGUCAUGUGAUUCUUGGUCAGGGUCUGUUUGAUUAUCAAACGUAAGACAUAUAUACAUGAUACUUGUGGAACAUAACAUUGUUUUUUAUAUCAUAACGAGGGAUAAAGAAUGUCAAGUUUGGUGUACGAAGAAUUGUCUGGGGUAUAAAGCAAUAAACUUCCAAGUGAUGCACUCUUGUUAAGUUUGAGGAUAGGUUAAUGACAGCGCUCCUAGAUAAAUAUGCUCGCAAGGUCGCACAUCCCUUAUUCUGUAUGAGGAGGUAAAUUAUAACAAAUGUGAAUUAGAUGAGCUAAUUGAGAUGAUGUCAACACCCUAUGUGGGUGAGCGGGAGAUGUAUGAUUUAUAUAACCAUGUAUUAUAUAAAACACAAUAUUAAUCCACCCAAUAUAGGGUGUGUUAUUGAUACCCUUUUUUCUUCCCCUCUUAGCCACUAUAUAAAUAUGAUUUUGUGAAAAGGCGAAAACACACCAAGAGAAACAAUUCUAUUAGCUCUAGAGAGGAGAAAAAAAGCUCUCUCUCCACUCUUUGGAAUCUUUUUUUCUCUUAGUUUAGCCUCUAGGGUAUCACCUUGGCCCUAGAAUGCCACUAAAAACUGCGAUUGUUUGAGAAUGCACAAGGUAUGUAGGCAAUCUAGCCUGACUAGAUGCAACCAAAUCUUUUCUUUGGUGACGCUCUUAUUCGUAGUUCAUGCAAGGAAUCAAAUUCCUUUAUAUUAUUUGCAUACAUUGCCAACAAUUUUGUUCUUCCCUUUAAAGGAAGAAAUAUCAACCUGGAGAGCAGACAUGAAGGCUUUCUUAUCUGUUGGACCGCACAACACAUUCCCAGAAAUCACAUUGGUGUGUCCAAAUUUUUGGAUGGAGACAACUGUGCCAUUUGGAGUUGUGCUAUGACUAUUAGUCAUAGUUCCAAGACCAAGAUGGGCACCACUAUAAUCGUCAGCGACCGCCUUAUCGCAUGAAACCCCGUCUUUUUGUCCUCAACUGCAGAGAGAAAUAUUCCAUUAGCGAUGGACACAUCAAGUUGGAAAUCACUCCUUGCUGCUUAACCUUUUUUUUUGUUCGUUCUUCGGUGGAGAUAAAUUCCUUAAAAGUGUUAGGCCAAUUAGUGAGGUCUUAAAAACUUAAGAUUUAAAAGCUUGCAAGCUUCCGCCUCAAGGGAGAAGCCUAGGUUGUGUGAUUUAUGUUGGCAAGGUGUCCAGACACUAGACAUUGUACCACUAGAUAUUGUAGAAUUUUUGGAAAGUCACUACUGUCUUUAAAAACAAAGAAAAUACAACAGUAUAUCGAUCUUCAGUAGAAGAAGAAUAUUGUUCUCUAAACCAAUCCCUUUUAGCUAGACUAAGAUGUGUCCAUAUAGGGAUUCAUCAUAACUCUAUAAAUGACAUGGUAGUAAACAUUAACUUCAGUAUCUCUUCGCACCAUCACUUAAUAUUAAUGACAUCAUCAAUUAAGGGUUGUGAUGUCAUCAUUGAAUUUGGUGAUCUAACGAGUGACCACUUUUCAAACUUUAUGUAACUAUUUAGAAUAUUUUAAAAGAUAUAAAUACAAAUGUUAUGUAGCUAUUUGGAAUCACUCUAAAGGUUGAAUAGUAUUGUACGUAAUUUGUUUUUAUAUAUUAGGUUUGUGUUGACCCUAAAAACCACCAAGCCUACGUGGUGCGCAGGUCGAGUAAUCUACGAGCUAACUACGUCAUUCGGUGAAUGUGGGGCGUGCCAACUCGUUGGUCGAGCUCGGCUGAGGAGUAAAAUUUGUUGAUGUUGCGUUUGGUGCGCGGCUGACUUUUGCGUCUUGCGAUUGCGGCCGAGGAAGGAACAUGUCUCGACCUCUUGGGUUCUCGAACCUGAAGACAAGGCUACUAUUCUUACGAAGUUCACGAAUCGUCGUCGUCGGAUUCGGUCACAGUGAUGGUAUUCGUCAGAGUAAACUCACGUUGAAUCGACACCAAAAUGUAAGGGCAUAAAUACUCAAAGUGGAUAUAAGUCUUAAUAGUGAACGUGGUUCGGCCGUUUGAAUGCCGAACUCUAAAUCCCACUUGAGAGUAUCCAAUCAUAAAAUAGCUCGGCGUGCAAUGCGCCGAGCUCAGUAAGCUGUAACACCUCACUUCGCCGAGAAGGCUAAUAAGAUGACCUCGAUCAAUAAAGAUUCUGAAAUCCUUUUCAAUCGAGACUUGGAUAGGCAACCAACCGUCCUCGCCGCAUUGCUGUUGAUGCCAACGGAAGAUGCUGCGAGAUCGGCUGAUUCUACGGCGACAGAGCUAUCUAUGCCGACUGAAGAUAUCACCAGCUGCUUUCACAGUGCUGUUGAUGCCAACGGAAGAUGUGUCAGCGAAAAGAGAAAAAAAAAAUCUCAAAGUUGUUGAGAGAGUUUGCGCAGGGCAGUUGUGUGUUGAAUUGGAGGUCCCUCUUCCGUUGCCUCUGCCUUUGUAUUUAUAGGGACAUAUGUGCGUUGGUUGAUAAGCUGAUAUAGGCUUCUCCCAUGUAUUAGAACUCUUCCACUGAUUCGUCAGAUAAGCCAUACUACCCCCAAGACUCUGAAUCUAGUCGAAAAUACAACCAAAUUCGAAUCCCAAGAUAACCCGCAAGCUUGGACUUUGAACAAAUAGUGUUUAUCUAAACAGCUACCAAUUAUAUAUAUAUAUAUAUAAUUAUAUACAUAUAUAAUUGGUAGUCUUCCACACGGCAUACACCACUGUAAUCCCACCAUAAAUUCUGAUGACUUUGCACCCAAUCCGACAACACCAUCAACAUGCUUUUGAAAAGCCUAGCCUAGCUAGGUUUCCUAUGUCAUCAUUAUCCAGGACCCCUUAUUUUUCUUUAGAUGAUGUCAGAUCCCACGUGCUGAUCUCCUAGCAACCCAAGUUAAUUCGAACUCGAACUCUGUGUGUGUUGCUUCCUUUUAUAUCCCGUCGUAUAAGAAAAGAAUGAAUCACAUUGAAAGAUAAUUAUUAUGAUAAAAAUCAUAACAUUAUCCCUCAAUAAUUACAAAAUUAUCUUCACUCUUCGAUCGACGGUGUAGAAACACGCUUACUCAACGGUCUUGAUUACUUGGACCGAUGAUGUAAAAUUGGGUCCAAAACAGUUUGAAAUUCAUGUUAGGUUUGAAAUUCUUUUCUGUAAGGUGGAAUGUUAGGAAGGACUUACAUUGAACAGUGGGGUAUUAUGGUGAUUCAAUUCAAGGACUCGUUUGGAAGUGUUUUUAAAAUGACUGAAAGCAUUUUUAGUGAAAAUGUUUUUUGAAAUCAAUCUUUAGUAAAAAUCCAAGUAGAUCCUGAAAAAGCACUUUAAGUGCUUCCUGCAAAAAAACACAUAUCUGGUGCUUCUUUCGAAAAGCACUUAAAGUACUUUUACAACUCAAAACUAAUUUCAACAAAAGUACUUUUCAAUCAUUUUAAAAGCACAUNNNNNNNNNNNNNNNNNNNNNNNNNNNNNNNNNNNNNNNNNNNNNNNNNNNNNNNNNNNNNNNNNNNNNNNNNNNNNNNNNNNNNNNNNNNNNNNNNNNNNNNNNNNNNNNNNNNNNNNNNNNNNNNNNNNNNNNNNNNNNNNNNNNNNNNNNNNNNNNNNNNNNNNNNNNNNNNNNNNNNNNNNNNNNNNNNNNNNNNNNNNNNNNNNNNNNNNNNNNNNNNNNNNNNNNNNNNNNNNNNNNNNNNNNNNNNNNNNNNNNNNNNNNNNNNNNNNNNNNNNNNNNNNNNNNNNNNNNNNNNNNNNNNNNNNNNNNNNNNNNNNNNNNNNNNNNNNNNNNNNNNNNNNNNNNNNNNNNNNNNNNNNNNNNNNNNNNNNNNNNNNNNNNNNNNNNNNNNNNNNNNNNNNNNNNNNNNNNNNNNNNNNNNNNNNNNNNNNNNNNNNNNNNNNNNNNNNNNNNNNNNNNNNNNNNNNNNNNNNNNNNNNNNNNNNNNNNNNNNNUCACUGUCAACCGCUUGGCCAUAGACUUCUCCCCGUAGCUCAGCUCGAAUAUUUUCCAUUCCUUGUGUCAUCUUUUCCUUCUGCUGUUUUUUAUUUUUUAAUAAUGUGCUGAUGAAUGUCUUCACUUCUGGGGGACAUUAUCGCAUCGUUGGACAUUUUUUGAUGGAUCUAAUCCACUAAGAUGAUACUUCAGUCGUGUCACUCCGCCACUCUUCAUUACCCGACCACAAUAUUUGCAAAUUGUGCCAUGUUUGUUUCCGUCUAUUGGGUCUCCAUGUUCCCAAGCUGGAUCACGUUUACUUGACAUCUUAAAUGUACCUAUAUUUAUUUUUCAUUAAAAUUAGACAAUUAUUUUUUGAUAAAAAUAAGAGAACCUAAAUAAUAAAGUUAUUCUACAGAAGAAUUAAAUACAAAGUAAAGAAAAUGAUUGUAAAAAGUUAAGUAAUUAUACAAAUAAUAUGGAAUAAUAAAACCUAAUAUUAAUGAAUAAUAAUCCAAUUUGAUAAUAAUUCAAUUUAAUGAAUAAUAAUCCAAUUUGAUAAUAAUAAUCCAAUUUGAUAAUAAUCCAAUUUAAUGAAUAAUCCACCAAUUUGAUAAAAAAAAUUAUCCUAAAUUAAAACAUGGUGAUGAAUAAUAAUCCAAUUUGAUAAUAAUAAUCCAAUUUGAUAAUAAUCCAAUUUAAUGAAUAAUCCACCAAUUUGAUAAAAAAAUUAUCCUAAAUUAAAACAUGGUGAUGAAUAAUAAUCCAAUUUGAUAAUAAUAAUCCAAUUUGAUAAUAAUCCAAUUUAAUGAAUAAUCCACCAAUUUGAUAAAAAAAUUAUCCUAAUAUAAAACAUGGUGAUGAAUAAUAAUCCAAUUUGAUAAUAAUCCAAUUUAAUGAAUAAUCCACCAAUUUGAUAAAAAAAUUAUCCUAAUAUAAAACAUGGUGAUGAAUAAUAAUCCAAUUUGAUAAUAAUCAAAUUUAAUGAAUAAUCCACCAAUUUGAUAAAAAAAAUUCCUAAUAUAAAAGAAUAAUAAUCCAAUUUGAUAAUAAAAAAACCUAAUAUAAAAGAAUAAUAAUCCAAUUUGAUAAUAAAAAAAAUCUAAUAUUAAAGAAUAAUAAUCCAAUUUGAUAAUAAAAAAACCUAAUAUUAAUGAAUAAUAAUCCAAUUUGAUAAUGAAGAUGGUAAGAGAAAUAAAAUAAUAAAUUAAUAUUAAACAUAUUAGAAUUAUCCUAGGGAAUAAUUAUACAACAUUACUUAAUUACUUAAAACAAUUGAUAUUAACAUUACUUAAUUGCUUACAAAAAUUAACAUGCAAGUAUUAAUUACUUAAAAAGAUUUCACAUAUGAGUCCACACAAAUUUAUUUGUUGUUGUAUAAAUUACAAUAAUAUAAAAUUUAAGUUUUGUAAACUUACCUUAAAUAUUGAAGCCUUUGUGUUCAAGCUUUGGAAUGGAUCUGGAAUGACUUUGAAAAUGGUAAGGAAAAUAAAAUAAUAAAUAACAUUAAACAUAUUAAAAUUAUCCUAGGGAAUAAUUAUACAACAUUACUUAAUUACUUAAAACAAUUAAUAUUAACAUUACUUAAUUACUUACAAAAAUUAACAUAAUUAACAUGCAAGUAAUUACUUAAAAAAAUUAACAUACGAGUGCACACAAAUUUAUUUGUUUUUGUAUAAAUUACAAUAAUAUAAAUUUAAGUUUGUAAACUUACCUUAAAUAUGGAAGCCUUUGUGUUGCUUGGCUUUGGAAAGGAUCUGGAAUGGUUUUGAAAAUGGUAUGGGAAGAAGAAUGUAAGUUAAAAUUCGGUGAAUGCCUCUGAUGAUGAAAGAAUGUAAGUAUAUAACAGACAUUGACACUGUUUUGCAUGUGAAAGACUGUCACACGCUUUCAUUAUUAAAGCAGUAGUAUUUGUUGUGCAUGUUCUGAAAUUGCAAAAAGUUCUUUGGAUCAUUGGAUCAGAGAGGUAGACAUAGGUUUGGAAUGAUUUGGUUUUGAAUAAUUUGGAGCAUUGGAUGCUUUUUUUUUCUUAGACACCAUCACUCAGACAGUCAAAAAGACUGAAGAACUCACACUCCACCACACACACACUUCGAGACCCCCCCCACCACACCACACGCACACCACACACGUACACCACACACGGAGGUCUCUCUCUCGAUCUUUCAUUUCCCACUCCACUACCAUAUUCUCGAAUCCUCUCAGUCUCUCUCUUCUCUCUUCUCUCUCUGAGGUCGGUCUGAGCCUUCGUUCUCACCGAGAAGUUCUCAGUCUUCUCCCUCCCUUCCCCCUUCUCCAGUUCUUCCACACACACACAGAGAGACAUCAUCUCUCGAAUCUCGAUCCUCCUCGUCCGUGUCUCCGUGUCUCCCUGUCUCCCUCUGCUCCUCCCAUCUCACCCGCCCUAAACCCAGCCGUCGACACCACUCCCAUAACCGUUCGUGUCUCCGUGUCUCCCUAUCUCCCUCUGUCUCCGUAGUCCAAAGCCGUCGACACCACUGAGGAGCACGAACUUGUCCCAGCCGUCUUGGAUUCGUGAGGAAGACGAUGUUCCAGGCUCCUACUUCUCUUCUUCCCCCUCUAUUACUUUAAAUUUUUUGUACAGAUUUCAAUUUUUUCUGCAUGUUGCACCUUUUUGUUGUACUGAAAUUGAUUUUAGGGAUUUAGGAAUUAGGGUUUCUAUUUUUGUACAGAUUGCGAUUUAUCUGCAUGUUGCUUGAUUUUUGUACUGAAAUAGAUUUUUAGGGAUUUUUGGAAUUAGGGAUUCAGUUCAGUUGCUUUUUGAAUCCGAAUUUGGGGAUUUAGGGAAUCGGUUCAUUUGCUUUGAAUUUUGUACUGAAAUCGUUCUUCUCGGCUUGUAAACAUGUUGAUUUUUGUACUGAAAUCGUUCUUCUCGGAAUCCUGUAUUGUAGAUUCAGUUCAUUUGCUUUGAUUUAGCAUUUGGGGAUUUAGGGUUUCGGAUUAUUUGCUCCGGCCGUGUUCUCCGAUGAGUCCAUACCAAAUAUCGCGAUAGUUCGAAAAUAUCGCGAUAUUAUAUCGCGAUAUUCUGCCGAAAACAAGUUGGAUAGUUACUAAAAUAUCGGGGUCCCAAAAAAACGAUAAUAUCGGCGAUAUUUCGCCGAUAUUAUCGAUAUUUUCUACUGUGAUAUUACCACAAAUUUGUAAUAUCGAUAUUUUCGUUCAUAAUAUUUUAACAAAAAGGAAAAAAAGACUGUAAAACUGAAAUCAAAUAAACAAGAAAGACGAUGGGGAGGAUGAUGGGCAUGCGCGUACGGGCGUUGUGGUGUUGGGCGCUUCUGAUAUCAUUAGCAGCACUAGAUUCGCCGGCAGCAGCAGCGGCGUCGUCGUGGGCGGUGGACGGGACGGUGUUGGAGCUCGACGAUUCCAACUUCGAUUCCGCCAUCUCCGCCUUGGACUUGGUCUUGGUUGAUUUCUACGCCCCCUGGUGCGGCCACUGCAAGCGUCUCUCUCCUCAGGUCUCCCUCUCUCCCUCUCUCUCUCUAAAAUCAUAAUUUUCAACGAUCCCAUCUCCAUCCAUCCAUGAUCCAUCCAUGUUAAUUUUGAUGAUGAAUUCACACAUGUUAAUUAGGAUUUAUUUAUUUAUUUAGAUUUUAAUAAAUUGAAUUUAUGUAGUUGGAUGCAGCUGCCCCCUUGCUUGCUGGGUUGAAACACCCAGUAGCGAUUGCAAAACUUAAUGCUGACAAAUUCACCUCUGUAGCUCGAAAAUACGAAAUCGAGUAUGAUCCUGUUUCUUCAAAUCCCUUUUAUGUCCAUUGCCAGUCAGAAUUUUACUUAAUUUUAAUUUAUAAUUUUGUUUUGAUUAUUGUUAUAGUGCAUAUCCGACCCUCAAACUGUUUAUGCACGGUGUUCCCAUGGAAUACAAUGGACCCAGGAAAGCGGAAUCGCUCGUUCGCUAUCUGAAGAAGUUUGCAGCUCCUGAUGUUUCCAUACUUGAAUCAGACUCUGCUAUAAGUGAAUUUGUCCAGGCUGCUGGCACUUACUUUCCUAUAUAUAUUGGUUUUGGGUUGAACGAGUCUUUGGUAUCGAAGGUAGCAAUAAAGUACAAAAAGAAGGCAUGGUUUUCGGUUGCAAAGGAUUUCUCCGAAGAUGUAAUGGUGUUGUAUGAUUUUGACAAGGUUCCUGCUUUGGCAUCCCUUCAUCCAACGUAUGAUGAGCGCAACAUCUUCUAUGGUCCCUUUGAAGGUUAGCUUUUUUUGGUUGAUCAGUCCUUGUUCUCCGCUAAGUAUAUUGAAAUAUGUAUUUUGUACAUCAAUGUGACCUUUUUCCGAGUCAUAAUGAUACAUCACAUUGCAAAUUUACAAGCAUUUCUUCAACUUGCAUUGCUUAUAGAAUCCAUCUUUUUGUAAGGAAGAAUACAUUUAGACAUGAAGUCAUAGGUGUGGUUGAGUAAGCUUUGUGAGAGUGCUUUUCAUGCCAUUUCGUUAGCACCCUAUUCUUGCCUUAGUCACUUUUAUGCUUGAGACGUGGACAAAAACCCAAGGACGCACCUUCUUCAAGUGAAAGCUUCUACUUCAAAAAAUGAAGAGGGAAGAUGAGUGUAAUAGUUCCCUCCCCCCCCAAAAACCACAUACACACACAACCGUCCCAGACAAGAUAAUAGCGUUUUGCAUCCUCACUUUAGUGUAUUUACCUAUUAGAUUUUCGCCUGUUAGAUUAUGCGGAGACAAUGGCUAUCUGUUUAUUAAGAGUUAGACACAUGGUGAGUUUAGAAGUUGCCCUCAAAUUUCAUUCCAAAGUUAAACUUUCUCUAAUGUGAGCAUACCAUUUUAUGCCAUGGUGUUGAAGGAACCUUCAUUAAAUGUUUUGUAAAGCUCAAACAUGACUCAUCUAUCUUCUUUGGCCAUCUUCUUUGUCUCUUACUUUUUAUUUUUUUUGAAUAUGCAGAGGAGUUUUUGGAAGAUUUUAUAAGACAAAGUUUGUUCCCUUUGGCCAUGCCCAUAAACUAUGAGACAUUAAAGUCGUUGAGUGAUGAUGAAAGAAAAAUUGUUUUGACAAUCGUGGAAGAUGAGGAUGAAGAGAAGUCUAAGAAACUUAUCAAUAUUUUAAAAUCAGCGGCAUCUGCAAAUCGGGACUUUGUAUUUGGUUAUGUUGGGAUCAAACAGUGGGAAGACUUUGCUGAUACCUUUGGAGCCAACAAGAAGACGAAACUACCAAAAAUGGUUGUCUGGGAUCGAAUGGAGGAGUACAUUACAGUAAGUGAUUAGUUAAGACAUGUAUAUUCUUUAGAUCUCCAUGCUAAAUUUUGGUGAAUCUAUGUUUCAUAUCUUUGAGUAAAUAAUUUGUGAUCGUCGGUGCCGUAUGAUAUUCAUUAUAUAUCUAAGUUUAGUUUUGAUGAAAAAUUGUGAUUGCUAAUGGGAAGUGCGUUUGCUUUUGGGAAGAUUUUUGGGAGGGGUUAAUUGUCUUCCGUCUUCAUUUCCUUCCUUGUAUAUACAGCCUCUUUGAACAACAAUUCCACCAUCCACACCUUAGCCUCCUUUUUAUUGAUGGGUUCCAUUUCUCAGAACAACAAUGCUACAAUCCACCCACUGGCCACCGUUGAUGUCCCCCCAUAGUCGUACCCAGUGCACAAGGCUCCCGCUUUACGCAGGGUCUGGGAGAGGUGAAUGUCCCCCCAUAGUACAUAGAUUAAUUAUAUAAAAUGGAAAUAUAAAUUAGUGGCAAAGAGAAAGUCGUUUUGGGUGAACAUGUGUACGAAUUCUCUCUCUCUCUGGAUUUUCAUGAUUGGACAGGUGCUCUGUAGCUCUCUGGGUUGAUGUUAACUUUGGUUUUUCUUUGGGUUUUUGGUUUCUUCUGAUGUUCUUCUUGUUUCAGCACGUCUCAUGUGUAUUGAUGUUAUGUUUGCCGCUUCAAGAUUUCCUUGUUUCAGCUAUUUCACCUGUAUUUUUGAGACUUUUGCUGCUUUAGAUGGUAUAAAUUCAAAACAUGUAAUGUUCCUUGACGUUAUUUUGUAAAAUAGGUAAAUGGGUCAGAAAGCAUUGAUGAGGAAGAUCAGGCAUCUCAAGUCUCACAGUUUAUACAGGGAUACAAGGAAGGAAGAAUAAUAAAGGAAAGAAUUGGCGGUCCAUCAUUUGCGAGCUUUAUGACUUCAUUUAUAGGGAUUGGAACUGUGUACAUAAUGGUUUUUGUGGUUAUAGUAAUGAUGCUUAUUCGAUCAAUCAAUAAAGAAGACGACGAAUCCCCUGUGGCUCGUACUGGAGACCAGGUUGAUCACGCUACAAGCUCAACCGUUGAGGCUGAAAGCAGAGAGCACAGAUCUGGAGAAAAGGAAGAUUAGAGUUGGCCUUUUGGACUUCUAACCAGAUCUGAUUGGGGUAGCUGCCAAAGAAAAACGAAGGAGUUUAUUAAACGCAACUGUGCAGCGUGCCGGAAACAGUGUGGAGUAUGAAACAUCCAUGAUUUUGUAGAGACUAGAGGGCGAUGAAUUCCCGCGCACUGUUAUGCGUACACCUUAUAGAAAUUCAGCUUUUGUGUUCACAUUAUCUUGGUUAGAUUCUGUACGCUGUGUUGUUUUACUUUGAAGAGCACAAAUUUGUGCCGAACCACGAUAAACACUACUGCGUCUCUUUUUCGUUCUGUAUCUGCUGAUGCCAUCAGUCAUUGUCCAAGCAAAAUUGAAUUGAUUUUUUGUUUGUACCACAUAUUUCACCAAUCUUGAAACUACCAAGCAUUGGUCAACUUCAUAUCUUCGGGGACUCACUGAAGGAGUCGUGCUGACGGGUUUGGGUCAGCUAGGGUAGGUUGUUCAAACCAGUUAACAGGGUUGAAAUAAUAUCCGGAGAAUAGGAAUGUAUACUACAACAAUAAGUGGAAGUGGCGCUAACAGCAGCCCCUUUCACGACGCUGCCGUCUUGCCUUCUGACCACCGGUGCCAACUCCGUCGGUCGGUUUUUGAGAUUGCUUGUGGAGUUGGUUUACCAAUCAAAUUGACAUUGGAAUUUGGCACCAUUAAUCGGUCAUUUGGUCUCUUUGCAAAGGUGUUAGUAGAUUUUGAUCUUGUGAUGAUUUCGCCGUCUCAGAUGUGGAUUGAGUGGAAUAGUGACGUUCUCACCACUGUCCCAAUCAAGUCGCAUCUGGGAUGGCGGAGGAACCACAACCAAAUGACCAAUUUUGUUUCAAAACGAAAAGAAGUUCUUUGUGGUAAAAGAAAAAUUAAGAAAUUUUUUUUUGGAAAUGGGGGAUUGGUAUGAUGCCAGCGACUGAAUAGAGGUUUCGUCGUUAGCUAUAUACUGAUUAGCAUAUCAUUCGUCGCUACUAUACUAGCGAUUUAUUUCCUAUAUAGUCACUACCUGGUUAGCGACGGUGCUUGUGGACUAUUGGUAGGGAAGUAUCAAUCAUAUUCUUUUCUAUUUUAUUUAUUUAUUUUCCCUUUUUUUUUCUUUUUUCAUUGAAUUUUUUUUUUCUUCCUACAUUACUUUAUCUAGAUUCAAAAAUACCUUUAGAUUUAUAUCCUUGUUUUCAAGUGUUUUGACAUGGAUUUAUAAGAAAUUUCACGAAAUAAAAAAAAAACAUAAAAUUUCUUUAUUAUAGUGAAAGAUGAUGGUAACUUCAAGCAAUCCAGAGUAUAUCAGAGCAUAUUUAAAGACAACAAUUAAAAUAUGAAAUGAUCGUCAUCUCCAUAAAAUUAGCUAGUUUAUGACAAUUGAUGAAAUGAAAUCAACUGCUUGAAAUUUGGUUUGGCAAACGGGUCGUGUCUGUCGUGUUUGUGUAACACAUGUUAUCUUAACGGGUCGUGUCGUGUCACACUUGUUAUCUUAACGGGUCCUUAAGAAAAACCCAUUUUGUUGUUUUUCCAAAAUAAGAGUCAAUGCAUCAAUUUGAUCCAUAGGAGAAAGACCCAUUGCACUAAGUUCGUUAGCUAUGUCGCUAUGAUCUGUAGUACCUUGAACUAUAGCUUCAGUUACCAUUUGCAUCAUUUUCCCACUUUCAACAUAAAAUUCUUUCAGUCCACUGAUAAUUGCCUCUGUUCCAUUACUUGAACUUCCUCUUUUCCUCUUUCUUUGGCUAUUUUCAGAUGGGGUGCUUUGUUGGCUUUGUUGGUUCAUUGGAUAAACAACAUUUUCACCUCCAAUAUCACUUGCACCAACCUGAUCAUGACUUUGUUCCUCCAUCAUUUCAACAGGGGUUUCGGCUACAUUACCCGUAGUUCGAUCCUUUCCAAAUAUAUAUGCAAAUCUAUCAUACGGUGGAAAAUGUUUGAUUCUCCAUCCAUCGGCUUCUUUAUUGUUCUAAGAUUAUAUCAACAUAGCAAAACUAAAAUUUAGCAUGCGUAACAAAUAUAGCUGCAAGAAUAUAACUAAUGUAUAAAUAAAAUAGGAUAUGAACCUGCACAUAAGUUUGCCAUGUGUCAUCACUGUUAAUUUCAACACACUUUUUGACAUCAUUCCAUGCAAAUCCACUUGUGUUUAUCAUGUCAAUGACCAAACUAUAUGUUUUUUUUCCAUUUCUUCAACUUUGACUCAAUAUGUGGAGUUGCCUUUAUAUUUGAAUUAGGACAUAAAAUAUCGACAACUUUCGCUAUUUCAAUCAAAGUACCUUGUUUGAAAGCACCUGUGUCACACCGUUGCUUCCGAGCAACAAAAUCCUUUAGAACGGUAGUAAUACUUCUUCCUCAAAUGCUUCCCAUUUACGCCUUCUUCCUUUUGGCUCUUGAGCAGCACUCAAAUUAUUGUCGUUAUCUAUACCUAAACAAAAAAUAUUUGAAUGUACUAAAGUACAAUACAAAGAAUCAAUUUGCAUAAUAUCCAAUUAAUUUGCAUACUAUCCAAUCAAUAAAUCGAAUUACAUUCAAUGAUGAGCAAUCUAAUCAUUUUGCUAAUAUCCAACAUAUGGAUGAUAAAAAGGAAAACUAAAAUAAAAUGUUAUCAUUAACACAUAUAACUAGUUCGAUUGCUGGUUCCUAAUUGCUCUCCACUCAUUAUACAUUUCCUGAGCCAUGGCAUUCCUCUUUGCACUCCACUGGUUAGAUGUUCCAACACUACCAACAUAUUCACCUUCUUCUCUGUGUUUUGUCCAUCUUCUAUUAUUGGCAAAUUCUCCAUUGGAUCUACAAACAUCUCUUGCCUAAUAAGAUUGUGUAGCAGGCAACAAGCGGUAAUUAUUCGACCUUGUGUCCUUAUCGGAUAGAAAGAUGGACUCCUUAGUAUCCCCAACCUUCUUUUUAGCAAGCCAAAACAACGUUCAAUUACAUUCCUUGCCUUAGAUUGCUUUAUGUUAAAAUAUUCUUCCUUAUUGGAAGGUGUUCGUCCUUCACAUUCAAAUAAAUGAUAAGGUAUUCCUCUAUAGGGUGCAAGGAAUCCUUCACCAUUUGUAUAACCACCAUCUACAAGGUAAUAAUAACCUAAUAAAAAAGACCUUAUUAGUAUUUUGUAGUUCACAAACAAAACUAGACCUAAUUUACAAAGUUGAGACUAACUAGUAGCCUUACCCGCUGGUACCUUUAAACCAUUAGGCCUAGUAAUUGCAUCAUAUAGCACUCUAGAGUCUGAUGCGGAACCUUCCCACCCCGAAAACACAUAUAUGAACUGCAUAUCUCCUGAACACACACCUAACACAUUAGUUGCGACUAGACCCUUUCUUGUUCGGUAUCUUGAUUUGUCAAUUUCAGGUACAUGUACAUCAAUGUGUGUUCCAUCUAAUGCUCCCAAGCAAUUCUAAACAAAAAAAAUAAGCUUUUGUUAAUUUAUACAAAGGGAAUCUUUAGUUAAAGCUUAGGGAAAACGAAAAAAAUUAUCAACAUACCUUAAAACAUCGCCACCUAGGAUCUGUAGAAUCAAUAGGCACAGGCUGUGGGACUUUUAGUAGGAUACCAUGUAAUCGUAAAAUUCAUUGCAAUACACUAUUGAAAUACCUACUUAUAGUCUGUCUCGACCUAUAAAAUCUACCACCAACACUACGAUUCUUAGUAUGAUGUGCUAGUAUUUGUAAAGUCAUACACACAUGGUCCUCUACAGACACCAAACCAUCCAUUUUUACCCUCCCAUCUUGACGAAGUAAGUCACAUAAUAUGCCAAAAGUCCUUCUAUCCAUUCUCAAUUCGUUGACACAUUCAAUAUCAGUAUUCCCUAUUAUACCAUUCAGAUAAUACAAACUAAUCUCUCAUCUAACAAGUGAACGGUUAGUCAAAGUGCGUCGUUCAACAUGUCUUUGUUUGGCCCUUAGCAUCAGCAACACAAGAAUCGUACAAAUGAAAAUUGUCUCUAAAUGAGACAUCUCUAACAAUAAGAUCAAUAAAAGCUUCCAUAGAUCCAUAUCUAUCCAAACAAAAAACAAAAGGAAAAAAAAAUGAGGACAUUAUAUAUGUAAUAUUUACUGUAAUUUAAGGGUGAUGGAAAUGAAGUGAUUAUGAUAUCAAAUGAACUAGAUCAAAAGAAAAGGUAUACAAAGAAUUCUGAGACAACUAACUGCAUCAACAGCCCCAAAAUAAGUAGCUAAGUCACAACUAACUGCAUCAUUACAGUUCAUGAGCCCGAAAUCAAAUUAUACCAAUUUAAUAGUUUGUUUGUGCUUGUAGCGUAUGAACCAAUGUGUGUAAUCACUGUGGUGUGAUUAUUUUUCUUCAUUCUUAUGUUGAGUCAAGUGAUUCAUUUGUUUUAAUAUUAGGCCUAGAAACUUAGCCAUAGAUUGCACUACUAUAGGUGCUUUCCAACUUCCCGCUCAUACUUUCUAACUGUUAAGCUUUACUGGACCUUUAACUUUUGUUUGCUUGGAUAUCCAGGGUAUUGAGAUCAGUAAGCGUUUCCAAAUGGGAAUUUCGAGUUGCCAACUCAGUGGCGCUUAACGUUAAGUUCAACCGAGGAGAGAAUGCUCCAUUUGACGAGAUUAAAGAGAUCUAAUCAGCUUACUGAAAAUCCUCGAAAGCUAAAAUUUUCUUUCAUCAACAGCCGUAUUUUUACAUUGCCUAAACAAUUUGGUUUUUCUAUAAUAUCAUAGAAGUCAUAUUCACAGAGAUGCAACGCAAACUUUCACACAUCCAAGGACUACAUUCAAUAGAUUCAUGUCGAAAAUUGAUGUAUGGGUUUAGGAAUUAUACCUUCUUCUAGCCUCGAGGGUUUUGAGUCGUUUGUUACUUGUUUUCCCUUGGGUUCUGAGCACUGGCCACUUCCGUUUAUGCUCCUCUUCUCUGCACCCACAGAAUAUUGAAGUUCAGUAUCAACCCCACACGGUACAAAACAUUCAUUGUAAUAUCAUGGUUAGGCAUUGCCGGGACAUAUGGAAUUGCUUCCCGCCUAUCUCCAAUGCCAUUCAAACAAGGUAGUCCGAGAAAGUUCCAUGGUAAAAGAAAGCCAUCACCUUUAACUACUCAUCUCCACUUCAAAUUUCUGAACAGACGACAUAAAAAAGGAUUGAUUCGAAGAGAACUUGGUAGAAAACCUCUCCUAAUUUUCUCCAGUGAUCACAUUUAUUCACAGGAUUGAUUGUUUAGGGUACAAGUUUAAGUUUUCUUUUCUUGAUAGGGUUUGUCUUUAAGAGCGACAGAAGGUUCUCCGAGGAAGGUAAAAGGAAAUCAAAAAAUGCAUAAACAAAAACCAAACAGAGGAUACGACUUUCAACAUAACCACAAACCAUUUAAAGAGUGCAUAACAAAAAUUUCUUCAACUCACAUAAUUUCUCAUCCAAACAAUUCACAAACAUCCAACCCUAUAUGCAAUUUAAUAAAAUAAAAAAGAGAAACUGGUAAAGAUUCGUGAACCAAGAACAUAAAAACGAAAAACCACACAGAUUUAUGCUAACAUAAUAGAGAUGGAAGGAUGUGUCCCUUCUGCAAAAGAAACUUGUCGAUUUUAUGGUCAAGCAUGGUUUCUGAGUUCGGAUUUGAAAGAAAAGUUGAAAUAUGAAAACCCCAAAUUCUAAUCUCAAUUUUACCUAAAAAUCAAAACCCUAAUUUGUUCAAGUGCAAAGGUCUAUGAUUGAAAAUUUCUCAAACCCAAAACAACAAAAUCAAAAUAAAGCUUAGUAAUAUCACGAUCUGCAAAACAAAUCGACGAAAUAAAUCGAAGAUUCGAAGUUUACCAGACAACUCGGAGCAGAUGAGGGAAGACGCAGAGAUGAGGGUGAGGAGGACGACGAUGAGGGAGCAGGGCAAGGAGGGAGCGAUGUGCGACAAGCAGGACGUGCGACGCUGGGGUUCUUGGACGAGCGAUGUGCAAGGAGGGAUAAGGGCUUAUGAGUCCAGCCGAAAUUGGGGAUCCUCGUUAAGAACUCAUAGUGAGGUGUAUAAUUCGAGCGAGUCCGACUUAAGCUCAUUAAACCCAAUCCUUGUCCAAACCAAACAAGGAACUACAGUCUAAUCUAAUCUAGUCCCCCCUAAUCCGGUCAAACAAACGCCCCCUUAAAGGGUCCUUUAGUAUUUGUUUUUGGUCAACAACCUUAAACAACUUAGUAAUGUCCACGCCCCUUAAAGGGGCCAUUAGUAUUGUUUUUGGUCAACAACCUUAAACAACUUAGUAAUGUCCGCCGUUCUCAUAAACAACCUCGUUACUGUCGUCCUUCGUCUUAAAUGCUCCCCCUCCAUUCACUUUCUUAACAGAGACAGAGAGAGAGAUCACCCCUCCUAAGCAAUGUCGACCGCAGCUUCCUCCACCUCCUUCACUUGCCACUCCCCGCUCAUUCACCGCCCAAAUGCUCCAUCCCGAAAUCUCUGUCGCCGUCGCGAUUCCCAGGUGUCUGCUGCCGUUGCCGCAUUUGAAAACUAAGAGGAGGAGUUCAACCACCACCCAUUGCUCCGCCGACGCUGCGAAGGAUAAAGAUUCCACCCCCAUUGAGCUCAGUAAGAACUGAACUGAUUUUCUCUUUUCUGUUCUUUUAUUUCUUUGAUCAUACCCCACUACAACUUCCAACUGUGCAGGAUAUGAGGCUUUUCCUACCGUCAUGGACAUCAAUCAAAUUCGUGAUAUUUUGCCUCACCGGUCAGUGCCUUUUUCUGCACCAUUUCCUGCGAAAUUUUGUUUCUUUUUCAAAUAAAAAAAGGGCGAUCCUAAGCCAACAAGGCUCCGCAUUGCGAGGUGGGGGAAGCGACGGAGGGGUCAACUCAAGACAGACAAGGCCAAGGGCAGCCUACUGCACAAAGCCACAGUUAAAUUUUAAAAUUAUCCCGAUAGUUUUACAUAGUUUCGAGGCAAACAAUUAAACUGAGUUAGACUGACACGAGAGCUUAGGGAAAAUAGUUUGAAGACUACACUAUGUCAUGUGAUUCUUGGUCAGGGUCUGUUUGAUUAUCAAACGUAAGACAUAUAUACAUGAUACUUGUGGAACAUAACAUUGUUUUUUAUAUCAUAACGAGGGAUAAAGAAUGUCAAGUUUGGUGUACGAAGAAUUGUCUGGGGUAUAAAGCAAUAAACUUCCAAGUGAUGCACUCUUGUUAAGUUUGAGGAUAGGUUAAUGACAGCGCUCCUAGAUAAAUAUGCUCGCAAGGUCGCACAUCCCUUAUUCUGUAUGAGGAGGUAAAUUAUAACAAAUGUGAAUUAGAUGAGCUAAUUGAGAUGAUGUCAACACCCUAUGUGGGUGAGCGGGAGAUGUAUGAUUUAUAUAAGAUUAUAAAAACACAAUAUUAAUCCACCCAAUAUAGGGUGUGUAUUGAUACCCUUUUUUUCCCCUCUUAGCCACUAUAUAAAUAUGAUUUUGUGAAAAGGCGAAAACACACCAAGAGAAACAAUUCUAUUAGCUCUUAGAGAGGAUGCCUUCUUACCACUCUGUUGUCUUUUUCGCUUAGUUUAGCCUCUAGGUGUCCAUUGUAAAGAGCACUUAAAAACUUAAUUGUUUAGCUAACAAGGUGGUUAAGUAUCAGCCUGAUAGAUGCAACCAAAUCUUUCUUUGGGUACGCUCUUAUUCUAGUUUGCAGAAAUAAAUUUCCUUUAUUAGUUAUUUAUAGUAUUUCUCCUUGCCUUAGGAGAUUAUUCAUACUGGUGCCAGAUGCACCCCCUCCCCCUUUUUUUUAUAUGGUGGGGCAGACACAUUCCACUAACAUUUAUUUAAAUUUAUCAAUUCGAUUUUAUUUUUUAUUAUGAAAUUGCUACUCUUAGUGUACUGUUUGAGGGUGGCUGACUAGAUUCAUCCCUGAAAGUUCAUCAUCAAGCCUGACUUUAUGAUCAAUCUCUAAUAUCUUUGUCUUUGUGCACUGUUCUUUCUUUUAUUCCGGUUUUGCACAGUGGAGUUAGUCCCAGCGUAGAGGGCAAUAUACAAAAGCUAUGGUAUUUAUAUUGAUUCUGCUCAUGGGGUGCUGUCAUACCCAUUCUUGUCUGCAACACCAAACCUAUUUUUGCUCUUAUCUUUUUUUUUGGUAUAGAAUUUCGUAUGAUGCCUUACACAGGGUGGAAGAAAUAAUUUCAUACCACGGGAGGAUGCGGAAGCAACAGACGAAUGAGAAGAUGGCAUUUUCUUGAGGGAUGUUGGGAGGAGAGGGCUUCGAGCGAGCACAGAUCACACGGUGCCGCACGAUAGAUCACAUUGGUGUACUCCAAAUGUCCAUUUGGAUGAGGAGGAUGCACCGACUGGGUGAUUGCCAUUGUCUGCAGUGGAGUUUAGGCUAGCUAAUGGCAGGUCACUUAGCAGAGCUGUAUAGCAAGUGCGGGUGCAGAGGACGAGAGGACUGUGGCUACCACUAUAAGAGCCGAGACGCCAGUCGGCGCCGCCUUAUCGCAUGGCAUAACGCCGUCACAGGACCCACCAUGCGCUACUGCGUGUAGUCCGUCUGCUCUGUUAUGGAUCUCAUCUAAUCCGCAGUGUGGCAGACGCAGGAUAAACAUUAAGUCAUCUAAUCACGUCACUCGCGGAGUGAAGCGCACUCCGAUUUGCAAGAGUCCCACUUGCCUCCUGCUGGCUCUAUAUAUACUCUGGAAAGACCUUUUUUAUCCAAUGGUUGUCGUCAUAGUCCUCGGUUGAGAAGAGAUUAGUUCAUUUCUUAGGAGCUGAUUCAGGUGUAGGCUUUGCCCAAAGUUAGUGACUGGGCUCUGCUUAUCAUCACCUCUCCUCCACAGCAUUUCCUUUAAAGAGCAGCAUUUCGUCGCACCAAGACAUUCUACUCGAGACGCUCAAGAGGCGGAGAACGGCUAGGUGUAUAGGUGUAUUUGAGAACGAGAAAAUGGACGUUCGUUUCACUAGUACGAGCACGAAUCACUAUAGUAACCUGGGUGCAAAGGAACACAUAGCAUGAGUUGCUAGAGUGGCUAGAUGAAGGAGGUGACUUAUUUGGAAAGUCACUACGGUCUUUAAAAACAAAGAAAUACAACAGUGUUAGGGACGUCUUCUUCUUCAAUUCUGUGAUUCUCAAUCGCAAGCAGAAAGGAGCGAGCAGAGAUUUAGGUGAGUCGGCUCUCCGUUUUUGAACCCAAGAGCGAGGUAAGCUAAUGGACGUGAGAAGAAUAGCGUACGGACUUAUUUAUGAGAUUUGACAAUGCAAAUGAGAAGGAGCUAAUGAUUCAUCGUAAAACAAUGGAGUGGUAUGAGCAAAAGCAGAUGAAGUAACGCUUUGCACGUUUCCCUUUGCUGAGCCGUAUGAUCAAUGCUAUACUGUUCCAGUUUGUAUUUAAAUGACAUCAUACAUGCACUUGACAGUGUGUGAUGAUGUCAUACAAUUUGGCGCGUAGAUUGUUAGCUGAAUUAUCCUAACUGAGGUGGACCGACUUCCUCCUGAACCCGUAAUAUAUGCCGAGUCAGCUAUUGUACUUAUAUAUAUGAAAACAGUAAUAAUAUGUACAAGAUCGCUUAAGUGCCUGCUCAUUUGUGAGAUCGCGCGAGAACGUGGAAUACAGAUAUUGGUAAUCGUAAAUACUUUUCCACACACUCCCAUCACCACGCGUGCUGUGUAUGAGCCAUCCAAACAGAGCACUACAAUAACGUCGCUAGUUAGUUGCGGGUCGCGCUGCUGAUGCGCGCUGCUAAUCUGGUCUGACUUGGUUGGAUGCUACACUUAACGGAGGAAUCUCCUGGAAGGGAAGCGUGGCAACUCUUUCGUCCGUGUGUCUCGCAGAUCUGUGAACUACGUCGGCUGAGAUGGCUGUUGCGUCCCUGUGGUGAUUAGGGUCUUGUGAAACGCGAGGAGUAACACUGACUUGAAGAUUCUAUGGAGAGCGAUUCUCUGCGUUUUGGGUACAGCUUGUUCCUGCAAGUCUUAUUCUCGGGAGAGUAUGAGCUGUGGUCGUUACUACACCCGGACAAGGAAACGGAUAGUGCUACGUAUGACUAAGCUAGUACAAUGACCACAUAUCGACCCUUGUCUUCGUCGUGUCUGCUGAACUCGCUGUACAUAAAGCACAGAGUUGACAUGCACGUGUUCUCCUGCACACUGACCAGUAUAGCAGACACUCACCAAGCAUGGAGACAAGAACGAUUAACCUCAACCUGGAAGCUUGCACCAUCCGCGCAAGCUCGUCACCAUAGCUCAUGCGCGAGAAGAAAAGUGAUUUUCGCAGUGUUACUAGUUUUAUGUAUGAGAUCUAGUGACUAUUCAUCGAAUACGACGCACGAUUGAGAACACUUCCUACGUAGAAGAUUAUCUAUUCAAGAUUUGGUUAUAUCUCUGUAAGUUUACGUAUACAAUCUGUGUGAUCCACAAGACGAUGACUAGUCACGUUAGUUAGUAGCAUUGUUCGGUAUGAUUUGUCACAAUGUGGAGAGAGAAAAGAGCGCAGCAAGAUGAGAUUCAUACCCCAGGUCGUUAAUAUGAACUCAGCUAGACAAUGUAUUGCAGUGGUCUCCAGACCGCUGAUUAGCCAUCGAAGAUCUCAUGCCUCUAAUUUCAGCCGUGACUACAGUGAUAUCAGAUUAGGAGAUGAGCCCUGAUUUCCCACCGUUGGAUAUAUGACAGGCGGGAAGAGAGAGCGCAGCGCCGUCCUCAUCACUCUACGAGAGGUCCAUCUCUUGUGUGCAUGCUGGCGGAGGAGAUACGUACAUCUGCACCCUAUUCACGGACCCCUCGAGCGUGACAAUCUUCGCCGAGUUCCUUCAGCUUAUAUAUGCGUAUAUGUAAAACACCUUACCAACUCGCCGGACAGCAAGGCUCACGAUAAGAAUGCACCUCGUCGCGCCAUGUGAUUCCAAUCUCAAAUAUAUACAUUUCACUGAACAGAUAUCAUUUCAAUAAGACACUCGGAUAGGCGAACUGAAAAGGACCGUUCCUCCAAAGCCAAGACAACGCUAAUCUGCUGUUGACUCCAACGCGAAAGACUGCUCUCAGUCGAGAUUCGAGCUGAUCUCGCUACUGAACGGCGACAUGCAGUAACUCGUACCUCGACCAUGUAGCUCACGACCACGUGACCGGAGCGGCACAGCCGUUUGAGUCACGCUCGCUCUUCCACAGAGUUAGCGGUUGUAUUACCGCGAGCCCACACAGAUUUCGAGCUGUCUGGAACCCGGGUAAGAUGUGUCUAAGCGCAAGAGAGAGAUAUAUAUAUUACUUGGAGUGCCGUUGUAUGAUGUGAGGAAGAGUUUAGUCGCAGGGCAGAUCUGGUGAUGUUGAUAUUGAGACGUUCCCCAUCGUUUCGGUUGCCCUCUGCCAAUGUUGAGGUUCAGUAGUAUAACGAGAGAGCAAUCCAUCUGUCGAUUAGGGACAGGUAUCGACACUGUAGCGUGCACAAUAAGAGAGUCACUGAGGCUGUCAGGAUGACCAGUAAGUAAUCAGGAACUUUCUUUCCACGCACUGAUAAUCGUCAGCUACGUAAGGUAACCAAGUACUGAACCAUCAAUAAUAAGCAGUCACACAUGAGGGGUAGCGAAAGUAUAUAGUCGUGAGGGAACUGAAUCAGUUCUUGAGGGGCGUUCACUCUUUGGUAAGGUACUUAGUCCCCGAGACGGCCUCCAGCUGAUCCUAGUGGUCAGAAAAUAACAUGAUCCAAAGAGAUUCGUAACAUCUCCCCAACAGUACAGUUAAGUUGCGGUUCUAAGUACAUGGACACGCUCUGAGUAUUCUAUGAGACAAUAGCCUGGUAGAUAUUCUUAAAGCACGAGGCGUACCGAGAGAGGAGGAAUGAUAUUAUAUUAGAGAGUAUGAAGGAGAAUGGAAGAAGUGCGCAGCGGCGGAAGGAUAUAUCUCACUAUCAGUAAGAAUCGUAUCAAUGGAUAAACAUAACAAUCACUUUGUAAGUUGGGUCAGUCCUUCCACGCAGUCGGAGUCUAGGAAAGCGAGGAGCUUGAUAAGCUGAUAUAGGCUUCUCCCAUGUAUUAGAACUCUUCCACUGAUUCGUCAGAUAAGCCAUACUACCCCCAAGACUCUGAAUCUAGUCGAAAAUACAACCAAAUUCGAAUCCCAAGAUAACCCGCAAGCUUGGACUUUGAACAAAUAGUGUUUAUCUAAACAGCUACCAAUUAUAUAUAUAUAUAUAUAAUUAUAUACAUAUAUAAUUGGUAGUCUUCCACACGGCAUACACCACUGUAAUCCCACCAUAAUUCUGAUGACUUUGCACCCAAUCCGACAACACCAUCAACAUGCUUUUGAAAAGCCUAGCCUAGCUAGGUUUCCUAUGUCAUCAUUAUCCAGGACCCUUAUUUUUCUUUAGAUGAUGUCAGAUCCCACGUGCUGAUCUCCUAGCAACCCAAGUUAAUUCGAACUCGAACUCUGUUGUUGUUGCUUCCUUUUAUAUCCCGUCGUAUAAGAAAAGAAUGAAUCACAUUGAAAGAUAAUUAUUAUGAUAAAAAUCAUAACAUUAUCCCUCAAUAAUUACAAAAUUAUCUUCACUCUUCGAUCGACGGUGUAGAAACACGCUUACUCAACGGUCUUGAUUACUUGGACCGAUGAUGUAAAAUUGGGUCCAAACAGUUUGAAAUUCAUGUUAGGUUUGAAAUUCUUUUCUGUAAGGUGGAAUGUUAGGAAGGACUUACAUUGAACAGUGGGGUAUUAUGGUGAUUCAAUUCAAGGACUCGUUUGGAAGUGUUUUUAAAAUGACUGAAAGCAUUUUUAGUGAAAAUGUUUUUGAAAUCAAUCUUUAGUAAAAAUCCAAGUAGAUCCUGAAAAAGCACUUUAAGUGCUUCCUGCAAAAAACACAUAUCUGGUGCUUCUUUCGAAAAGCACUUAAAGUACUUUUACAACUCAAAACUAAUUUCAACAAAAGUACUUUCAAUCAUUUUAAAAGCACAUCCAAACAAAUUUAAGUGACGGUACCAUGUGUGAUUAGAGACGAGUCAAUGGGGUCAAUGGCCCCAUAUGAAUAAGUUAAUCACUAAAAGCCGACAUUAAAGAAGGUUAAUUUCCUCGAUAGAAAUUAAAACGAGGUUGGAGAUAAAGGUCUGAUUCUCCUUCUCCACCAGUUGAGUUAGACAGCACUAGUGGACAUAACAGUCGACUUUCUUUUCCACGACAUAUUAGAGAAAAGCUUCCAUUAGUGGAUCAAGUACACAAAUUAGCGGAGAAACCUCCAACCUAGCUUUAAUUUCUAUCGAGGAACCAGUGCAUAAAUUUCCAAUCUAAAUUUAGACAAAUUGACGAACAAUGAUCAUAUGGAAGUUACGUAAUUUGAAUUGACAAAAAAAAAAAAAAAAAAAGACUGGCUUUGCAUCUAAUAUCAGGAAUGUAAUUAACAGGUUUUAAUAAGUUUAAAGACUGACUUUUCUGAAAAAAUAAUUCAAAAACUUAAUUUUCACUCUGAUAAUAAUUAGUUGCAAAAUCGGGAUUUUACUUUUUUUGUUAUAAUGGGAUCUAAAAAUAGUCUUUGCAGCCACUUAGUACUAAACCUGUAAACGAGUCGGUUUUAUUAGGUUUGGGUCUGUUUGAACUCGACCCGUUAAGCGAACGUGUCAUCCAAAUCCAACCCAUUAAGCUAACCCAACCCGUUAACAAAUUUUAUUUUAUUUAUUUUUAAAAUUUUGCAGAAGUAACUCAAACACAAUUGCAUAUUUUUUCUGUAACAAAUUAAUGGGUAGAAGUUAGAAAUUAGAACGUAGCAUUAGUUUGAGAAUAUUUUGCAUAUGAAUCAAUCACAUCCUAUAGAAAUUAUUUAGCAGGAGGGUUCAAUGGUGCUUCUCUUCGAACCCUUGGGCUCACACUUGCUAAACCAUCGAGCUCAUAUGAUCAUAUCCCUUGGAUCAAGGAGGUGCAUAUCAAAAUGAAUUAUAAUAUCAGAUCAAACAUUUACGGUUGCCAAUCGUACUGUUGAUUGCGGUUUCCAACCAUCAUGUUUGAGCCUUGAUCUGCUGCAGAGCCAAACAUCAAAUAACUCAUAAUUUCAUUUUUUAUAUAAUUGAACAAGAAAUAUAAUGAAAAUGGGAGUUCUACAGACUUGAGAAUGGCCUGGAUGCUUUCUCACGGUGUUCAUGCUUCCUGCCAUCGGUUGAGCGACGACACUUCAACUGCUAGGAGAACACGACGGUGGAACCGUGUGGUACAGAGCCGCGAAGGAUGAGAAUGGUGUUUUGGGUCCUAAGCUAGGUUUUUGCACAACCGUGCGAAGGUAGCAGUUUGCUUGGAGGAGGAGGGGAGGAGGGUGACGGCAGGAGGAGUAUGGUUUUGAGAAGGAAAUAGGGAUUAGUUUUUCUCUUAAUGAAAUUAUAUAAACAUCCUCACUAAAGGGUCUUAAUGGGGGUUAAUGGGUUUGCGGGUGAACUUAAAAUAACCCGUAAAAUAACGGGUGAUUAAUAGGUCCAUCUGUUAACAAUCCGACUCAUUAAGCUUCCACUCAAAUGCUGAUUUUAAUGGGUGGGGUCAGAUCGGGUUGACAGGUUGGGUCCAAAAUGCCACCUUUACUUAGUAUUACGGUAUAGUAGUAUUCUUAUUUACUUGUAAAUAACAGGUCUUAGAUGCGCCCAAAUUCUUGAAUGGAGACAACUAUGCUACUUGGAGUUGUGCUAUGAUUAUUAGUUACAGUUCCAAGAACAAAAUGGGCACCACUAUAAUAGUCCGUGACCGCCUUAUCGGAUUUAAGCUUGAAAGCCUCCGCCUCAAGGGAGAAGCCUUGGUAAUGUGAUUUCUGUUGGCUCAAUUCAAGCCCAGGUCAUAUUAUGUUUGUGUACGAUUGCUAGGACCUUUUUGGCUUUGGCGUUAUUGUGGUGGCUAGAUUAGGAGUAAUGUUCUUUCACAAACGAAAUACGCACUGGAGAUCAUAAAGGAUGCAUGCUAUCUUGGUGCCCAACCAACGUCACUUCCCAUAGAACAAAACUUGUCCCUUGGUAAAAAUGACGAGAGUGCACUGAUGGCCCAUUAUCAUAUCGGAGACUUGUUAGACAUCUAUUUAAAAUGUGCCCUGCAAAUUCAAUUGCAUGAAAGAACAAGGCAUGAAUUUCAAAGUUUUAAUCUCUUUAGCAACUCAGUGUAAUUUCAAGACGUUUGAAUCAAAAUUCCAAGGAGAGAUGUAAAGAGAGAUUAAGACAAGAAUUUAAAAUUAUAUGAUCUGAAAAAGCUAGAACCCAAAAAUUCAAAAGUUUGGUGAGAGAUCUUAUUUUGUAUGUUACCUUUAAGGACAUGUAAUGUUGAUCCCUUUUAAAAGUCACAACAUUUCAAAAUUUCUGAAAGUGUCCUUCAAGAAUAUGACAUUCCACAUAAAUCUACGGAAACCAGUGGGGUCAAUGGCCCCAUAUGAACUGAAUUACUAACAACCCGACAUUAGUUUACAAGGCUCUGGGAGGAGAGAUGCGCGCCGGGGGGGGGGGGGGGGGAGAGAGAAGGGAAAGAAAAAAGGGAAGUUUAACGAAAAGCAUCAGGUACUGUUUACUUUAACGAAAAACCACAUUUUUACACUAAAAAGUCAAUCCUUGUACUAUUCACUUUACUUUUUAUUUUGUUCUUAUCAUUAAAAAUUAAAAUUUUCAAGCCCUUUUCAUUAGUUUUCUUAAGAAAAAAGUUAAGUGGGGUGUGGGCCCCACGGCCACAAAAGUCCCAAAGAAAACAUUAAAAUAUCAUCUUCAGCUUGCUUUUUCCCGUCUGUAAUAAUAAAGCAAACCGAAUGUAAACCCGAAAAAAACAAAUGCAUAGUCAAACCAUAGUAUAUGUAAAACCAAAACCACAUUUUUACACUAAAAAGUCAAUCUUUGUACUAUUCACUUUACUUUUUAUUUUGUUCUUAUCAUUAAAAAUUAAAAUUUUCAAGCCCUUUUCAUUAGUUUUCUUAAGAAAAAAGUUAAGUGGGGUGUGGGCCCCACGGCCACAAAAGUCCCACAGAAAACAUUAAAAUAUCAUCUUCAGCUUGCUUUUUCCCGUCUGUAAUAAUAAAGCAAACCGAAUGUAACAAACCGAAUGUAAACCCGAAAAAAACAAAUGCAUAGUCAAACCAUAGUAUAUGUAAAACCAAAAAGUAAAACACCUAGAAGUGUAUCUUAACAUGUAAGAUAUAAUCAAGUGUUGCAAAUCGUGUCAAUAUCUUGUACUGGACAAAGUAAAUAUUUCUAGAUUGAUCCAUCGGAAGUACAUGUAGACGUAGAACUCAACAGUAAUGUUAUGCUGCAUCCUAUCUCCUCCUUUGUUUAAGAAAACAAUAGUUAGAACAACACUUGAACACAUUUUAUGAACUAAAAAUUGCAUUAUGAACAGAUGGAACAAAACUGAAAUCCAAGUAAAUAAAAUGCUGGUAUUGAUUCUUCAAUUAUAGUAAACCUGUAUGCGAAUUGCAAAUAAAACUAUUGCAUAUGCGUUGUACAUCCAGGAUACCCGAUGAUUUAGUUGAGGGAUGGGACUUCCAUACUGAAAAAAUCUACCAGUUAAAGUUGGAAUGCCUUUGUGAGUGGUUCGAAUUUCAAGCACAUGAGGUGUAACUGUGAAAGGAUAACCAAAUACGAUGCCAUUUAGCAUUUACCAAAGUUUGAAUAAAAAAUAAAGUAAAUUCUUAUUGCGGGUGUUUAACAGACAUUACAUGCAUGGAUUUCAAGUUUCACAUGUUCCUUAGAUGUAGAGAUAUUGUCUUUAUUUUGUACAGUGACUGUACUUGCUAUUAACAGAAACAAUUUUAUGCAACAGUGAAACUUCACAUGGCUUGAUUUUGGUGUACUGAAUACUGAUGCAUGUUUUUAUUUUCAAGAUAGCCUUCGUAUACCUCUCGGUCACCGUCCUGUCCUUUCUUCAAUAUAAUUCUGCAUGAAAACUUCAGGGGUAUUACAUGCAUUAUGCCAAGGGUGUCGGCGGUGGUAAUAGACUAAUAGUCAAAAUGUCGCUGGAGGAAGCAGGAUGAGCUAACAUUGACCGUGCUUGUAUCUUGCAGUCCACGAGUACUACCAUCUCCAUGUCAUGGGAGUAUAUACCACCCUUUAUCUAUUGUUUCUCAUCACGUGGCAGACCCAAGAGUUGUGUACACCCGGGAUAGGUAAAUUAUGGUUGCUAGCUGUCGGUGUAAAUGUUGAUAAACCCAAAAGACAGCAGCAGAAAUACUUUGCAUUUGGCUAGUCUACAAUCAUACAAAGGUUGUCAACAUUUUGAAUUGGGAUAGGACCAACUUAAAGCUCUUGAACCGUAGGUACGUGACAGCUCUUGACGUUGCAGAAGAAGUUUGCGAAUUGUUGCAUCACACCGUGGGGGUAAGCUUUUGUGUUCUAUUGUUAUCAAAUUACUGACUGUAGUUAUGACUAUUACAAUCGAAGGAAGGAUCAUUGUCCUAUACUAGAAAAUAGGCCCGAGCGUUGCUGCGGGAAUUGAAUAUAUUAGUCGCGAUAGGCAUGAAUAAUUUUCACACAAACUAACUUAAAAGAUGGUGUAGUACCUAAAAACCAAUGAAGUAAAACUUUGCUUGCUAUAUAUGGAUAUGCAUGCUAUAAGAAAGCAUUCAUUUGUAUAUCGUAUUGUGCCAUCAGUAUUAUCCUCAUAGUUUCAAGUGCUCAGCCUACUAUAUGGGGAAAAACACGGAGAAGGGAAAGCAAAACAGUAGACUGGAAUAGUAAGUUUAUGAAAAAAUUGCUAAACCGUCUCACAAAUUCAAUCGUUAAACAUUACACUGUUACCUAAGAUAAAGAUAAAGUAUAUAGUUCGUGCACAAAUCAAAACAAAGUGCUAUCAAAGGAAAAUGUUUAAGAUGAUGAAAAUAAAGAACUGAACGCGGCAACCAUAUUUUCUAUCGGUAACCAAACGAAUAAUUUAGAAUGAUACAAACCCAAUUCUAGCUCAUCUGGUUGCUCUCAUCCUCAACUCUGUAUUUCAAAGGCUCAGUAGCCAUGUUUGCAGAAGUUGCCAAAUAAUCACCAUCUGAAGAUUGAGAAUAACCCACAUUGUUCACAUCGCACAAAAUUUUAUAGAAACGGGGACAAAUUAACAUAUUUAAAGUAAGCAUUAAGAUGUAAACAUAUUCAAAGGCUGAGUAGCUGAUUGGAUUCGUUUCAUUUUUCAAAUCCAAUGAAAAUAAAAAACGAAAAGGAAUUAAAGAAAAGUAACAGUUUUAGUAUUUCAAAUUAGUGAUUAAUUAACCAGUCAGUCAGUCUCAAUGAUCUAUCAAUACCAUAGACAUCAUACAGAAAUUCAAGUAAACCCUGUAAACUAUCAACUCCAUCACUCUUCCACCAUUCUUUCUAAUUUACCUCUCCUUGGAGCUCUUUGAUUACUAAUUUAUAUACAGCAAAUUGACCUGUCCAUUUCAAAUCAAAUAUACAUGGGCAAAAAAGCAAAACCUAAACUCCCGCCACAUAAAUUAAUCAAUAAUCAAAGGAAAAUUCUCGAGACCAGAACAAAUCCAAUUGGAUUUUCAUGCGAGUGAUUGUAAUUGCCAAACAAAACACAUAUAUUUAAGUGCCCAAAAUUUAAGCUUUGCAUCAUAAUCUAUUCUUGUAACAAAAACAGUUUCUCAGCUAUUGGUAUUUUCUGUGGCUUUCGAUCAAUAGUUGUACUUAUAUAGGAAAAAAUGUAAAAUAGCUGAACACAAAUGAAACAAAAAAGGAUCAAAUUAUUAAGAAAUCUAAGUUAGAGUUGUUAAAAUUCACUUUCAUGUUUACGAUUCAAAUUUCAACACAUUUAUUAUUACAUUUUACCAAUCGUCACACAUUGCUAAUUGCCAAGAUAGCAAGAUAAUGAAUUCCAUGAACGAAAAAAGAAAUGACAUGCAACUUCAACUUACCAUGCCAAAGAAGCUCCAUAAGAGUAGUGGCUUCCUCCUUACUGCAUGUAUCAAAAGCAUUGCAACCGUAGAUCCGGGAAAUUAUAAAAAAAACAUCCAGUCAAUAGACAAUAUAAUAGUUGUGGGAAGGUGAGUACGCAACCAAGAAUCUAAGAUAUACUUGACUUAUGAUUCCAUUAUAAUUUCACACAAAAAAAAAGAUCAAAUUUUGAUUGAAACAUCAAACAAAACAAUCUCAUCUAUUACAGAUUGGACCAACCAAAUAAAGAAUCUAUUGAUAUGAUUUUCAGCCUAACUAUAAAGGAGUUUUAUAACAGUGCAACCAACUUCAUUUGAACCCAACUAAAAAGAAACUGAUUGUAUGUUAUAAAUUCCAUGGGUAAUUUGAUUUUGCAGAUUAAAAAGAGUCGAAGAAUAUUGAAAAUUACUAAACCUCAUCACAACAUUGCAUCAGCAAAGAAUCAAAUCCAAAUGUAAAUUGUAGAAGAGUGACAAUUGCAUAAAGAAUAUGAUAAUAGGAAGCAUAAAUGGGAUAUUGAGGAUCUCAAGUAAAUUACCCAACCAGCAACAAUUUUUUCAUGACAUCUUACAACACCAAAUUUCGUCUUGAAAACAGGACAUUUAAUGCACAAAAAUUAACAUCUAAGAGAGCGUUGCAAUUCUUAUCUUUAAAAGCAUGAAUGGUGAACUUAAUAAAAGAAUAAGAAUUUGCAAUGAACUAAAUAAAAACACAAUUUCUAUAAACAUUAUUUGCACAAAAAUUAACUGUAUUGAGAACUCACCAUCCCACUUCUCACGAUGAAGUAUGAUGAUAAAACCAAUUGGUGGGUGCACUGAAAUAUAUUCAGAGGCCCAUUAAACGCGCGAACAUCAUACAGUGAAUUGCACAUAAAGUACAACAUUAUCAAGUAUAUCUCGAGGCGGCAUUGGAUAAGAUCAUUAUAAAGUCUUCAUCUCUGACACCAAGAGCACUCAGCAUCUCAGAAUUCCUCAUCUCCCUACCAUUAUAUAGCAGCUGCUGCCACUGAAGCAGCACCCGUGUCUGCUCAUACGCACUAAAAAACAUAUCACGCAUUUGUUACACAUUUCUCUAUUAACUAAUCAACUAACUGAAUUUAAAAUUAGCUUCCAAACCAAAAAAGUUAUGAACUUUUAAUUCUGCAAUCAUAUUCAGUUCUUCAUCUCUUACUCUAAAUCCCAAUUAUAGAAAUAUCUAAGCAUUACUUCAAUUUAAUAUUGUUUUCCCCCAAAACAGCACAAUCCCACAAAAAAAUUUAAAAAAUAAAAAAACAACAGAUCAUGAAUUAAAUUAAACUUCUCACCUCCACCUCCAACAUAGCUUUCACAUUCUCAACCUAUCACAAAAAAAUCAAAUCAAAUCAAAUUCAAAUUAAAAAAAGGAGAUCUUCAACUUCCAAAUUAAUUGAAAGAACUAUAAAAUCAAUAAAGGGUUUCUGCUGAAGUGAAAAGUAAGGGUUUUACAGUCUUGUGAGGAUCGACGUUUAAGGAGAGGAUCUGUUCGUCUCCGAUCAUCAUUGUGAACUUCAUCUUCUUCAAUCCGUCGUAAAAAAACAACAAUAAAUCAUGAAUUAAACUUCUCACCUCCACCUCCAGCAGAGUUUCACAUUCUCAACCUGCCGCAAAAAAAAAUCAAAUCAAAUUCAAGUAAAAAUAAAAAAGAGAACUUGAAUAUAGCAACCCUACUCCCCCUCUUACAGUUUAAUAUGUAAGGAAGUUGUAAUCCAAUCAUGUUAAAUUCACCCUUUUAAACGCCACAAUUUAUCUAAUAAAAAGAGAAAUUGAAAGGAAAAAGAAAACCUAAAACAGAAAGUAGUGAUUGAAAGCUCCUCCCUCUACUGUCAGUUUUUGCCUAAACUCUAUAAAUUAAUCGGAAACGAAAGAAAACUAAGAACUUGAUUAAUUGAGUGAUUAAGAAAACAUGGACUUGGUUAACUUGAUACAUGAAAGUUGAAUUCAUUGACAGAUGCUUCACAUACAUCACGCAUCCACUGUCUAUUUCCAGAAAAAGGAUACAUUAUCUGGAUAAUAGCACCUGGUAAUGAAUUGAUACUAAAAAAUCCCACAAAACCAUCCACAAAUACAUAUUUCACUAUAAAGCAUGAAAAGAGAAAGAUUAAGGCUCAAAGGUACCUGUUGGGUGAAGUGUAGCGAAUUCGAAUGAUGGCGCUAGGUAAAAGGACCUUGUUUCGGAAAGGAAGGAUGCUGAGGCUAGUGGGAAGCUCCACCGAUUCUGCCAUAUUUGCAACUUGUAGUGAGAGGAAAGAAGAAGAAACAGAAAGGAGAGUUAGAGGCGGAGCUAGAGAACACAGACAUUACCAUAUAAGUGCCCUAAACCAAAAACAUUAACACAGAAUUAUGGAUGUCAUUGGAGACCAUUUUAAAUGAAACAAAUAAAUAUGGGAAGCACUGAUUAUCAAACUAACCUCUGAACGUUUGGAUAACCCGAAGAACUUCCUCAUGCACCACCAUGUUCCUAAAAGCAGUCCCCUGACAACAAUUCAAAGUGAAAUAAAUUGAAUUCAACAUAGAAACUUUUAUAAUUUCACAUGUUUCCUAAAAUUACUCGGCUACGUGUUCAUAAAAGGGGAAACUUUUCUGAAGUCCAAGAGCAAUAUCAAAGUGCUAUUUGCCCCAAUCCAAGAAGCAGAAAUCGCACUAAUACUAAAUAUCCACACAAAAAUAUCUUCAUUUGAGCAAUAUCCCCCUAAAUUUAGCAUCCACUGUUUUCAUACAUUCAUAAAUUCAUUGCUAACAACAAAAUGUAAUAAAUAAAUAAAAUAUAAAAUAAGGUCAAAAAUGGACCAACAGGACCCCUUGGAUUCAAAUUUUUGAACCAAAAAUCAAAUAAUUUCAACAAAAACAUGAUAUUUUGGAUUUCCAAUUUCAUAUCCUUUCAAGAAAAGAUAAAAAAACUAAAUUGUUAACAUUCCCAAAAACUGAAAAUCCAAUCUUAGGGGAAAUCCAUGAGAGCCUGCAGUUGCAUUGGUCAACAUAUAUUCCUUACCUUAAUUACACAUCUAGAGCUAUCAGCUAUAACAAAUCUUUUAUCUCCAACCUUAAACAUUACUCCCUUAAUUAGUGCUUCUUUUCAGACCACAACAUUGAAUACGAUUAAUUAAGUGCUACAACGGUGGUGAUUUGUGAGGACCACUAUACUAUUAAAUCGUACAAUACAAUUGUUGUGAAUAUCACGUUUAAGAAUGGGAAAAAUAGAAUAAACUCCGGAAAUUGAAAACAAAUAACCAAGAUAAAUAACACCAAGAAUUUACGUGGUUCGGCAUUAUGUGCCUACGUCCAUGGGACAGCAACAACAAUCUUUCACUAUAUCAAUAAUGAGUACAACCAAUAAUCUUGCCAAAUCUCUAGAACUAGGAUUUGACGAAAAACCUGAAAGAAUAAGAACAAGAAAUACACUAUCUCUUUUCUUUUCUCUUGCACACACUUUACAAUAUUCUCUCACUCUAAUCCCUAGAGUGGUAUACAAUUUAUUGUUUUGCUCCCUCCUCAAAACUAGUACAAUAACCCCUUUAUAUAGACAUAAUAAAGGUCUUCUUCAAUAAGGAUUAUUAAUCAUAAUUGGAAUCUAGCUAUGAAUCCUACUCCAAUUGAGAAACUAACUCCAAUUGGGUAAACAACUCCAAUUGGGAAAACAACUCCAAUUGGGAAAACAAUUUAAUCCUCUAAGACUUUUAUUCCUAAUAGACUUAGGACAACUUAUCAUGGGCUGGAAAAAACCCAACAACAAUUUCAAGAUCUAAUUGCAACAACUUGAAAUCAUAGCAAGACGAUCAAUCGACGCAAGAAAGAGACCUUAGGAGCGGGGAUCCUUUUUCCUUGAAUAUGAAUCCGCAUCAUGUACCCAACUAAGAUAUAAAUCCACAUAAAUCCACUUCUGGAAAGUACUAAAAUACCGAAAACAAAUAUAUAUAUAUAUAUAUAUAUACAUAUUAUAUACCAGUAUGAAUAUGAGGGAUUGGAUGAGGAAGUCUAAAUAUACCAGUAAUGAUGAGUUCAUGAGCUUGAUACUGACGCCAUGUUCUUGGGCUGCUUUCAGAACCUUCUCAGGUUCAACUGGAUCCACAACCGUUGCUUUUUUGGUACUUUCGUCAAUAAUUCUAAACACCAAUAACAAUUGAAUUUAUAACUGAUCAAUAUUUAAGCAUAAUCAAUUAAUAAAACCCUAAUUAGGAUAAUUAGAAAUUGAGAUGAAAAGGGUGGAUACAGCCUUUUUGCUUAUAAAAACAUGCUAUAAAUUUGUUCCCCACUUAGAAAUACAAGAAAUAAGAGAAUUUCAAUCAAGUGGUCGCAUGCGUAUAACAUUACCGGCAUCCCAUUCAUGAAACCAAGGCUUAUACACCCAAACUAAAAGGCAAAGCCCUUGAACGCAUCUCCUGGGGCUAAAACCAACAGAAAAAAGUUAAUACCUGAUUAUUCGCAUUUAUUUAUAUAUCAUAUACCACCACGUUAAACUCAUUAAAAAAUUGCCUAUUUGGGAGAGAGAAUCUAGCAUUGAAAUCAUAAGAUUGCUAUAUAACAGUGAAAAUAUGCCUACAUUCCCCACCAUUAAGUGCAACAAAAUCUAUGGUAUUGGGUGUGAACUUACCCUUCGCUAGCGUAAUGGGUGUUCUUGAGAAGUUGGAGCCUUUGGAACAGUUCGGGAGCUUCUCUGGGAGGGGAAGCAUGCUUGCAACGGGUGUAUCAAAACCUCCUACAUUAAAUCAGUCGUAGGAAAACAUUGCCAAGAAAUGAAAAUCAAACAAAAUGGGCAACUCAGAUGUUAAAAGAGAACACAAUUAUCUAAGAUUCCAAACUCCUUCAAACAUAUAAAUUUUCUAGACUGAAAGAGAACUGAUGCUUAGAAAUCUGUACCAUGUAAUUGGGGCCGUAAAGGGGCUCCAUUUUGUACACCGCCGUGUUGCGCAAAAGCAAUACUGGAAUCCUUAGUGUUUAUAGUGGCUACACUCGCUCUGGAUUGUCCUGCAUGUGCAUUGUUAUUAUGCUACUUAAAAUUGAAUAUUUGAAAUAAAAAUCAUCAAACCCUAAAAUUUCCAACAAUCUCAAAAAUUCCAAAACGCAUUAAAAACCUCAAUUUGAAAUAGUAAUCCAAAGCAAUAUAAUUGCAUAGAUUGUUAAAAGCGAAGGAAAACUAAUCAGGAACAAACCCUGCACAAAAACACAUAUGCAAAUAAGUAGAUACGACACACACACACACACACACACACACAUAUAUAUGCACCUACGGUUGGAGGAGAUGGAAGGGCCGAGCCCACUGGGGCCAGUGCCCAUAGGGUAAGCGCACAUGAGUAUCCCCUGUGAAAAAUAUGAAACCUCGUGAAAAGAGCGCAUGUGGGAAAGAACGAUAUCAACAUCGAACGCAUAGAACUGCAGCAGGAAUAACAUUAAAAAAAGUCUUUGUUCUAUACGACACAAUAAAAGAAAUAACAGUGAGCCAUACAAAGUAAAAAUAAAAAAUUGGGGAUUGUAAAUUGUAAUCUAAUCACCCAAUAAAAAAAAAGAAAUUAAGCACAACAAUAUCAAAAUUAAAAGGAAGGAAUAAUAUGAACCUUGUGCAUAGAAUGCUCGUGAGAAUGAAUCACACAACAAUCAAGGGUGGACAAAUCACAAAAGUGACAACUAAAGGGCACCUAACGGACACCCCCAUCUCUCUUUCUCUCUCUCUGCAAUGGACACCCCCGUCUCUAUCUCUCUGCAAUUGCAAAAAUCCCUUGGGUUUCAGGAAGCAAAUGGAAAAUGAAGUGUUUUUCCAUCCCCUACCCAUACCCGUUCCUCCCUUACCCGUUCCCUUUACCCUUGCAGAAAAUCCUCCCAUCUCUCUCUCUCACCCUUGUCCCAUCUCUCUGUCUGCAAAUCACAGAAAAGAAACCCUAAACAAAUCCAUGCAAUCCCUCACCUAAAUCCUCCCACAUCUCUCUCGGACACCCCCUAUCUAUCUCCUUGCAAACCCUAAACCAAAUCUCCUAAAUCCUAUCUCGGACACCCCACAAACAGCCAAGAAGCCAAAGAUAUUAAAGCAAUCUCUACAUAAUACUUUGGAACAAUGAAGCAAACGGGGUACUUACUUGUUCCUUGUCCAAAAUCGUUGGAGGGGCCGUACAUUGUUAUCAAUUGUGGGUUUAUCAAAUCCUUCAUGGCUUAGACUGCAUGAAGAAUUAGAAACAAAAAGAUGAAUAAAUGAUGUAAAUCAUCAUAUAAAUGUAACUGCAUUUAAAAAAAAGAAGGGAAUGAAAAAAUCGAAUUCUAUUUCAUCAGUAUGUAACUGCAUGAAAAGUUACAAUGAAUGCAGACUCAAUCAAUUUCCCCAAAGUCAUUGUUAACUGAAAAUCAAUACCAAACCCAUAAAUACCACCAUUGAAUUUGGCAAAACCCCAAAACAAAAUACAAAAAUUUACUCAUAUAAUCACAGAAAAACAUGAAAUUUGACCACCCAUUUGGCCAAGUUAAAGGAUAAAGGCACUCACAUCAUCGAAGUACUAUUUGAGAAGACCUUCUAAUACUGGUUCUUCCUUUUUCGUGCUCUUCCUCAGAACUGCCAAAAAAAAACCAGAGAAGCAUACAAAUUCAGAAAAUGAAAGGUCCAAAACUACAAUAAAAAAUCCAGAAAGCGUGCAAAUUUAUCAGAAAGAAAAGUGCAAAUUACAAAAACCAACUGAUAUGAGUGAGUACUGAGAGGCUGUGUUAGGCACCUGAAACACGUUUUGGUUUCAAUUGAGAGGGCCAUAGCCUUACAUGCGAGGAAGAUG
rnacentral:lncRNA from 1 species